rnacentral:lncRNA from 1 species
CCCCCCCCCCCCCCCUAUGCCGGUUGUGGCUUCCCUGCGUCUGCAUCGGCAAGCUGUUGGUGGCAGCUUCAGCGGCGGGUUACCAGAUCCGGCCCUCCCGUGGCGGCUAUGGCGGCCGAGGGAUCCGGUGAUGGAUAUGGUACUGUGGCAGCGGUGGACUUGGUUCGGCGGGUUGGGUUGGGGUGGCAGCCCUCCCUCCGGUGGUGCUUGGUUGGUGCAGCGUCAGGGUGCAGCGGUGGUGGGCGCCUGAUGUUGGCCCGGCUUGGCAACCAACGAGGUUUGAGAUGGCUCAUGUGCGGCGACAGCGCGGUUGCUGCAAAAAAGGUGUUGACGUGCGGAGCUGGGUCGCGGCUUGUCCUUCUGAUGUCAGCAGUCCACUUCAGCAAUGGAUGCGUUUAUGUUGGUUUCUUACUGUGACGGAGAAGUCGGAGUUGCAUGUGGCGAGACCCCUGCGGCAACGAUGACUCCAUGAGGGUGGUUUCCAGCGGACGGUGCUCUCCGGGGGCUGCGUUGCACUAGGUCGGUGCAAGGCUUCCAACUUUGUCCUGUGAUGCGCAUCCAGAAAAUCGAAGCUGCCUGUCCUCGAAGUCUGGGGUUGAUUGUUUGGCUAUGGCCGACAAGGUCCUUAGACUUCGUUCGUUCGAAGGGGUCUUGACGGGUCGUGAGCGGCGAAGUUAGAGUUGCCUGCUCGGGGAAAGGUGAUGACGAUGACAUUGUAGGCAUCCUCGACAGUGUCCACUUCUCGACGAUGUGUGUGGUCUUGUGGGUGUCAAAUCGACCGUGGUGCCCUUUUAUGUGGGCGUGCUGUAACGGUUUUCGCCCGGGUUUCCAGUAAUUAACCGGGCAACUCUAUUCUACCUUUUUUAAUGAAUCGGGCCCUAAGGGACCGUGUUUCAAAAAAAAAUAGUAAGAUCUGCUGCAUCUGUAAUCAACUCAACAAAAUCGAUCUAAUAACCCACUAUUACUUGAGGUUCACACCUUCAUUGCAAGUUUAUCAUCAGUUUCGGUGAGAUGUGAAUUACGCUUGAAUAGUAGCAAUAAUAAUAGAAAUACAUUGAUAAACUGCCCCAGUAGAUAGCUUAGAUAAGCUAGCUGCAUUUACUCACUGCAACUACUACUUAUCAAGCCACUAAAAUGCUUAGGUAUAUUCAAAACUUUAUACUGUAUAAACUGCAUUACAACCAUCCAUAUUGAUGCAGCUACAACGAAUACAUGCAACUGCAAGACUUUGGUUAUGUCAUUCUGACAUACGAACGGCUCACCGCACAGUGCUAUCAAAUAGUAAUGUUAUUUCUGAUUGCAUGGUGUUCUGUGUGAUGCAGGUAUGAGCCUAAAUUUUGGGUACCCAAAACUGAACAAUUUACUUGGGACAUAUUUCCUACAAGUUCCACAUGAUAGUAAUUGUGAAAAUUUGGCAGUUUCGCACACUCAGAUAAACAGAAGUAAAGGAACCAUUCAAAGACAAAUAAUGAGAUGAACAAAGAAAAAUUAUAGCAUACAAAUAAAUCAUGUAAGAAUACAAAAAAAAUGCGUAAGAGAACUUUAAAAAGAAAAGAUAAACUAAAUGUUGAAUAAACCAUACCUCUUCCUUCAAUUGCAUAUGAUCGUAAACAGCCUGAGCUAAGUAUGCAUCUUCCUCAUCAAGGGCCUCUAUUUCUAAAUAAAAGACACUGUUAGCAAAGGAUUUUCAAAUAAUAUAAAGUAAAUCCGGAUUAGAAGAUUCAAAAACGUUGGCCAUGCCUAUAAAAUUGCAUGCGUUGUCACUAAGGUUGUAGAGAUAUAGGCAGAAGGAUGCGAUAAAAAGUUGAUUAGGUUUUUUAGCUAUAAGUUCCAGAGAGAGAUAGGACAGCAGAUUGCUGGUGGGUACUUAAGCUGUUCGGCACAUCAACGGGAAAUAGCAAAAGAUACACACAGAACUACCUUUUCGGAUCAUUUCUUCCCGCAGAUCUUCAUAAAGAAGUCUUUCCAUUUCAAGCAAUAUAUCUUCGCUUUCAAAUUCAGCUGGCUUAGCUUCUUGUGGUCCUUCAUAUUCCCAUAUCAUAUCAACUUCUUGGUCCUUUUUUCCAUCCACACAUCUUUUGAGUUUCUUUACCUCAUCCGAGAUAAUGUUCCUGACUGCAGAUUCAGCCGUUUUCUGUCAGCCGACAUAUAUGGAUAAAUCAGAGAUCAGACAUAUGUAUGAAAGAAGGAAAAUCAAGAAAUAUUAAUCAAUUGGGGUAGUCAUAGUGAAUUCAGUUUUAUUAUCGUGACCAGCUUCAGUAUGUAUAUACUUGAACAAAAAACGUUGAAGAAAUAAUGAUACCGAAUUGAACCGGAAUAGGUUAUCAAUAAUUAGAGAUGUAGUGGACAAUGAGGAAAUUCUUAACAGCAUAAUCAUGGAGUACUUAUUAACAUUUAUUCUAUGCCCUUGUAGUGGAGUUACUGCAUCAUAUUUUAACUACAACAGUUCAGUAUGGCAAAGAAAAUUUCUAACAGACACCGCACAAAGUUUAAUAUUACUAAUUAUUCAAAUCUAUGGUUAGAUUGCAGGUGCAGGGUGAAACACAUUGCAAGUGUUUGGAAAUGGUAUCGUAAUGGGCAUUGAUCAAUCUUGAGUUCAGUUUUGCUUUUCAAAAUAGUAACUUAUACCAAUGUCUUGAACGGGUAGCUAAAUAACAUAUAAAGGAGCCUAGCCUGUAGCCUUUAUUUUUAAUAAGAACAUAAGCUGCACAAGAUAUGAUAAAGUAGAAUGCACCAUAUUUAGAUACCAUGUCAGUAGCAGGUGGCUGCCCUUGGUUCCUCAUCUUCCAGAGCAAGUGGACUCUCUCAUUUUUAACUCUUGUCAUGCAAUUUGCCCUAAGCUGUGGGUAGAAGGCAACAGGGGAUAAGGACAAAAUUACGGGAAAUACGAGAUGAAGGCACAUAACAGUUACUCCAUCAGAUUGCAUGCAACACUGAUAGGCAAUGCGAGGGCAGUUGACUGAAACCUAUGGUGCAGAUGACACCCCAGGCAGCUCAAUUCAAAGCCUACUCUAUAUCUAUAGCAGAGGAAAAAGGUUAACUUCAUGAUUCCUAAGGAAAUAGCAGAAAAAUGCUUGACUUCAUGACACGGGUGACGCCCUACUGAUAGUUCUAGGGCAAUUAACCGAACACCUCGUGCGCAUGGCGGCAGCACCCGUUACCCAGCAAUCCAACAGUAGCGUCACGCUUCAGGCUCCGGCCUGCCGCAGCGUGCGGCAUGGCAGCAUAGAACCAGCUGCGCCGCCGGCGAGAUGGGCUGGAAAUGGGACAAAGUCAACGAACCUCCUCUCUCCAGUCCGGGCGGCGGGAUUUGUUGGGAACCCUCCUGGGCCGAGCCGAAUCCAUCGGUGGCGGCCGGGCGCGCCGAUCGACGUGGGGCGAGGCGCCCUUCCCCUCUGCUCUCUCUUCGUCUCGCCGGCGUGGAGAACGAACGCCUGGGGACGCGCGCUUCUCGCCGCGGCGCCGGCUCCGGGAACGCCUGGGGGAGAUUUGCCUCGCGCGACAGAGGAACAGAAAAUCGCGAGAGGACGGGGACCGUUUCCGUAGAGUUUUGUUUUUUUUUUUUUUUCUUGAGAAUUCCGUAGAGUUACGACUCCUCGCGAGGAAAUUUCUUUGGGCUCGAGCGGCGGUCGUGUUUCGCUCUGGGCCUGAGGAGAACCCGGCCUGGUUACGAUUUAUUUGUACAGUGCCAGCCUAAUUGAGAUGGUUUCCCUAAAAAAACAAGGAAUCUCCUAUUUGCAGCUGCGGCGAGUUAUCGACUGGCUCAUUAGCGACUUUCACUGAUCCUGGUUUUUUGAAACUUCUGGAGGUUCCAGCUAAAAAAAUUUCGGUUUUGAGAAACUUUUAGAAGGUUUAUUACUGAACCGUUUUUUUAUUUUCUUUUUCUUUUUUAUCUUUUCUAUUUCUGUUUCAAAAAAUAUUCUGAAUUUUCAAAAAAUGUUCUGAAUUUUCAAAUUUUCUUCUUCACAUACAACAAAUGAUUUUGUUUUCUUUCUUAAAGUUCUAAUUAGAAAUAUUCAUAAUUUCAAAAAAUGUUGGACCUUCCAAAUUUAUUUGGUGUUUUCCAAAAUUGUUCUCUGUUUCAAAAAUUUAUUCUCAAGAUUCAAAAAUGUUCGUGCAAUAAAAAUUGUUCGCGCUUCCAAAUUUGUUUGGAGUUUUUCAAAAUUGUUCUCUGUUUCAAAAUUUUGUUCUCAAGAUUUAAAAAGUGGUCGUGUUUUAUUUUUUUCAUGCUUCCAAAUUUGUUUAGGAUUUUUCAAAUUUGUUUUCGGAUUCAAACUUUGUUCUCAAGAUUCAGAAUAUGUUCAUGCUUUAAAAAAUUGUUCGCGCUUCAAGACUUGUUCGGGGAUUUUCCAAAAUGUUCUUUGUUUCAAAAUUUUGUUCUCAGGAUUCAAAAAAUGUUCGUGCUUUCAAAAAUACUCCGCGCUUUCAAAUUUGUUCAGGAUUUUUCAAAAUUGUUCUCGGUUUCAAAAUUUGUUCUCAAGAUUCAAAAAAUGUUCGUGCAUUCAAAGUUGUUUGGGGUUUUACAAAAUUGUUCUCCGUUUCAAAAUUUUAUUUUUAAGAUUCAAAAAAUGGUCAUGCUUUAAGAAAUUGUUCGUGCUUCCAAAUUUGUCCACAGUUUUUCAAAAUUGUUCUCAGUUUAAAAUUUUGUUCUCAAGAUUCAAAAAAUGUUCGUGCUUUAAAUAUUUGUUCGCGCUUCCAAAUUUGUUCCCAGUUUUAAAACAUGUUCAAAAUUAUUCACGCUUCCAAAUUUGUUCUCCGUUUUAAAAAUAUUCAAAAUUGUUCGUGCUUCCAAAUUUGUUUGGUGUUUUUUAAAAUUGUUCACCAUUUCAAAUUUUUGUUCUCAAGAUUCAAAAAAUGUUGUGCUUUAAAAAAUUGUUCGCGCUUCCAAAUUUGUUAGCUAUUUUUCAAAGUUAUUCUCGGUUUCAAAAUAUUGUCUCAAGAUUCAAAAAAUGUUCGUGCUUUAAAAAAUUGUUCGUGCUUCCAAAUUUGUUCGGGGUUUUGAAAUUUUUUGUUCUCGGGAUUCAAAAAAUGUUCAUGUUUAAAAAACUUAUUCGUGCUUCUAAAUUUGUUCUCCGUUUUAGAAAAUGUUCAUCUUUUUCAAAAAAUAAUUGGUAAAUUCAACAUUUAUUCGUUUUUAUAUAAAAACAAAAAAAGAAAAAAGAAAAGAAACAACAAACCAAAAAAGAAGAAAGGAAAUAAGAAGAAAAGGAAAAAAACAAAAAACAAAAAGAACUAGGCCGGCCGAGUCGGACGACCACCCUAUGUUCUCGAGCAACUCCCUGCCGCAGAAUGCGACAGGUAGGAGCUCCCAAAAAACAAGUUGAAAUGGUUUGCGCCCUUCUUCUUUUUUGAAAUGGCUUACAUGUUUGAAUUUGUGCUAUGGAGGACGUGAUGUUUUUGAGCCUGAGCUCAAAUGAGCUCGGGUGAACAGUACCAUCAAAUAAUUCAAAAAAAUUGAUAUUUUUUUAUCUAAACAUUGACAAAAGUUUUCAGUGCUCACCAAAUUCGUCAAAAAUAACAUUAGUGGAAGUCAUUGAAAAAAAAUGAUGCUCCAAAAGGGUUAUUUCAAUAACAUUUUGAAGUACUUUUUUUUGUUCAUGAGUUCUAAGAAUGUCAUUUUUGAUGAAAUUUUGCAAGGAGUGAGAACUUUUGUCAAUGAUUGCACCAAAAAAAUCAGAAAAAAUUGAUAUGUUUUCCAUUUAUUAUCAAUUUUACUGUUCAUCCCGAGCUCAAAUGAGCUCGAGGGUAGAACAUGAUUUUUGUGCUCUGGAAGAUCUUUGCACGAGAAGGGAGUGGAAGUAACAUUGUUGAAUCUUAGGGGGUGUUUGGCAAGAGAAAUGGUAACAGUAAUGAAAACGUAAUCAAACCCCUAAUUCCCCUUUUUGUGCAUGAUGACCAAACUGGCAUCAUAUCUGGGAGAAAAUAGAAAAUAUAGAAACAAUAUUCUACUCGUUCUACGUAUAGUGAAAUAAUAAGAAUUCCAUAAGAAAAAACAAUUAAUCAUGUCAGAGGUAAAAUAAGUCUUUACAAAGAGCAUAUCCCUAACGCGAAAAAACGAGCUUACACCUGAACGCUAUAGUGAAGGAGAGUUGCAUCUUUCGAUCCCCAUCUUUCCUUUUUUGACAGACAAAGAAAAGAAAAAGGAAGCCCACAUAGCUCAGCUCUUGCAAAUAAUCAAAAUUCCUCAUAGAACACAUGCACAUGCGCUUUCUCUCGUAAGAGACGAGCCGCGCACCGUCGCUCCCAUGAUAAGGAACGAAAGCCAUCACGAAUCUUAGUGUGAUGAUCAGGGGGCUAGAAAAGUGAUCGAGGCCAUAGUUAAAACUCAGCUAGCUUAGUUUCAACAAAAUGGAAAAUGGAAAAAGAAGAACAGAGAAAAAAAUGAUAAAUUUUAUCUAGUUAUAAAUUAGUUACAAGGUGUUUAUAUAUAUAAAUCAUUAAAACAAAAGGUAUUUUCUUAUAAAGAUAAAAAAAGUAAAGGAAAGGAAAAAACAAAAAAUAAAAUAAUGAUAACAACCACGUGAGAACAAUAUGCAAACAAAGCUCACCUUGUUUCAGCUUAUCUCUCUCUCUCUCUCUCUCUUUGCCGAUCGCAGCUUAUAGUACUCCUAUUACUGAAGGCCGGCCUUGCAGCCGCAGCUGCAACCUACCGUUUCAGCUCAUCUCCAUGCAUGCACGUACGUAUAGCCCAGGGAUAUAAUAACAACAAAAAAGUGAAAAGGAAUACCGCGUUCAACAUCUCAGUAUAUCGGUCCAGCCUCUCGAAAGCAAAAAAAAAUCUACUGCACAACGACCCACCCUCUCACCGCUCACGCAAAAAAGAAAAAAAAAAUGAAAUAGAAGCGUGAGAGACACACAAUAAUGCUAGGCCUACAAAAACUUACAGAGGUUUACUUACUAAUUCUUCUCUCCCCUGAUUUACAGUGGGGAUGGGACCCCUCAUCCUCCAAUUACCAAUCACAAUCAUACACAUCAGUUUGUAUGUAAAAUCUUUAAGUAAGCCUUUGUAGGUGUAGCAUUAUUCAGAGACACACACACGCAAAUCUCAGCGCAUUAGCCCAUUAUUAAUCCAAUGAACAUGAAGGUGAAUGAUGCCAAACUAAAACUCAGCUAUUUGAGUAUUAGCAAAGGGAGUGGAUUUUCAGCUCCCGGGUGCCUAGGCACCUUCUAUGAAUAGUAAAAUCAAAAAAAAUAGAAAACAAAAUAAGAAAAAUCUAAAACUUUGCAGCAUCAAAGACGAUGAAAUUUUAUAGGUCAUUGCAAGUUUUCAUGCCAGAAAACUAUUCGAGGAGCUCUACACACGGAAAAUAUGUCAAUACUUGAAGUUUUGAGCACUUUUAGCGCUGUAAUCUGAAAAUUGUUUGUACAUCUUUCUCUACGUGAUAUUUUGACAUGAAAACUUGUAGGAACCUAGCAUCUUUGAUGCUGCAAAGUUUCAGAUUUUUUUGAUUUUAUUAUUAUUAUUUUACUGUUCAUAGAGGGUGCCUAGUCAUCCGGAAGCUAUCACACCCUUCUCAUUAGCAAAACCGAUUUGUGAUAGCUCCGCCAUUGGUCACAUGGCUAUCCAGCAUGCCGAACAGAAUCAUACACUGACUGUUAGGCAUUGUCACACGUGGGAAUUAAGGUUCCUUGUAACAGUAACUCUACUCUUGAUGUAAGUACUCCCUCCGUCCCAAAAUUUUUGUCUUAGAUUUGUCUAAAUAUGAAUGUAUCUUAUAAGUACUUAGAUACAUCCAUUUCUAGACAAACGUAAGACAAAAGUUUUGGGACGGAGGGAGUACUAUGUAAACUCGAAAGUUACACUGAUGUAAAAUACUACUAGUAGCACGAAGUACCCUUCCUUUCACGACAUCAGAGGGACCUUCUCUUGCCCCUGGCCGUCUGAUUCGCUCAAGCAAGGUGGUCUCGCCGCCUUGUAGUAGAAGAAGGCUAUCAUCCUCGCCAGCACCUCGGCCGACCGGACAGCUAUCAGAACAAGGGAUUACAGAUCAGGUAAACGGAUGGCCGGACGAGAGUUACAUCCAAGGAGUAUCCAUCUAAGAAACCGGACAAGGUAUACCUUUCUCUCGGUACAGUAUCUUGCCUGCAUUGGUGAAGAGCAACUCAGGGAAGCCGGACACCUUCAGAGCGGCCACGAGGCCUGGCUCCGCACAGGCAUCGACCGCGACACACUGCGGGUAAACAAGAAUAGUUGGGAGGUCAGAACGUGAGUGACUCACUGAGCCGUCGACUCGGGCGGAUUUAUAUUUACAGAAGAAAGUCAUGAACAAGUGUGUAGCAGUAGUACCCUUGGUGAAGGCAGAUCGUGUUCCCAAAACGUCUCGAUCGCCUUCACGAGCUCGGUUCUUGCCAUCUCAUUGUCCUGUGGUCUACGGCAACGAAGGAACAUUUAUCGUGAUUUGCCAAAGUGAUACAGCACGCUCUGUAAGUUUCAUACAAAGCAAAGGAUACUUUGAAACAUGAAAUGGCACCAACCAUUUUGCAAGAACUGAGGGAACCAUACCUUUUGUACCGGUUAUGCACGAGCACAAUCAACGGGCCGAAGUCGGUGAACACGGUGUCGUCCCAAUCCUUUGUCUUGACAUCCCUGACCGGCUUGAUGUAGUUGUCAUCCUCCCAGACCACCUCCUUCUUGCCGUCGUCAUCGUCGUCGGCGUCAUCCCUCUUCUCGGGCUUGAUGGUGAUCUUGUCGAAGAACUGGUCGAGGCCGAAGCCCAUGCCGUCCUGGGCAUCCUCGGGCCACUCCGGGUCCUCCUCCUCGACAACCAGCUGGUACUUGGUCAGCAGCUCCCUCAUCUUGGCCUUCUUCUCCUCCGGGUCGGUCAGCUCCUGCGUCUCCGGCAUCCGGUCCAUCAUCUCCCGUAUCUUCCUCCGCAGCGUCCUCCGCUCCUGGUCCGUCAUCCGCACGGGGCCUUCGUCGUCGGAAUCGGAGUCCGAGUCGGCGUUGCGCGGCCCGCCGCCGAUCACCAGCCGGCCGGCCUUGGGGUCGCUCGCGCGCAGUGCCCGGGCGCGCGCGGCGAGCGCGGGUCCCAGGCUCGGCCUGGACCGCGGGCAAGAGCCGAAGCUGAAGACGGGGCGCGCAUGGGGAGCGUGCGAACUGGGGUGCUCUGCUCGUUUGAGGCAAAACGUCGAACAGGUCGCGGGCAGGGAGCAGCGAAGCGCCAUUGCAAGCCUUCUUUGCGCGCCUUGGCUUCUGGUCCUCUUUUACUCUUCCGCGGGUGGGAGAUUCAGUUGGCCGCCGAUGCCGCGAGAACUAGCUUACGAAUUUGGUACGGGAUUCGCGGCGGUGACGAUUCUGAUGCCUAAUCUGCUCCGGCUUGUGUGCUUGGGGUUGGGGAGAUGGUAUAUUUGCUUUUGGGUGAACCGGACGAGUGAACGGGACUCACGUGAACCGUGAGAGGGGCGGCCGGCUCCACGCCCCUGCAAUACGCUUGUGGACUUGGUUUUGCUGUAAAAAAAAUGACUUGGUUUUGAAAAUCCGUUUGUAUUUCGAGCAUUUCAAACGUUUGAUAAACUAGUCAUGUAAGUAUUGAACGUUAUUUGCAAAAAAGAAAGGUAUUGAAUGUUAUGGGGAAAAAAUCACCUAUAAUAAUUAUUUAUGUCAAUCACAAAAAUGGAAGAAAACAAUCAUUUCUAUGACAAGUAAUUCCGGACAGAGGAGUAGAACACAAAAAGGAGCCGACGAGUGCAAUUUCAAGAGUACGUAAUUCCGGACAGAAUAGAACAUAAAGAGGAGUCGACGAACGCAAUUUCAAGAGCACCGAGCUGCACUGGAAGAAAAGGGAUUCCAAAUUCUGCUUUCCCAACUGUGAACACAUAUAGUCUUAUAAUAUAGUGUAAGGAGGCUAUCGUUAGCUGUACAUAUUACAAACAUGGAACAAAUCUUCCCCCAAAAGGACAACUGAAACAUUUCAUCAUCCUGGCAGCACGAAACAAACACCUGGGUUUCCCCUUCUCUGCUAAAUUUUUCUAUAAAUUCAUCCGCAGCAUCCAAAGAAUUAACAUGUCAGCAGAACUUGUACAGUUUGGAACAAAGUGUCUUGGCUCCUGGAAUUCCUAUUUCCUAUGUUCUGCUUUUGCGAUGAUACAUAAUCUGAAUUUAACGUAAAGUUGCCAAAACCCGUACGGUGCCGAAACAAAGAAUGAUAAAUAGUUGGGAGGGGAGCAAAGAAUGAUAGUGUUACAACUCAGGCUGAAGAACUUGGGUUCUUCUUAUUUGCUGAAGACUUCCUCCUCUUCCUUCUGUCAAAACUAAAUCAGCCAAACAGGGGCCCACCGCAACCGAUGGGCUCAUGGCAACUCCAGGUAGUUCUCAGCCUACCGCAUCACAUCUGUCUGGAAAAGCAAUGGAGCUAAUAUCGAUGCUUCCGCAUAAACUGUGUAGCUACCUCUAUGAAAAUGCGUCAGUUUGUGCAUGACACCUCAGUCUCACCACUGCUCGAUUGUUCAUCGACAAGGUCACUCGACCUGGCUGAUGGAAUCCUGUGCCGCUUGAGGAUCCGAGACGUGGCAAGCCUCGCGUUCUGAAAUUUCAGGACGAUCACCCGCUCAUCAUCCAAAUCAAUUCUCAAGUUUUCUUCAGUGCAGUUAUCCACGAUACUGCACAAAUGCUUCAAAUUCUCAACCUCAACACCAUUCACCUUCUUUACCUGAUCAUAUCAUGAAGUCUGGUCAGUUGAGAAAACUACAAAGGUCACUAAGGAUGUGGUGUGUGCUAUAGGAUUUUCUUAUAGAAGAAAACCUGGAGUUCAGCCAGCCUUUCAUAACCGACAUUAAUAUCAUCCAUGAGGACCUGGAACGUAGAUUGAUCAGUACAAAGAUAAUUAUGCAAUACACGGCAACUGAAUUCUAAUAAUACCAUGAAACAGGAAACUGUGAGGAGAAGUGAACUAGUGCUGUAGUACCUGAGAUAAUAUUACUAACUGCUGACCAGCCUUCUUUGGAAGCUCUCUCAGUGCACGUUCACAGAGUCGGCGUGGUGAAGUGUUGUACCAGUCUUCUCCAAAUUCAUGGAGAUAAGGCUGGGUCAGCGGGAUAAAAACAAAACCAGCAAAGAUGUAGUAGCUGGGUAGUUUGUCAAACUGAUGCACGGGAACCAAAGGUUGCAACUGCAUAAGAAGAACUACAUGUAUAAGAAUUACUUCAUUGUCUACAUGUGAACUGAAAAGGAGUAGCACGAGAGGGCAAAAAAGGUGACAGGAAAUGAUAGAUACAAAGCCUAAGCCUGGGUGUUAGUAUGUACAAAACCAAGGGAUACACUUUUGUGGAUUUACUAUUUAACCUGCAUAAGAGAUCAGGUGGUUAUCCAUAAAUCUGGCCAAAACCAACCCUAUCCAACUAGCUGUACAAAAGGUAGACAGGCUGAACCCACUGGACUAAUGUAGUGAAUUAAGUGUGUUACAGACUUCACAGUUUGGGAUGGGUUCUAAAAUACAACCUCCGUCCAGAAUUAACUGUCGCUGAAAUGAGUGUAUCGACGCGUUUUAGUGUGUAGAUACACUCAUUUCAACAACAGUUAAUUACGGACGGAGGGAGUAGGUUAUAAGUAUUGAGAUGGAUGUUAUUUGUGUGGGUCUGUAUUAGGGUUUGGUUCAGUUUAGUCAAGGUGGACUCAAUCAAUAUGUUUGACUCUUGAAGAAACUAAAUACUAACAAACACUAAAACGGGGAACAACAUCCCAUCAUUCUUAUAUUUAGUACCAAACUCUCAAAUAAAAUGCACCAUGGUUAAUACAAAGCUCGAAUAAAAUGUACUCCCUCUGUUCACAAAUAUAAGAUGUUUUGGUUGUUUCAGUAUGAACUAUACAUACGGACUGAAAUAAACAAACAAACACACUAAAAUGCAUCUAUAUACAUCCAAAUCAGAAAGAAGUUAAAACAUCUUAUAAUAGUGAAUGGAGGUAGUACAAGAUUACAUGGCCUUACAGGUCUAAGUGUCACAUUCAAUUCAUGCUCUUUGCCAUCUCUUAGUACUUUGAUAACGGCUGUUUCUUCAGGCUUCUUCAUGGACACAAGAUGAUCAAAGGUGAUUCUCUCCCUAUUUCGGAACGGAACUGCAAGUAUUGAAAGAGAUCAUGAUCAUCAGUUGUUGAAGCUGAAACGCUAGUACGCUUCACAUUUCGGAGUAGCACACAGAUAGAUUCAUGGAUCAGCAAUGCAAAAACGCGCAGCAGAGUAUGCCAAAUGAUGGUCUUAAAAUAACAUAAAUACAUAAUAACAGAAAACUUAGAUAAGUGAUAUUUUCAAAUAUACGAACAUAUAAGAAACCAAAAAAUUGAGACAUAAAAUGGCUGCCAAUGCAUAUUUGUAAGUUUUAAGCUCACCUGUCCCAUCAUUCGCAAUAGGCACGCCAUCAAACUCAAGAAGGAUAUCAUCUUUCUUCAGAAUUUUGUGAGCAUCAGAUAGAGGAUUUAUUCUACUCACUAACACUCCAGUCAUUUCAGGGCGCAUACCAAAGCAUUCUCUUAUUUGGAUGUUCUCAGUGGCCUGGCAAGAUAUUCCAAGAGAACAAAACCCAGAAUAUUUGCCACUCUCUUCCACUCCAGAAAUAAAACGCUUAAUUACAGGCACAGGUAUAAUAUACCUGCAAAGAAAAGGGUUACACAUAGAAUUCUGGGUAAAAAGAAGGUUUAAUAGGUGCAAGACCAAAAUAGUGGAGUAUUCACCCAAUGUUUUCUGCUCCUGACAGAUUUUGGAAAGCAACUCCAGCCACUUUAUCACCCAUGAUUGCAGGCCCUCCACUGUUGCCUGGAUUAAUAGCUGCAUCUAUUUGUAUAGCCAUGAGCUGAGUCGCACCAUGGGCAUACUGUGUUGGUUCCACUCUAGAAACAACCCCCUUGGUGACAGAGAUAUUGUCUCCACCUGCACCAUAAAGGUACAUAAUCAUUUAGUAGUCUACAUGCUUAUAUGGUUUAGGUGUCUAAAUAGAAGAUCGGCAAUACAACAUCGAAGCCAAGCUGAGCUGAAUAAAAAAUAGUAGAACUAGGUGACAUUUCUGAAACAGCAGAAACUAAGUAGAAUUUGUCAGUAUUGGUAUCUUGAAUCAAAUCAGAGAUUCCAACAACAUUACAAGUUUGCAACCGGAGAUCACAUAGUAGAAUCUAAUACCUGACCCGAUUCUAACAAAGGUACAUUUUCUAAAAUCCACCAAGUCAACGACUAUAAAUAUUUUAGUUGCACAUUAAGAGCCUUCAUUUAAAAAUAGAGUCUAACCAAACAACUCUUUUUUAUGAUAAGGGUAACUUUGCAAUUAAAAAAGACAUAUGCGAGUAGGAACAGUUGAAUUCGUAGGAUCAUAAACAGAUCGCAUUUAUCAUCUUACUUUGUUUUAGAUUUUAAAAUCAUAACAAUAUUAAGACUGUACCAUAUUAAGACCCCACCUAGUACAUAAUCAGCAUGGUAAAUAAAUGUCUAUAGAGUCAUAAGACUCAAGAGUCUGUUUGGUUCAUAUACUAAGUUCGUCAACAUUUGCCACGCCUUUUUGCCAUACAUGCCUAAUGUUAAGCAACACAAGGGGCAUAGAAUGCAGGAAAAGAACAUUGCCACAAGUGUGGCCACAAAUCAAACAGGGGACUAACCAAGCCAAACUUUCCAAACUUGUGCUGUGGAAAAGUGUGAUAACCUUGGUAUACCAACCAAUGCCCUUAAGGUUGCAAAAAUGAUGAAUGCAGAAAUGUGACUUCAACUCAAAAUAACGUUCUAUUUAGUUUCUCUUCCCAGCCAAGUUCUUCCACUUCUAUAUCACAGAAUAAGAGAGUGAACAAAUUGUAAUUUCAAAGCAAGAAUAGCCCUUGUCCUUCUACCAGAUCGACGACCUUGUGCAGCGAACUUACUAAUGCAUAUUCUCGUAUGUUUCAACAUUCCAAAUGUGGUGUCAUGCAAAAGACCUACUAUGAGGUGAUCGCUUACAAUUCUCCAAUGCGUGCCGCGUGAUCUUUCGUUGUAUGUUCGCUCUUUUUAAUCGUGAACCACACACAAAGGCCACAGGACACCAACAUAUUUUGAUGACUUUUAAGCCAACGACCUAACUCCUCAUAUUUUAUAGUUUCGUAGCAACGCACGGGCAUCAUGCUAGUUCAUAUGAAAGCCGUAACACAUACGAUGAUAAAAAUACAUGCAUAGAUUAGCAUUCAACAAAAGGCCACAGCGAUACUAUAAUUCUAUAACAUCGUAGUGUCAUGUAGUUUGCUUAUUCGUAUGGUGCAAUAAGAAAUUAGGAAGCAUAUUUUUGCGAUAUCAAAGUUGCAGGGGCUACUUUCUACUGUGAUUCUCAUUAUCAGCUAAUAGUCUAACAAAUAUUAUGAUAAUUGCAUAAGUGGAGAAAUCUAUUACUGCCUCUGUCUCAAAAUGUANNNNNNNNNNNNNNNNNNNNNNNNNNNNNNNNNNNNNNNNNNNNNNNNNNNNNNNNNNNNNNNNNNNNNNNNNNNNNNNNNNNNNNNNNNNNNNNNNNNNNNNNNNNNNNNNNNNNNNNNNNNNNNNNNNNNNNNNNNNNNNNNNNNNNNNNNNNNNNNNNNNNNNNNNNNNNNNNNNNNNNNNNNNNNNNNNNNNNNNNNNNNNNNNNNNNNNNNNNNNNNNNNNNNNNNNNNNNNNNNNNNNNNNNNNNNNNNNNNNNNNNNNNNNNNNNNNNNNNNNNNNNNNUACAUUUUGAGACAGAGGGAGUAAUGUUUUACUUGUCCACAAUCUUGUAUAAGCUAUGUUUUAUGUAGUUGUCCCAUAUAGUCUAUGUGUGAAUAAUUAUAUUAUUUUCACUCGUUCACAGUAAAACCCUGCUAGCCAGUUUUAGUUAUGCCACCACAGACAGCAUGGUGAUGCUAUGAUAUACGUACAUCCAUAAUUGGAUACUUGUAGAUGAAGUAAUAUAUCUAACAAGUUUGGCAACUAACAACCAAGUACUGCAAAAAGAAUAUCAGAAUCAAACUCAUACCCUGAGGGUAGCCAACCACAGCGACAGCUUCCUGCAAAAAUGGAAUGUCUCCAAGAUCUAAGCUGUUCAUCCCCUCCCAAAACUCCUCGCUCUCAACUGUAAGAAGAGCCAAAUCACACUCAUGGCCAAUAGCCUGAACUUCUGCCUUGAACUUUGUUGGCGAUCCAUGCUUCCUCACAAGAACAAAAGUAUGAUCAGCUACCACAUGAGCAUUUGUGAUGAUCCUUUUUCCAGAAAUUACAAAGCCUACAACAGGGAGGCCAAAUUAGUAGACAGCCCAAAGAAUGAACUACAUUUCAUCACAAGGGCCCAAAAAUAACCAACCUUCUACAGUAUGUCAUUAUGUGAAGGAAUCAUUCAGUAGUACUCCCUCCAUCCGAAAACCAACUUUGUACUAAAUCAGCGACACUUAUUUUGGGACUGAGGGGGUGCGUUUUAUGUUUUGUCUUACAUCAUGGAUAUUUGAACAGUGCACAAACGAAACGAGUAACAUAGUUGGAAAUUCAUGUGUAAUGACUCGUGGGUUGUUACUAAAGCUAUUUUUUCAUUUUCCCGUUCUAUCACAUUUACUUUUUCGUACCACCAGAAAUACACAAUAAGGAAACAACGCCACAGAUUUGCGUAAAAGGCACUCUCUUUGUCCGAUUGAACUAGCAUAUUAACACGAUACCUAUUCUUCAAAUCAAAAUUAAUAUUCUCUUCUCCAUGUCCAUCGCUCCUAUAGUAGGGGGAUCCAAACACACUCCUCGAGCCUGCAGAGGGCUAAGCUGCUAGAGAUCUGUUGCUUACCGGAGCCCAUGCUCUCGCGCUGGGCCUUGUUCUGCCACGGCAGGAAGUAGUUAGGGCCACUUGACACCGUGAACACCUUCACCACCGAGUCCAGUGCCAGCUCCACCGCCGCGAACGCGUCGGUGUCAUGCCGCGCCGCCGCAGACUCCACCUCCUCCUCUCCCUCGGAUUUCUCCGCCAACGGUAUCGCCGGGGUUCCCAAAGCGCCGCAUUCACCUAGGCGGAGAGAAGGUGUGGAUGCGCAAGAGAUGGUGGAGAAGCGGGGGGCAGCGAGGUGGGGGAGUAGGGCGCGGGUCAGGGUCCAGUGGGGCGGCAGAGGAGAUGGAUGUGGAGGCGACGGAGGUGAUGGGUGGAAAGGGAGGCGGCGGAGCGAGCGGGAGGAGGAGGAAGAGGAGAGGCGGCGGAGCAAGCGCGCGGAGGCGUGCAUGGCGGCCACCCCGGGUAGUGCCGGUGAGGGUUCGGAGAUUUUUGGUCCGGGGGUUUCGGUUAGGUUUGUGUCUGGGUUUGGGUUUGGGUUCAGGUUCGGACUGGGCUUGGGCUUGGGCUUGGCUAUGCUCCAAUUUUGCAUUUUAAAAGCUUUUUUCUUUUGAACAGUUUGUCAUUUCGUUUACAAGGAGGUCGAAAAUAAAGUUUAGGACUAAAGAAUCCCAAGAAACAGAGAAUGUAGUUUUAAAGUUUUGUUUGGCUAACUCAUUAGAUAUCUUGUUUGCCUUUUAGAGCAAUGAUCAAAAGAAAGUUUAGCAAAGUCUAUGUAUAAUUGCUUGCACUCCGUAAUAACAGCACUAUCAGGUCUCAUAUAAUUGUUCAAGAGCUGCAUGGAUUCCAUCACAAAAGAACAAUCAAAUUCAACCUCUGUUUUAGUGCAUCCAAUGCUAGAUAUGAGGUAAAUGUUAUUUCUGAUAGGAAAAAGUUCAGCGGCAUCACCAUCACGAACAUGCGAUAUGAACAAGUUGGCUACAACAAUAACGUUGCCCUUAUCAUCUUGUACCACAGCUCCACUUGCUCCUGAAAGUGUAUCCGCAUGAAAUGAUGCAUCAACAUUCACCUUCAUCAUGCCACAAGUCGAUUUCUUCCACAUAACAGCUUAGAUGUAACUGGUUGCUAACACGGACAUGGUUGUAUUCUCCGAUGUUUGUGCUGACAUCCCUUUCACAAUCUGUCGUCGUUGCCACCACAAGAACCAAGCUGCAAUAGAUACAAGUUCUGACGUAGCAAUGUCAUCACUUAUUGUGCCUAGCUUGAGAAGAAUUUCCAUCAUUACAGAGCCAGAUUUGUCAUCGGUAACUGCCUUCCGUAUUGUAUCCGUUAGACCCACUUGUGACCAGACCUUUUGAACUUCUCGACUAUUGAAGAGUGUAAGUUGGAUGUCUUCCAUCCCAACUUUGCAGCGAGGGCAUUGGGGAAAAGCAGAAUAUGUCGUGGAGCCAAACCCCAAAACAUGGCAAGACUCCGUGUAAAAUUUUCCCUGUAAAGUGUUUCACCUUAUGAAGGACUUUAUGUCGAGGGGAUGACCCCCGGGUACCCCAAAGGCGACGAGUCGGACGGGGUGUCUGAUGACCCACAAGUGUAGGGGAUCUAUCGUAGUCCUUUCGAUAAGUAAGAGUGUCGAACCCAACAAGGAGCAGAAGGAUCUGACAAAUGGUUUUCAGCAAGGUAUUCUCUGCAAGCACUGAAAUUAUCGGUAACAAAAAGUUGUGUGAUAAGAUGACUCAUAGCAAGUAGCAAGUAACAAUAGUAACAACGAUGCAGCAAAGUGACCCAAUCCCUUUUGUAGCAAGGGACAAGCCUGGACAAACUCUUAUAGGAGGUAAAGCGCUCCCGAGGACACAUGGGAAUUUCUGUCAAGCUAGUUUUCAUCAUGUUCAUAUGAUUCGCGUUCGCUACUUUGAUAGUUUGAUAUGUGGGUGGACCGGUGCUUGGGUGAUGCCCUUACUUGGACAAACAUCCCACUUAUGAUUAACCCCUCUCGCAAGCAUCCGCAACUACGAAAGAAGAAUUAAGACAAAUUCUAACCAUAGCAUUAAACUAGUGGAUCCAAACCCCUUACGAAGCAACGCAUAAACUAGGGGUUAAGCUUCUAUCACUCUAGCAACCCAUCAUCUACUUACUACUUCCCAAUGCCUUCCUCUAGGCCCAAAUAAUGGUGAAGUGUUAUGUAGUCGAUGUUCACAUAACACCACUAGAGGAAAAACAACAUAUAACGCAUCAAAAUAUCGAACGAAUACCAAAUUCACAUGACUACUUAUAGCAUGACUUAUCCCAUGUCCUCGGGAACAAAAGUAACUACUUACAAAGCAUAAUUAUGUUCAUGACCAAAGAGGUAUUGAAUAGCAUCAAGGAUAUGAACAUAUAAUCUUCCACCGAGUAAUCCAACUAGCAUCAACUAGAAAGAGUAAUUAACACUACUAGCAACUUUACAAGUACUAAUCGGAGUCGCGAGACGAAGAUUGGUUACAAGAGAUGAACUAGGGUUUGGAGAUGAGAUGGUGUUGAUGAAGAUGUUGAUGGUGAUGAGUCCCCUCUGAUGAGAGGAGUGUUGGUGAUGACGAUGGCGAUGAUUUCCCCCUCCGGGAGGGAAGUUUCCCCGGCAGGACGACCCUGUCGGAGCUCUAGAUUGGUUAUGCUCAAGUUCCGCCUCGUGGCGGCGGAGAUUCCUCCCGAAAGCCUCCUCUUGAUUUUUUUUCUGAAACGAAACCCUCCUUAUAGCAAAAGAGGGGAGCCAGAGGGCCAACAGGGAGCCCACAAGCCCCCUAGGCGCGGGCAAGGGGGUAGGUCGCGCCUAGCAGGCUUGUGGCCUCCUGGUGGCUCCCCUCUGGUACUUCUUCCGCCCAGUAUUUUUUAUAAAUUCCAAAAUAAAUCCUCGUUUAUUUUAACGGCUUUUGGAGUUGCGCAAAAUAGGUAUCUCAAACUUGCUCCUUUUUCAGGCCAGAAUUCCAGUUGCCGGCAUUCUCCCUCUUCAUGUAAACCUUGUAAAAUAAGAGAGAAAAGGCAUAAGUAUUGUACCGUGAAGUGUAAUAACAGCCCAUAAAGAGAUAAAUAUCAACAUAAAAGCAUGAUGCAAAAUGGACGUAUCAACUCCCCCAAGCUUAGACUUCGCUUGUCCUCAAGCGGAAACCGAGAUCAAUAAAUAUGCCCACAUGUUUAGAGAUAGAGGUGUCGACAAAACAAGAUACGGACAUGCAGGCAUCAUGAUCAUAAUCAGAACAACAAUAUCAUCAUAUAAUCUCUUAUGCUAAAGUGAUAAUUCCUUCACAAAGUAAAGUAUGGAUCAAGAACCUUAUUGAGAAUUAACAACCAAUAGCCUUUAGUCAUUGAAGCAAUUGCAAUUUAUCAUAACAUCGGAAAGAGUCAAAUAAGAGCUUGUAAAGCAAAUCCACAUACUCAAUCAUCCUUUCUUCUUCUACAAUUGCUACAACUCACGUGGUACUCAUGAGAUCAAAGUUUCAGUCAGACACAGAGAAAGAUAGGGGCUUAUAGUUUCGCCUCCCAACUAGUUACCUCAAGGGUAAUGUCAACAAUAAUAAUUCAUGAAUACUUACUUCCAAGUUGACAUAUGAAUAUAGAUCUUUCCCUAGCAUAUGACGUUAGCCAAGAUAAAUGCGAAGUAAGGAAUUGGUGUAGAUCACCAUGACUCUUUCAAGGGAAAAAAGUAAAGGUACAAGAUAGGCCCUUCAUAAAGGAAAGCAGAGGUUGUCAUGCGCUUUUGAGGUUUGGAUGUGUGAUCUCUUAGUGUGAAGAAACGUCACUUUAUAUUGCCUCUUAUGAUAAAGAACUUUAUUAUGCAGUCUGUCGUUUUUAUGUCUUCCUCAUCAUAGGUUCGUACAAAGCUUAUUUUCCACACACUAAUAGAUCAUACAUAUUUAGGGAGCAAUUAUUAUUGCUUGCACCGAUGACAACUUACUUGAGGGAUCUUCUUCAAUCCAUAGGUAGGUAUGGUGGACUCUCAUGGCAAAACUAGGUUGAAGGUUUAUGGAUGCACAAGUAGUAUCUCUACUCAGUGCGGAAGUUUUGGUUGAUAUGAGGUGGAAGCAAUCGUCACAUGCUAAGGGAUCUCUAGUCAUAUAAUCAUUGUUCGGAACCAAGCAGACAUAAUUCAUUAUGUUGUCUUCCUUGUCCAACAUCUACUUCUAAGCAUGUAAUGGUUUAAUGAGUGUUCACAAUCAUAGACGGUGUCAAAGAUGAUAUAUUUAUAUGUGAACCUCUCCUUCUUUAUCAUUUCCUAUUAAUUGCAACAAUGACCAAGGUCUACGUUUGUCCACCCACAACAAGUUUCAAUCAACAUUGUUUUUAUAUGUGGAGCCAUCACUUCCCAUAAGAUCAUUACAUGAUCUUUCAUGCUUUUGUUCUUUUAUCAUUCUUUUCUUUAGAUCACGGCAUGAAGCAAGGCCCUUAACUAAAACACUCUUUAUUAUAUGACUCACGAACUCGAGUACAUCGGGGGUGACACAAAGCAAAACUCAAGCCUAAAACACUAAGAACUUUAUUCUACUAGAGAAAGAUAAAACCAAAAAGGAUCGGACUAAGAAAAGGUAAAGGCAAAAGAUGUGAUGGUGAUACGAUACCGAGGCAACUCCCCCAAGCUUGGCACAAUCCAAGGGGAUUGCCCAUACCCGUGCUUAGUUGUCUUCCUUUGGAGGUGAUGGUGGUGGAGUUGUCUUGUCUUUUGAUUCCAAGAGGGCCAUCAAUCUUUGAUUUAUACCUUGGAGCUCUGUGAUAUGUUUCUCCAGCAAAACAACUUCAGGAGUGAGAUAAGUAUUACGAACACGAGUUAUUUCACAUAACCUCAAGAGCUCGAUCAAGGAUGGAGGUAAAAGGUGGAGGUAUGGUUGAAGAAAAUCCUCUUCCUCAGUUUCUUCCUUAUUGAGCACAGAUUGCCCUUCGUCCAACGCCGGAUUCUUCUCCUUAUUUUUGCCCUUAGUUUCUUCAGGUAGCCUUUCCUUGGCCUCCAUGACCUCCAUUAUUUUCAGAUCAACAUUUACUUCUUCAUAGACUUGAGGGAGAUCGUUCUCCCCUACAAAUUCCUGAGACGACAUCUUGCUCUAAAUCUGUGGCAGAAACAGGCUUGAAAUGAGAACAGAGGAAAAUUGCGUGAUACGAGGGUCAGACCUUUCAGGAGAAUAUAUAAUGAUUUUUUUCCGACCAGAAGGAGUACUCCAUAAGAAAACGCAGUCUGGGAGGCACACAGGUGGUCACAAGCCCCCCAGGCGCGUCCAGGGGGGUGGCCCGCGUCUGGCAGGCUUGUUGCCUCCUCGUGCGCUUUCCGGACUACUUUAAAUUUUUUCUAUUUUUCUAAAAAUUCCUACUGGAAAAGUUUUGGAGUCGGUUUACUUACCAAAUCACAUACCUCUUCGUUUUCGGAGUCUGAAACGGGCUGAUAAAUAUCCCUUAUGUACUCCUCCGGAGUUAUGGUAUUGAUAAUAUUGCUUUCAACAUUUAUGGGAGUACCUGAGAUAUAAUGCUUUAUUCUUUGCCCAUUUACCACUCUCGGAAAAUUACCUUCCGUGUUGUUGAUCUUGAUGGCACCGGAAUGAUAUACUUCCUCAACAAUGUAGGGACCUUCCCAUUUAGAGAGAAGCUUGCCUGCAAAAAAUCUUAAACGAGAAAUAUAUAGCAAGACAUAAUCACCUACAUUGAACUCACGCUUUUGUAUCCUUUUAUCAUGCCACCUCUUAACCUUUUCUUUAAACAACUUGGCAUUUUCAUAUGCCUGAGCUCUCCAUUCAUCAAGCGAACUUAUAUCAAAUAACCUCUUCUCACCAGCAAGUUUGAAAUCAAAGUUGAGCUCUUUGAUUGCCCAAUAAGCCUUAUGCUCUAGCUCAAGAGGUAAAUGACAUGCUUUACCGUAAACCAUUUUGUACGGAGACGUGCCCAUGGGAUUCUUAUAAGCAGUUCUAUAAGCCCACAGUGCAUCAUCGAGCUUCUUAGACCAAUUCUUUCUAGACCUAUUAACAGUCUUUUGCAGAACUAAUCUAAUCUCUCUAUUACUUAGCUCUACUUGACCACUGGACUGAGGGUGAUAGGGAGAUGCAAUUCUAUGAUUGACGUCAUACUUAGCAAGCGUUUUACGGAAAGCACCAUGAAUAAAAUGUGAACCACCAUCAGUCAUUAGAUAUUUAGGGACUCCAAAUCUAGGGAAAAUAACUUCUUUAAGCAUCCUGAUAGAGGUGUGAUACGUCCAUUUUGCAUCAUGCUUUCAUGUUGAUAUUUAUCGCUUUAUGGACUGUUAUUAUACAUUGUGGUACCAUACUUAUGCCUUUUCUCUCUUAUUUUGCAAGGUUUAUUUGAAGAGGGAGAAUACCGACAGCUGGAAUUAUGGACUGGAAAAGGAGCAAGUCUGAGUCCUCUAUUCUGCGCAACUCCAAAUGCCGUGAAAAUCAACGUGGAAUUUUUUGGGAAUAUAUAAAAAAAUACUGGGCGAAAGAAGUGCCAGAGGGGAGCUGCCAGGGGCCCGCAAGCCUGUUGGCCACGGCCUGCCCCCUGGCCCCCCUCUUCUGCUAUAUGAAGGGUUUCGUUCGGAAAAAAAUCAGGGCGGAGCUUUUUCGUGGAUUCUCCGCCGCCACGAGGCGGAACUUGAGCAGAACCAAUCUAGAGCUCCGGCAGGACGAUCCUGCCGGGGAAACUUCCCUCCGGAGGGGGAAAUCGUCGCCAUCAUCAUCACCAACACUCCUCUCGUCGGAGGGGAGUCAUCUCCAUCAACAUCUUCAUCAGCACCAUCUCAUCUCCAAACCCUAGUUCAUCACUUGUAACCAAUCUCCNNNNNNNNNNNNNNNNNNNNNNNNNNNNNNNNNNNNNNNNNNNNNNNNNNNNNNNNNNNNNNNNNNNNNNNNNNNNNNNNNNNNNNNNNNNNNNNNNNNNUACACUUGGGGCACUACAAAUUCUCCCACACUACAAAGAAGAUCUCGCCCUCGAGAUCUAAGACUGAAAGAAAUCGGGAAAUUCAGAACGGAGGUGAUCCUCGCGUUCCCACAUAGCCUCUUUAUCGGAAUGGUGAGACCACUGCACUUUGAGAAACUUGACAAUCUUGUUACGGGUCUUGCGCUCAGUCGCCUCGAGAACCGCAACUGGAUGCUCACGAUAAGAAAGGUCAGGCUGAAGGUCGAUAUCUUGAAGAUGCACAGUGCGCUCGGGGGUCUUGAAACACCUCCGAAGCUGAGAUACAUGGAACACAUCAUGGACAUUUGCAAAGGUUGACGGAAGCUCGAGCUGGUACGCAAGGUCGCCCCUCUUGCCAACCACUCUGAACGGACCAAUGAAACGAGGCGCAAGCUUGCCUUUGAUGCCAAAACGUUGCAUACCCUUCAUAGGUGACACCUUGAGAUAGAAAAAUCAUCAAGCUCAUACGACAUGUCACGGUGCUUGCUAUCGUAAUAGCUCUUCUGACAGGACUGCGCUGCUCUGAGGUUGUCGCGAAUGAUCCGACACAUCUCCUCAACUUCUUCUAUCAUAUCAUUGCCAAGGAUCUGACGCUCGCCUGUCUGGGACCAGUUGAGUGGAGUACGGCACUUCCUGCCAUAGAGAAUUUCAAACGGAGCCUUGCCAGAACUAGCUUGAUAACUAUUGUUAUACGAGAACUCCGCGAAAGGCAGACAAUCCUCCCACUUCAUGCCAAAAGAGAUAACACAGGCUCUCAACAUGUCCUCAAGAACUUGAUUCACUCUCUCCACUUGACCACUAGUCUGAGGAUGGAACGUUGUGCUGAAGCGGAUCUUCGUGCCCAUAGCAGACUGAAAGGAGUCCCAGAACUUGGAAGUGAAGAUACUUCCGCAAUUUGAAGAGAUCAUCAUAGGUACGCCGUGCAAAGAGACAAUCCUGGAGGUGUACAACUCUGCCAACUCAGCUGCUAAAAUGGACUCCUUGACUGGAAGGAAAUGAGCCACUUUACUCAAUUUGUCGAUGACGACGAAGAUAGCAUCAUUGCCCUUCUUGGACUUCGGAAACCCGGUGACGAAGUCCAUCUCAAUGUGAUCAAACUUCCACUCGGGAAUCGGCAAAGGCUGCAAGAGGCCUGCUGGUCUUUGAUGUUCUGCUUUAACCCUUCGACAUACAUCACACUCGUUUACGAAUUGUGCAAUUUCACGUUCCAUACGAGUCCACUAGAAUGUCUGCUUCAAGUCAUGGUACAUUUUGGAACUUCCAGGAUGAAUAGAGAGCAGAGAGUUAUGAGCUUCUUCCAUGAUCACCUUCCUGAGAUCACCUUUUGGGACGACAAGGCGAUCCUCGAAAAACAAUAUGUCCCUGGCAUCAACAGUGAAACACUUAUACUUGGGGAGACUCUUUCCCACGCCAAUCUUGACCUUUUUCACCAUAGCGUCAAGUAGUUGAGCUGCUCUGACUGAUCUUCCAAGGUAGGAGAGAUCUGAAGGUUCGCAAGAAAACCCUGAGGAACUAGCUGAAGAUUGAGCUUCCUGAAAGACUCAUAAAGACCCGGCUGGAGAGGUUGCAGAAUCAGACUAUUGCAAUAUGCCUUCCUGCUCAAUGCAUCUGCCACAACAUUUGCCUUGCCUGACGUGUACUCAACACUCGGAUUGAAAUCCUGGAGCAUUUCGACCCAACGUGUUUGCCAAAGAUUCAAGUUAGGCUGAGUGAAGAUAUACUUGAGACUCUUGUGAUCGGUGAAAACUUCAACCUUACGUUCCAGCAAGAGAUGUCUCCAAGUCAUCAAGGCGUGCACAACAGCUGCUAGCUCGAGAUCGUGCACAGGAUAGUUCUUCUCCGCAGGCUUCAGCUUCCUGGAGGUAUAAGCAACCACCUUCCUAUCUUGCAUCAAGACUGCACCAAGACCCUCGAGAGAAGCAUCGCAAAAGACCUGGUACGGCUUGGAAUCAUCCGGAGGGGCCAAUACCGGAGUGGAGAUAAGCUUCUCUUUGAGUGUAUCGAAAGCCAGUUGACACUCUGGAGACCAAACAUACUUAACACCCUUCUGAAGAAGACUAGAGAGCGGCUUGGCGACUUUGGAGAAGUUCUCCACGAAUCUUCUGCAAUAUCCGGCAAGCCCGAGAAAGCUUCGAAGCUGCUUCACAUUCUGCGGAGGUUCCCAUUCAACAAUGGCUUGAACCUUGGACGGGUCAACCUUAAUGCCCUCGGCAGAGAUAAUAUGCCCAAGAUAAACCACUUCUUUCAGCCAGAACUCGCACUUGAAAAACUUGGCAUACAGCUUGUAUUCUCUCAGUUUAUCAAGCACCAACCUGAGAUGUCUCUCAUGUUCUUCCUCAUCCUCAGAAAAGACCAGAAUGUCGUCGAGAUAGAGCAAGACAAAUUCAUUCUUGUAUGGUGAGAAAAUAUAGUUCAUCAAUUGACAAAAAGUCGGAGGAGCAUUAGCCAGACCAAAAGACAUGACCGUAUACUCAUACGAGCCAAAACUAGUCCUGAAGGCCGUCUUCAGAAUGUCUUCCUCGCGAAUGCGAAUUUGAUGAUAGCCCAUUCUGAGAUCAAGCUUGGAGAAUACUUUAGCACCUUUCAACUGUUCGAACAACUCAGUUAUGUUCGGAAGUGGAUAUUUGUUCUUGAUUGUCUUCUUGUUCAAUGGGCGGUAAUCGACACACAUAUGGUCCGAACCAUCCUUCUUCUUGACAAAUAGAACACCACAUCCCGACGGAGACGAGCUUGGUCUGAUCAAACCCAAACGCUCCUGCUCAUCGAGUUGCCUCUUGAGUUCCUUCAAUUCUUCUGGACCCAGCUUGUACGGCCGUUUGCACACUGGCUCUGUGCCUGGCUCAAGCUCAAUGACGAACUCAACUUCACGAUGCGGAGGCAUGCCUGGCAGCUCUUCAGGAAACACAUCUUGAUAUUCGUAGACCACUGGAACUUGCUCAAUAGGAUUGAUCUCACCCUUUUCAUUCAAGGAGAACAAACGGAUUGUAUCAUCGCGCGCCGCGAAUAUAAUCACAUCCUCCGAAGGGUGGGUAAUCUUGACUUCUUUAGCUUCACAAUCAAUUGACGCCUUGUUCAUGGCCAACCAGUCCAUACCAAGAAUCAAGUCGAUGUCGGAAUUGCCCAAGACAUACGGAGAGGCCAGAAAAGAAUAACUGCCUAUCUUGACAGAAGCAUCCGGAGCAACCCAACGAGAACUCAUAAGCAUACCCGGAGAAACAUUGUCCAAAGACCUAGCCAACUCUUGAAGAUGGAAAUCAUGCUUUGCCGCAAAAGGAUAUGACAAGAAAGAAUGCGAUGCACCAGAAUCGAAUAACACUUUAGCAGGAAUAUCAUUGACGAGGAGGUUACCCAUGAUCACAUCAGAGGAGUUGUCUGCUUCAGCUGCAUUCACCAUGUUGACUCGAGUUGAUCCGGGGUUGAAUUUGACAAGAGCAUUGCUUGGAGGUUUGCCUGGAGGAGGAGGAGGAGGCAGACGGAGCUGAGAAGUACAUUUGUUGGCAUAGUGACCCUUCUGCCCACAUUUGUGACAAGUGACAUCUGCUCGCUGCCGGAACUGAGUCUGGGGAGGCCCUUGCUUCUGAUGCUGGUAUCUCUGCUGGAAGCCAGGGUUGGGUGGGUGGGAAGAACCACGUCUACGUGAGUGCUUCAGCUGCUGUGAGUGCCGAGGAGGAGGAGGAGAAACCCAAAACCUCUGUUGCUUCUGAACCACCUGAGUCGAGGAAGAGCUGGAAUCUCUGAAGCGCUUCUUGGAGUUUUCCACCCUGAGCAAGGCUGCCUCUGCUCGGAGAGCUAAGUUGUAGAACUUGUCAAACUCCUCAGGAUCGUGCAAAGCAAGCGCUAACUGCAAAUCCUCCUUCAAGCCACCCCUGAACUGGUAGAUCUUGCUCUUCUGAUCCGGGACAUCCUGCAACGCGUAACGGGCCAGCUCAUGGAACUCGACAUUGUACUUGUACACAGAAUUGCUGCCCUGCUUCAAAUGCCUGAACUUCUCAUGCAUCUCCUCAACAAAACUGGAAGGGAUGUAGUGGGACCUGAAGUCAUGACAAAACUCGUCCCAAGACAUCACCCUGCCACCUCUGGAGUCCUUAAGCUGCUGCCACCAAAUAGAAGCCUGCCCCUUCAACUGAAAUGUUGCAAACUUGACAUAGUCCUCCGGACGCACAUUGCUACACUCGAAAUGUUUGUUCAUAUCACGGAUCCAAUCUUCCGGACCAAAAGGUUGGUCGCAAGAAGUGAACGUCUUAGGCUGGUUUGACAGGAACUGACUCAGAUUGGCGAAGUGAUUGCCACCCUGCUGAAAAUUGCCCUGCUGAUGAUUGGCUCUCUCCUGGAUCAACUGCAACAGCAUCUGAGUGUUUGCAUUAGUAGCUGCCAUCAUCGCCUGCCAGGCCUCUGCAGGAGGAGGCGGCGGCGGAGGAGGAGGAGGAGGUGGAGGCGGCAUAUCCUCACGCCCUGGGGUCUGACGAGUCGGUGGAGCCAUCCUGAAGACGGACAGCAUAUUAGUCCAUAGGAUAAUUGAAGAUAUUGCUGAAUCAAAAGACAGAAUAUCUGAAUAGAAUUUAGCAUUGCACUCGAACAACAUAGCAAGAGUGCAUCCUCAAAGUAACAGACGACAAAAUUCCGAUAAGGACCACUUCAAACAAGUGUGAGCUAGAACUGCUCGGAACAAACAUAUGACCGAGAUUUCCCAAACCUCAAUCAAGCGUCUGUAGGAAGAUAGUCCUAUAAGAUACUACUAGAUAUCCCACCUAUGAAUUCCCGAAAUAACUGGUCAUGCAAUCAGGUACACAGAUACAAGGAGUAUUUCACACAACUCCUAAACUAACCCGUCACCUGUAUCACAUCCUUCAACACACAACUAGCAUCUCGGACCUUCAUCGACAACAGAUCCUCGUGAUCACAACGAUACAAAGUGUGGUAAUACCCUCGAACAAUCUACACCAGUACUGGGGAUAUCAGGGUUAUCUGAGCACUACCCGUAUUGAAGCAAUAACGAACACCCUCCGUUCUUAGAUACUCAGAAAUCUGAAUGAUGGCGAUGUGCGCAAGAAUCCCUGGAGCUCAACUCCCCUGAUACUUAGAGAAGAUAGGAGGCACCAGGACAUGAUUCCGUCACAUCGAAAUCAUAUAGAUUUCACAAAUACCCGCGUGAUCCUAAAAAAAUUGAACGAGAAAAGGAGUAGAGUUAAAGAUUUCCUAAGACGGGAACCUCACCAGAGCAUAGAAGAGGAGAAAAAAGAGUCCUACUCUCUGAUAUAACUAAGACUCAAAACAUUUUCUAGACUCGACUCGGCCAAGUACGAUCACACAAGGCUCCUAUGGUCGUAAGGCUCUGAUUACCAACUUGUAACGACCAAGAUGCGGUCCUUUCCGAUCUGGGGGUCGAUGCCCCCGAAUAGGAAAGAAGCGCAUCUAAGCGUUUCGCAAACUAGUAACAUAGCACAAAUAAUAAUAAAAGUAGACAAUUCGGGAUUCAACUGUCUUCUUAUUAAUAACUCAGAGUACAUCACAGAUACAAUCAAGGUAGUUCCGCUACGUACUACAAAACAUGGAAAUGCUAUGCUACCCUGCCUGCAGGCCCACGAUCAUGACCACGCCUCAAUCCUCUGGAUAGUUCACGUAGAUGCGGUCUGUCUCCUCGUCGUACUGCCACGCCAGCUGGGUGCCGUCGGGAUCAUCUGUCUCUGGGGUACCUGUACCUGCUGGGAGUUUCAGAGGAACCCGUGAGCCACGGGGACUCAGCAAUCUAAGACCUUGGUGCCAGAACUAGUCAUGUUAUUAGGUAGGGCAAGGGUGAAGUGUAUAAGGCCGCAGCAUCCUAAGCUUUAUUAAGUGGCUAACUUACGCGAAGUAAUUAUGAAGGUGAUCUAUACUAGCGUUCGGGAUUACUUGAUCACUAAGUGAUCCUGAACACCUACCUACGGCAUUCAUAACCCCACCGUGUCCCCGAUCGAAGAGAGAUCUUCGAAGGGACAGUCAUGGUUACGCACACAGUUGGCAGUUUUAUUAGCUUAUGUUUGAGUUCUCUAAUACCGGAUGUUAACAAAAUAUUCCAAGUUGCCACAUAACCGCGGGCACGGCUUUCCGAAAGAUUAAACCCUGCAGGGGUGCUCCAACUAGUCCAUCACAAACGAACACAGGCCGCAAAGGCAUCCUCUAUCACGAAUCUCGUGAUCUCGUCGGAUUCCUUAGAGGAAAACCUCAACUCUGGGGGAAACCAAAGCUUCACUGGGAUUCCUAUACACAAGAUAUACCGCUAAGGUAAGGCAAGACUAGCAGGACCUCCCGACGUGUCGACGACCCUGAUAAGAGCCGCGUAUCUCAGUCUCAGGACACGCCGGAUGAGUCACACUACAGGUAUACCAAACCUCAGGUUGCCCUGUGGUGGCCCCAUAGUCUGCCCAGUUUGGACCAACACUCAUGAGGAGGACUGGCCCGGGUUGUUGAUUAAAAUCCUCGGGGUAGCUAUUCCCUAUGCAGGUUAUUAUUAAGUGAUUAGCAAAUUAACACCAAUGUUGGGUCCUGCCGGACAAGCCUUAGCACUACGCGAUUUAUCGAGGGGGUCCCCAUAACAACCCCGAACGUGUUAGGAGCGAUCAUUAUGGAAUCAAACACCGGUAACCGGUAACUAAGGCGGCAAUAACGUAACAAAGCACCCGGCAAAAGGCUAGGCCUCCCACCAUUUACCAAGUAUAUAGGUGCAUUAAAUAAAUAACAGAAUUUAAUAUAAUGAUAUCAAGCUCAUGUGACUACAUGAGUCAAAGCACCUGCAACUAGCAACGCUAACAUUAGUAGCUGAGCAAGCCUACUUAGCCAUACAAGUUUUGCUAGGAAGGGAACAGUGUUUGGGCUCAUGGCAUAUGAAGAUGCAAUUUAAUUCAGUGGUAGGCAGCGAGAAAUAAGACAUGGAAUCGAAAACUAGCAUAACAAGUCUAGAGAUGGAAUCAAGGUCAUAUCAUCUUGCCUGUGAUAUCCUCAGCUUGGAAUGGUUCUGGUUCGUCCUGCACGUACUCUCCUGACUCCACGUAUUCGUUCUCCGAUCCCGGUGCUACCCAACAUGAGAAUAACAUCCAAUGAACAGCAGCACCACAAGAUGCAACAAGCACAUGAUGCAUGAGAUGAAAAUUGAGCAUGCACCACUAUUUCUAUCUCUAGCACAAGCAAAUUAAACUACUGCAAGUUUCUGGACAGAACUGUACCCUAAGCUAUUUUUACAUGCAUGAUAAUGACAUGAUCAGAUGCGUCUCGUGAAAAUGAUGCAAAACCAUAUAAAGAACAAUACAAUCGGAGCUACGGAUCAACGGGAAUCAACGAAACAAGAUAUGAAGCCCUACGUGUCAAAAUCAUCACCACACACUCAAAUGGCACAAAUCUGGUAUUCCCAGGUUGCCAAGACAUAAAACAAGCCAUCAUGGAUGGGGUGGAGCAAAGAAGAACACCACAACAUCAACUAAGCACUCACAAUCAUCAAAAUUACAAAACUACAUAAUCUGCAUCAUAGCACUUUGUGAGCUACAUGCAAAGCACCUACAGCCACCCAACUAUGACAAAUAAUAUAUGUGGCUGUAGCCCACCAAGAACACUACAAGCACCAGCAAUAAUCACAGCAAAAGGAAUUAAACUCUAGAAGAUACAAGGCCACAAACUUUCCCAAAACCAUCAGAUCUCAGGGACUUAGUGAAAAAUCCUGCACCUGAGUUUCUGUCUUUGUUCUGAAGCUUUUUGAUAGCAAUCAAAACACAACCUACUGGACUCCAAAUGAUUUUAAAUUUUACAGGGAGCUUCAAGAACAUAUCAGGUCCAAAAUCCUAGCACUGAUCUAAGGCUAGUUCUCAACACAAUGACCAGCACAUCCUCAUCUAUAAGAGAAGAAAAUGUUUCCAGAAUCCCAGACUUAGUGAAAUUCCAGAUUUCACUAAUCUGGAAUUUUCAGCCACAUGCCCACUUUGCUAGGCAUAGUUUGCACACACAUAACACCAAAUGAUAAAUGACACCACUAUGGUGUAGAGAAAAACCCCUACUACUAUCACACAAAAACUCAUGCCCUUGGGCUCCACCUAUUCCAUGGAAUCAAAGAUCAAACUUGCAACAAAUCUGAAUAUGUCAACUCCAUAAAGUAUCCUAAUGGAAAAACAAACUUCUCCACUGGAUUCCUUGGGAUAUUCUACCCCAAAAUCAUAUAUAAUAUGUGGGCACUUACUUGGAACAAGUGACCACAAUUAAGGGAGAGUAAACUACUCCAAAUCAUGCCUAGGGAAUGGGCAUCAUUUCAUGUAGUUCCUACUAAGACAACAACUACAAAGGUUGAGCUCAUGUGCACAAUGACAAAGUGACAUGGGGGUUUGAACCCCAUGUUUGUGUCAUGCACAUCAACAACACAAAUACUUCUCACUAAGUCACCCCCACACACACAUCAUGCUCUCUCUCAAAUUAAACAUGAGGAGGUGCACAACUUGCACAUGGGGCUGGUUUACCACCUAUACAUCACACCACAAUCUCAUCAUGAGCCCUAAGACUCCAAGAACAAUAUAAGGGAAGCUAUCAAGCAAAUGAUAGUACGGCUACACUCACUUGCACACCUACACUAGCAAUACCUCAUGUGUGUGCAACACACACACACAUGCACAUCAUCUACUGCCAUCCAACUAGUCACACAAGCAAAGAACAUAAGCCACCUACAUAUCAUCAUAUACUAGGGUAGCAUCACCACACACACACACACACAUAUGGCUAACAUCAUGUGUAUGCACACACACACAUGCACCUCUCACAAGAGCACACACACACACAUACCAUCUGGUCUACUAUAGCAGCAGAGGAACAAAAUAAUAUUAUGCCAUCUGUGUCGUGGUUUUGUCACGGCAGAUGUCCUCGUGAAAGGACUUAGUACGGGAGCCAUCGCACCUUGGUGGCGAAUCAAAGGGGUUGAACAGGAGGAACGCCGCGGGUUACCCAGGUUCGGCCCCUCGUGUGGAGGUAAUAGCCUACGUCCUGCUUUCCGUUUAUUGAUGUGGAUUCGAUUACAAGAGAGGCGUAACUCGCCUAACCUAGCACUCAAUGAUUUCUAACCUAUCUCUCCCCCUUCAGGCUCGCCUUUAUAUAUAGGUCAAGGCUUUAGGGUUUACAAGAGUCCCUUUCUCCUUACAGAUCGUGACCACCGCGGUCUCUAAGUCGCCGUCUUGCAAAACCCAAAGACAUUCCAUAAAUCAUAACCGUCCCGCGACCUUGAACCGCCCAGGCUGAGGCCCAAAUAGCCCAAAGGAUAAAUCGCCUUAGUAGUAACCCGGCCUAUAUUGGGCGGGUCACUUAAUAAGCAAUAUCCCCAACAUUAGGCCCCAAAUUGACUUGAAUUUUCAUGCCAAUGCUUCCGCUUUAGUUGAAGGUGAUUCACUCCUUCGUUUUCCUCCAUACGUUAGAAAUUUUAACUCGCCAUCCGGUACCGGAAAAAUCUUUGAGUCGCCAAUCCAUUUCCCGUCGGCACCUUCCUUAUCCCUCGAUCUUCGGGAAACUUAACAUAAUCCCAACGGAUCUUUUAGUGCAUCAUUAUCCCGAGAUUUUCGGACGUCAUCAUGGCGAAUAUGUUUAUUCCCCAACGGUUCCCGCUCACGGCGCCUCGAUUCUAGCGCCCGUCCUGAUAAAUAGGCGGACAGGACAGGGCUGGCGCUGGCCACCUACCAGUCUCGUCAGUCCCCCCCAUUAUCGCAGCAAAAGACCGCAUCGCUUCCCGAGGGCUCCGCCGCCGGCCGCAACUUCCGCCCCCGUUCGAGGAGCUUCAGUGCCGCCCGCAAGCCGUCGCCGUCGUCAAGCUUCGCACCUCGGUCUAUCCGUCCGCCGUCAUUGUCCAUCGCAUCAUCACCGGCAACCUAGUUGCUCGCCCCGAGCUCCGCCGCCGCCGAAGGUCUCUUCGUUCGUCGGGACUCCCGCGCUUCUCCAGCGAUCUCCGUCACCGCCGGUCUUCUUUGAUCGAGAGCAUCAGUUCAGGCCCUCGUUCCCCCUCUUAGGAGUAGGUUUAUUCCCUGCUUGUAUUUCCGCCAUUGCCGUAGCUUUGAAGCUUUCCGCUCAUAGUCAUUCAUUUCCCUCGAAUCGAUUAAUCCGAGCGCCGCUAAGGUAGCCAGUGCCUUGAAUAAUUUUAACCAUCCGCUGUACUUGCGAAUUUAUGAAUACAAUGUCUUCUCCAAACGAGGGGCGUCACCUGAUAAUACAUUGUUCAUGCCCAGCCAUAUUCGUAGGUUUUUAUAUCUGUUUGGCAGAUCCAUUCCUCAUUCACUGUUUGUAAAAAACUGUUUGUAACCUUCAUCCCCCCCUUAGUGCUUCGGAACGAAUAGACUUUACCAUCCACAGUAACAUAGCCUUUGGAAAUAGCCCUGCUUCCAUAAGUCACCAUAUCAAUCCAACCCAGCCUCUUAGUCUGGCGGGUUAACAUGAACUGAUCCCGAUUCAUAUAGUAGAUGUCCAAGACAUGUAGCAUGGGUGCCGUUUUCAAGAGCGAUUGGCUUCCUACCAAAGUUGAUGAUGCUGUCUUAGCUAAUUACGUGAAAGCGGGCUGUUUGGAUCCUCAAGAUGUCAUUGGAUGGCGCACCGGGUUGGGAGAAGAUCUCCCCAACCCCAAAGAAGGGGAAAUAGUAGUCUUUGUGGAACACUUGGAACGGGGUUUUAAGCCGCCCGGAUCCAAAUUUCUUAGGGACGCUUUGACCUUCAUGAACGUCCGACUCCAGGAUUUGGGACCCAAUUCCAUAAGCAACUUGAGCCAGUUCCAAGUCCUUUGCGAAGCUUAUCUGCGGAUCGAGCCUUCCGUUCCUCUGUUCUAGCACUUUUUCCAUCUGAAUCGCCAAACGGAAUUCCACAACGGCCCCAGUUUGGAACUCGGCGGUGUCAACGUUCAGCGCCGUAGGGAUAGUCCGUUUCCUUCACUCACCAUGCCUAGCCAUCCCAAGGGCUGGGGUGAAUCUUGGUUUUAUUGUCAAGAAACGUCCCCUGCUGGUGAGAACAAGCUUCUGGGCUACAGGCCAACCCGCCUUCCGGUUAACUUCAAGCUCCCCGACAAGCUCACCGAGGAAGAAGAGUCGGAGUUCAUCCCAAUAUUGUCUGAACUGAGAUCCCUGACGAACAAUGGUCUUACCGGGGUUGACCUGAUCCGCUGCUGGGUCGAAUGGCGGAUUCUUCCUCUGAGCCGCCGAGAUGGUCUAAUGUGUGAAUUUGACGGCACUCUAGAUCAUCCCCAAUGCUACUUUCACACAGCAUUAACAGAGAAAGACAUUGUUGCCAUCAUCAAAAAGCUGACCGGCGAGCCCGCAGGAAAGUGCGGCCAAAUCGGCCUUAAGCCCUUCUGCAAGAUUAACCCGGCGCCCAAGGUAACCAAAGCUGACCCACCCUUGAUUUUUAUUCCUUCUGCUUUAUUGCCAUCAUGACUUCAUACCAUAUACCUUUCCAGAAAGGCGACAAGUUCUGGUCCAGGAGACCUAAAAAGCAAGCCAUGAAAACUGCUAAGCCGCCCUCUAAGAAAAACAAGGGCAAAGGUAAAUCCGCUGCGGCUGAGCCAUCUGAAGUCGACGAAUCUCAAGUCGGCGACGCACUUUCAGAGGUACCAAUCCGUCCUCUUUUUCACUCGCCACCUAUUACUUUUGACCUUUUAUUUAUAUCUCUCACUCUUCUUGUAAUAGAAUGAAGAUAACGAAAGCCAAGAAGACUCUGUUGAGGUAAUUUCUGUUUCCUCCGAUUCAUCUCCUUCUCCACCUAAGCCGGCCCGGCGAAUAUGUGGGAAAGUUCCCUUCUCACAUCCAAAUGCCCAUUUGGACCCAAAUUUCUUACUGAAGAAAACACAGCACGCCUCAAACCAGAAGACACGAAGUCACUCUGGCGAUCUGAUAUCUGGUUUGCCAGCAACAAACAAAAGAAAACCAAGCGAGGUACCCUUUUUUUUAUAUGAGCAACCAUUGUUCGUGCUGCUUUGGAUUACAUCUGCAACCCGCCUGUAUUAUUGAUGUAUAAUUCCUGCAGAAUUCUCCCCCCACUUCCGGCGACUCAGUGAUGUCAACACUUCCAUCAAUGAUUCGAGUUCCGGGGUAAGUCUUUUGCCUUGACUUUUGAGAAUAACGAUCUUUUCAAUUCCUUAACACGCUUAUCUUCUUUUGUUAGGGCACAAGCCAAAAAAAGGAAAACCAGUGGAUCAAUCCCUGAUGCAACUUCCGUACUUCCAAGGAAAUCAACUCCGACUCAAGAGGAUCCGGGUCAAGCUGAGCCGGCAAUUCAAGUGGAUCUUCCUGAGUCGCCGAAAGGAACAGCGGAUGCCCCUAAAUCGCCGAACGUAUUGACGACAGCGGAUGACCCAGAUGCUGUAGUCAUUACUGGUUCCGGCUUUUCCAAGCCGGCGGCGAAAGUUCUGUCCAAACACGUAGCAUCCUCCUCUCAAGCAAUCCCUGAGUCUGGGCUCUCCAAGGCAAAGCUUUCCGACUAUGCAAAUCUGGAGUUUAAAGAACUCUGUUCUGGCUUCGCAAGUCGCCUGGAAGCGAGCUAUGAGAUGGAGAAAAAUCUGCUAAAGAUGUUAAACAACAAACAUGAGGUAAACUUUAUACUUUAUACUAUCCCCAGUAACCCCCAAGGGCCGGGUCAUCAGUAAAAAGAUGAGCCGGGUCUUAAAAAUUUAGAAAAAGCUUCGCGACCAGUAACCCCCAAGGGCCGGGUCAUCAAUAAAAGAUGAGCCGGGUCUUAAAAAUUUAGAAAAAGCUUCGCGACCAGUAACCCCCAAGGGCCGGGUCAUCAAUAAAAGAUGAGACGGGUCUUGAUUUUUGUAUAAUUUUUCCUGAGAAAUUAUACAUUAGCCCCCAAGUGUCAGGGGUAUUGUUUUGCAAUAAUUCUGAGACUUGUCUUUAUUUUAAACUUUCAAUAGGAAAACCUUUCUCAGACCGAACUGGCGCUGGGCGAUUUAAGGAGAAACUUAGCUGAACAACAAGACGCCCGAACCCAGUUAGAAGAUAAGUAUAAAUUGGCUCUAGUCGAACUGGAAAAACUCAAAACCGAGUUAGAAAAAACUCGAGCUGACCAAAACGCUGCUUUGAAGAGAGCAGAGAAGGCUGAAGCGAAGCUGGCGACUGUUCAACAGGAGUUAUCCGGCUUAAAACGUCACAUCUCUAACAUGACGCAAGCCAUCUUUGGUAAGUCUUACCUAAAUCUCCAACCUUGUCCCCUCCUUUUGGCCAAAUUUCUGAUGUUUAAGUUACUGAUUAUCAAAUUCCAGGUCCAAGAGUCGCCAACCUGCAAGAAGACUGUGUGUUGAUGCUAAAGGCGAUUUAUACGCUGACAGAGCAACUGUACACAGGCAGUGUGUUGACCGUCAAAGCUGUAAUGGGUGCAAAAGAGCCGAUUACUUCCAUCAAGAAAGUACUUGGAUGUCUGUCCACGCUUCCUCCCCAGAUUGGCGAGUUAACUCGGUCAGCCGCCCGGAAAGGCGUCCUGACGGCCCUGAGUCGCUGCUUAGCGUAUGCUCCGGAGAUUAAUUUGGAAGAAGUAGCCGUCGGCUUCCCUCAGCUUAAAGAUGAUGGAUCGGAAUUCGUUGAAGAGGAUUACCAGAAAGUUGUCAAGGAUUCUCGGUUGGCUGCAACUCAACUCGCCGCAAGUCUUGACUUAACAAAGUAUCAGGCGGCUUAUGACAGUAAGAAUAAGAAAGUCAUCCCGCCAACCUUCGUGGUGACCAACCUAAUUCCUCGGCGACCCAAGAAUCCUUUCGACUAGGAAACAGACUUGGCAUCAAUCUUGACCGAUGAAGACGAUUUUGCUUCUUUGGCCAGGUGCAAUUGGGUCUUGGGCGAUUUACAAAUCGAAGCUGGUCAGAGCUCACGUCAGGACUUAGCGGAGUAGACUUUUCUUGAAUUUGGCCCGCGAGCCAUGUAAUAGUCAGUACUAUCUUUUGAUGACAUCUUCUGCAAGAAAAAUCCUUAUACCGCUUUUUGAGGCGAUUUGAAAUAUUUGGUCCGCCUUUAUAAGAAUCUUCUACAAUGCUUAAUCCACCAAGGAUGAAACUUUGAACACAUUAUCUGUGAAAACAAAAGAACUACGAAUAGUUUCAGCAAACAUGCAGAAAGGAUAAAAACCUUCAAGAUUAAACCAUAAUAAGAGUAAUUUCGUCGGCUCAUACGGUCGCGACAGGGGCAGGCGAGUCAGAAAGCUCNNNNNNNNNNNNNNNNNNNNNNNNNNNNNNNNNNNNNNNNNNNNNNNNNNNNNNNNNNNNNNNNNNNNNNNNNNNNNNNNNNNNNNNNNNNNNNNNNNNNNNNNNNNNNNNNNNNNNNNNNNNNNNNNNNNNNNNNNNNNNNNNNNNNNNNNNNNNNNNNNNNNNNNNNNNNNNNNNNNNNNNNNNNNNNNNNNNNNNNNNNNNNNNNNNNNNNNNNNNNNNNNNNNNNNNNNNNNNNNNNNNNNNNNNNNNNNNNNNNNNNNNNNNNNNNNNNNNNNNNNNNNNNNNNNNNNNNNNNNNNNNNNNNNNNNNNNNNNNNNNNNNNNNNNNNNNNNNGCACCCACCCUAAAUGCAUGUUCUGUCGGCUCAUAAGGUCGCAACAGGAUGACACAAAUCUUAUUUUCUUUUUUAAAGAAGAAGCCCCCAAGUCGGAGAACAUUUUAUUACUUCAUAAUGAAACUGAAAAACUUACAAAGCAUGGAGUUUUAAGAACUCAAGUGUAGUAAGGCCGCAAAUGAGCAAUAUUCCAGGGGCGAGUUGACUCAGCCUCUGUAGUCGGUCGAUUAGGCCGAAGAUCCAUCAAGUAGUAAGAGCCAUUGCGGAGGUUCUUGCUGACGACGAAAGGCCCUUCCCAAGGGGGCGAGAGCUUGUGCAUGCCUUCCCGAUCUUGUAUCAGACGAAGUACCAAGUCGCCCUCCUGGAAAACCCGACUCUUAACCCGGCGACUAUGAUAACGCCGCAGAUCCUGCUGAUAGAUAGCUGAACGAGCCGCAACUAGGUCACGCGCCUCUUCCAAGGCAUCCAAGGAAUCCUGACGCGCCAACUCAUUAUCUUGUUCCACAUAUGCGGCGACUCUAAUAGAAUCAUGUCUUAUGUCAGUGGGAAGGACAGCUUCUGCUCCAUAGACCAAAAAGAAAGGAGUGAACCCUGUGGAUCGAUUCGGGGUGGUUCGGAUGCUCCACAAUACCGAAGGUAAUUCUUCAACCCAACACCCUAGAGUCCUUUCCAGGGGAACCAUGAGGCGAGGUUUAAUCCCUCGCAAGACUUCUUGAUUCGCCCGCUCUGCUUGCCCGUUGGACUGCGGGUGAGCAACUGCAGAAAUAUCAAGCCGGAUAUGUUCACAGCGACAAAAAUCCAGCAUCGCUCCUUGGGACAAGUUAGUACCAUUGUCCGUGAUAAUACUGUGUGGAUAUCCAAAACGGAAAAUCAGCUUUUUCAGAAAUUUGACCGCGGUCUCCGCAUCGCAAGCUCCAACAGGUUCCGCCUCAACCCAUUUAGUGAACUUAUCAACCGCCACCAAUAAGUGAGUUUUCUUGUUAGAGGACAUCUUAAAGGGGCCGACCAUGUCUAACCCCCAGACCGCGAAAGGCCAAGUAAUGGGAAUCAUCCUCAAUUCUUGAGCCGGCACAUGAGCCUGUUUCUCAUACCAUUGGCACCCCUCGCACCGCCGUACUAUGUCUUCUGCAUCCGCAUGAGCCAUCAACCAGAAGAAACCAUGUCGAAAAGCCUUUGAUACCAAAGAACGUGACCCGGCGUGAUGCCCGCAGUCUCCCGAAUGAAUGUCAUUUAGGAUUACGCAUCCUUCCUCGGAGGAAACACACCGUUGAAAGACCCCAGAAGCACUCCGUUUAUAUAACUCGCCAUUAAUAAUGACCAUGGAUUUGCUACGUCGAACGAUCUGGCGAGCCACAACUUCGUCGGUGGGUAACUCGCCGCGAUCGAGAUAAGCCAGAUAAGGAAGAGCCCAAUCCGGAGUGACAUGGAGGGCCGCCACAAGCUGAGACUCAGGAUCCCGUAUCGCCAAUUCUUCCUCCGUGGGUGUAGUCACAGACGGUUUAUGCAAGAUAUCCAAAAAAACAUUAGGGGGGACCGGUUUUCUCUGUGAGCCGAGUCGCGAGAGGGCAUCGGCUGCUUCGUUGAGUCGCCGAUCAAUAUGAUCCACCUGGUACCCAUGAAAAUAGCCCGCCACAUCAGAUACAGCUCGCCUGUAAGCCGCCAUCAUAGGAUCCCGAGAGUCCCAGGUACCCGAAACCUGUUGCGCCACCAAAUCUGAAUCCCCAAAGCAUCUGACUCGGGUUAGGUUCAUCUCUUUAGCCAGUCGCAAACCGUGAAGCAGAGCUUCAUAUUCUGCCGCAUUAUUUGUGCAGGGGAACAUUAGCCGGAGAACAUAGCUGAACUUAUCUCCUUGAGGGGAUAUCAACACCACACCAGCCCCCGAGCCCUCCAACUGCCUGGAUCCGUCAAAGUAAAUAGUCCAAUAGGUAAGGUCAGGCCGAUCUUCCGGAGCCUGAAGUUCCGUCCAGUCGUUAACGAAAUCAACCAGUGCCUGGGACUUGAUGGCUGUGCGGGGGGUAUAUUGUAUAUGAUGACACCCAAGCUCUAUUGCCCAUUUGGCGAUUCGCCCUGUUGCCUCCCGAUUUUGGAUGACGUCACCGAGGGGGGCGGAACUGACCACAGUGAUUGGGUGCUCCUGGAAAUAAUGUUUAAGCUUUCGACUAGCCAUGAACACCCCAUAGAGUAGUUUCUGCCAAUGCGGAUAUCGUUGUUUGGAAAGAGUUAACACCUCACUGAUAAAAUAUACCGGACGUUGCACCGGGUAUUCCUUUCCUUCCUCCUUUCUUUCGACGACCACAGCCACGCUGACCGCUUUGGAAUUUGUCGCGAUAUACAGGAGCAUGGGUUCCUUCUCAGUUGGGGCUGCCAAGACCGGCGGGUUAACCAAUUGAUGUUUCAAGGCCUGAAGCGCCUCGUCUGCCUCAUCUGUCCAUACGAAUCGGUCGGAUUUCCUCAACAAUUGGUAAAGAGGAAUCGCCUUUUCCCCAAGGCGGCUCACGAAACGACUUAGAGCCGCAAUGCGGCCCGCUAGCCGCUGAACUUGAUUAACGUUCGUCGGCUUCCCGAGAGAGGUAACCGCUUCAAUUUUGUCCGGGUUAGCCUCGAUGCCGCGCUCCGAUACCAAGAAACCUAGCAAUUUUCCUGCAGGUACGCCAAAAACGCACUUGGUAGGAUUCAGCUUCAUCUGAUAUACUCGUAAAUUAUCGAAGGUUUCCUUAAGGUCUUCCAAAAGUGUCUCCCCCCGGCGGGUCUUGAUGACAAUGUCGUCAACGUAGGCAUGGAUGUUGCGGCCAAUUUGGUUAUGAAGGAAAUUCUGGAUGCAAUGUUGAUAAGUCGCCCCUGCGCUCUUUGAGUCCGAACGGCAUGGACACAUAGCAAAAGGCCCCGAAGGGGGUUAUGAAGGCCGUCUUCUCCUGAUCUUCCACGACCAUUUUGAUCUGGUGAUAACCUGAAUAGGCGUCCAAAAAGCACAAUCGUUCGCAUCCCGCCACCGAGUCAAUGAUUUGGUCGAUGCGGGGAAGAGCGAAAGGGUCUUUGGGACAAGCUCUAUUGAGGUCCGUAUAGUCAAUGCACAUACCGAAAGUGCCAUUCUUCUUGAGUACUAACACCGAGUUAGCCAGCCAUUUGGGGUGAAAGACUUCCACGAUGAACCCGGCGGCUAAAAGACGGGCGACUUCUUCUCCAAUCGCCUUCCGUCGCUCCUCGUUAAAUCUGCGAAGGUACUGUUGGAUCGGUUUGCAUUUUGGGUCAAUAUUAAGAUGGUGCUCAGCGAAUUCUCUCGGUACACCCGGCAUGUCAGAGGGCUUCCAUGCGAAGAUGUCCCGAUUCUCACGGAUGAAUUCGAUGAGCGCGCUUUCCUAUUUGGGGUCCAGACCCGUCCCAAUGGUGAACUGCUUGGAUGAAUCGCCAGGGACGAAAUCGACUGUCUUAGUGUCAUCCGUCGGUUUGAACUUGAGGGGCGACUCGGAAUCUGUAGUCGGCUUCUUGAGUGGUGACAUCUCUGCCGGGUCAACAUUGGCCCGAUGGUGUUUGAGCUCUUCCGUCGCGCAGGCGACUUCCGCAUAAGCCGCGUCCCCUUCCUCACACUCCUUUGCGAUUCUUCUAUCUCCGUCGAUCGUGAUGGGUCCUUUAGGACCCGGCAUUUUGAGCUUGAGGUAGACGUAGCACGGGCGGGCCAUGAAGCGAGCGUAAGCCGGUCGCCCGAACAGCGCAUGGUACGGGCUCUUUAGUUUGACCACCUCGAAGAUCAAAGACUCUGACCUGUAAUUCUGCGUAGUUCCAAACGCUACUGAAAGCCUGACCCAGCCUAUGGGAUAAGCCGAUUUGCCCGGGACAAUGCCGUGGAAAACCGUGGUUGAAGGCAUCAAAUCUUUCUCCAAUAGAUUCAUCCUCCGGAAGGUGUCGAAGUAUAGGAUAUUAAUGUUGCUGCCGCCAUCCAUUAGUACUUAUGUUUAAGGCACAAAACAACAAACAGAGCAAAAGAGCAUAUCCAGCAAAAAAACAAGAGGUAAAAGAAAAAGGGGGCACCCCGGGGAUCGAACCCCUGUGCCUCUGGUGCAAAGACAUCUACACUACCACUGCGCUGCGCUAGCUUACUCGACAGAGAGGGGAGCCCAAUGAGGUUAAAUGUCUCUAGGACUUACUAUGCAGAGCAACGAAAAAUAGCAAAAGGUGCCGAAGGGGGGAAUCGAACCCGCGCCCUCCAUCAGGCACGCCACGCUAGCUACCACUGGGCUACGAUACGGUGUCUGAACCACUACGCGCUACGAAAUAGAAGAGGUAACCUCCCUUCUUAUCUGCUACCGGCGGCUGACCGGAACAGGGAGGGGUCUCGUCGGUGAUGCGAGCCAAAUCCAGCUCCGGCUCGUGGAGGGGAGGAAGCCCACACACACAUGAACUCAUUUCACGUCCUAACUACUCACGCGGGACUCUACAACGGCGUGACGACGGUGAUCGGCGGCUCCGGCGACAGAGGUGAUGCGCACAACGAUUCUAUGGCUAUGGUGCCCGAACUGGGAUAGGGAGGAAGCAGGAGGAGCGCUACCUCACGCACGGGUCGAGGAGGAAGUGUCACGUAGUGGAAGUAGAGGAAGACGGGCGCCGACGAAGCUGCUCGUCAGAGAAGACGCGUCGUCGUGGAGAAGAGGAAGCAGGAGCCCCUGGAGAGGCCCGCGAGCUCCUGGACCUCUCGUCGAGGAGGAAGAGGCACCACAGCGACGACGACGACCUCCUUCAACCGUCGUCCAUGGCGGAUCCGCCUCACUUACCUUGCUGCGACGAUGCAGAGAGGAGGGUGAUGAGAUCUAGGUGGAGCGGCGGCGGAAGGGGGAACCCUAGUGGAGGCACGGACGCCAAGGCUCUUUAUAGGGCGAGAGGGGGAAGCGAGGGGCGCGCGGGUGGCCAUGUGUGAGUGCUCUCUCCGGUGGAACAGAGGGAAUCGAAGGAGACGCUGACAGGCGGGACCCACUAUCGAGCUGGAAAGGGGGAGGACGAUGACGGACGCGCGACGGUCUCGCGAGGGAAAAGGCUGAUGGGCCGCUAAGUGGGAGGGAGCCCACUUAGUGCGCCAGAUAGAGAAAUAGAGCCCCUUGUCUAUUUCCUUUUAAAAAUAAAACAGAGAAAGAAAAAUAGGCACAGGACAAAAUAAAAGGGAUAAAAUCAAAUGGAAAAUUGCCCUGGACCUGAAAAUGAACCAGCUAUUUAAAUAAAAUACUUCCAACAUUUAUGGGGCUACUUUCAUAAAUCCAAAACAACAUUUAUUUAUUCUGUUUUGUGAUUUAUAUUCACCCUCAAGACCAAGAAUAAAACUCCAGAUCAUCACAUCAUCAUCUCCACAAUAAACUCUAAACACAAGACAUUUUAAAACAGCUUUUGGGAAGAUGGAAUUUUAAACAUGAGAUAAAAGGAAAAGAAAAGGGAUUGAAAUUGCAAGGAGCUUUGAAAAUACAUAGCAACCACUCCUACACACCACACACCAUCAUCACAUGUGCAUCAACACAUGAAAUUACAAGACCCACUCUAAGACAUGGCAAGGUAUAGAUGCAAGCAACACAAGGCAUGGUAAGAAUGGUAUGACAUGAAUGCAUGCAUGCAAAAAGAAGAAAUACAAGGUGACACAUGAAUUCAUACAUGCAUAGAUAGCUCUCAUGACAAUGUCAAGGUGGUCCCACAUGGAAGGUUACAAAAAGGGAAAGCUUUACACUUGGGGCACUACAUCUAUGCCACUCACAUAGCAAAUUUUCUUGGAGUACCCAUCCGCGAAGGAGAUCCCCCACUCCAUACAGCUUUCCUUGAUCGCGCCGCUAUGACACGUUAUCAGUUCCUUGAGAGGGAUAAUGAAUCCCUCCUAUACCGGUUAGUAUUUAACCGACAGCGUGUUUUCCAUAUUACCCUUCCUGCUCCUGCCUUCUUUGACUUUCAGGUAAAACGGAGAUAUUACAUAACCAGAGGAGAGGUAGAGGAGUAUGAGAGGGAGGCGAAGGUUGCUCGCCUCCGUGAGGCAGCUAUUCAGGCAGUAGUUGUCGUGCUCCCGUACAACCCCCAUUAUGAUUUUGGAUAUCGCCCGGACCAGCCAUGGGAGUAGACCAACUUAGGCCAAAAGCCUAAGCUUGGGGGAGUACGUGUUUCUCACCAACUUUAUAUUCUUGCUUACACUUUCACUUUGAUAGUCGGUGUUCACACCUUGCCACUGUAUCAUCCAUGCUAGUUUAUUUCUUUUUCUCGCUUUGUUCUCGUGUGUUUGUUUAGUUUGAGAAAAACAAAAAAAAUAGUUGUAAGUUUACUUUCCAGCUUGCUUAGUGGUGUUUAAAAGGAAAACCCAAAAAGAUUUCUCGUUUUUCUUUUGCUUGUUGGGAGCUUUCCCGUGUAAAUAGUUUUCUUUUUCUUUGGGUCAAGGUAGAAGACCAUGGUUACAAUGUUUAGUGGCUCUCGCAUGCAUGUGUGUUUAUCUGUCAAAGAGCCAUAUUACUUUGCCUUCUCCUUUGUGUUUGCUUGCAGAUUCCAGCGUAGUCCAAUGCACGAACACUCUUAUUAUUGUUCACAUCAUUCGGUCGUGCAAGUGAAAGGCAAUAAUGACGAUAUAUGAUGAAGUGUCUAAGCCUGGAAAAGCUGGUAUGAACUCGAUCUAUUUUGUUUUUGUAAAUAUGAUUAGCUCGUCGUUCCUAAUUCAGCUUUGUUAUAAGAGAAACAUGUUUGCAAUGACAACUUAGAGAUCAUAGUUUCUGAUGCCAUGCUUGAUUAGCUAGGAGCUUAUAAUGGUUUGUCUUGGAUGCCAACAUAAAUUUCAAGAUCAUUAUGAUGUAGUAUGAUAGGAUGGUGUCCUCCUUUGAAUGAUUCAAGUGGCUUGACUUGGCACAUGUUUAUGCAUGUAGUUGAAACAAAAUCAACAUAGCCUCUAUGAUAUUCAUGUUUAUGGUGAUUUAUAUCCUACUCAUGCUUGCACUCAAUGUUGGUUAAUUUCAAUGCAUAUUGAUGACUGUUGUCGCUCUCUAGUUGGUCGCUUCUCAGUAUUUUGCUAGCCUUAACUUGUACUGAGCGGGAAUACUGCUUGUGCAUCCACUUCCAUAAACCCAAAGUUGUUCCAUAUGAGUCCACCAUACCUACCUAUAUGCAGUAUCUAUGUGCCGUUCCAAGUAAAUUUGCAUGUGCCACUCUCUAAAUCUUCAAGUAAUAAUCUGUUUUGUAUGCCCGAACCGCUCGUGUGGUGACAAGGGGCGGUCAGUAUCUUCCAUGCUAGGCAUGUUAUCCUCGAUAUGUGUUUAUUCACUAUCACUCACAAGAAAGGGGUCGAUAAUUGUAAUGCCCAGUUCCAUGCUCAAAUCGAAAAGAUAAUUACAAACAAAACUCCCCCUCGAUUGUUGUUGGUAUGGACGGCACCCGAGGAUUCGGCUAGUCAUGGAGUGUGAUUGAUCGGUGGUGGGGGAGUCAAAACUUUACUUUUCUGUUUGGGAACCGCCUAUAGUAUGUGUAGCAUGGAAGAUGGUGAAAACUCUUGGUCAUUGCGUUGACAAUGAGAGCAUGCCACCCAAAAUUAGUCAUCUCUAUUUUAAAAGCUUGAGCUCUGGCACCUCUGCAAAUCAAUGCUUCCAUCUGCGAAGGGCCUAUCUAUUUAUGUUUCUGUUGAGUCAUCCUCUUCUUUCAAAAAGCACCAUUUAGAGAGCACCUUCGUCAUUUCUAUGCUUUGCUUUUACUUGUUAUUGAGUAUGACUGUGACUGGAUCUUCUUUGCCAUGAAUUACAAUGUUCAGUCAGCCCUUGGUCUUUGAAGGUGCCCUGCAUUUAUGUUUUGCGGUCUCAGAAAGAGCUAGCGAGAUACCAUCUGUUCAUAUUGCUUCAUGAUUGUUUUGAUUGAAGUGUUGACAUUUGAAACUCAUUAUUAUUGCUUGCUAGUUGAUUUUGCCAUUGAUAUGAGUACAUCUUGAGACCUAAAUUUCAUUGCUUAUGUGGUUAGCUUAUGAUCUUGCUGAAAAUGUGAAUAUGACUUAGACAUAAUUACAGCAACAAGAUCAUACAGAGUUCGUAAAAGUUUUUAUUUUGUCUCUUUCAAUUUGUCAACUGAAUUGCUUGAGGACAAGCAAGGCUUUAAGCUUGGGGGAGUUGAUACGUCUCCAUUGUAUCUACUUUUCCAAACUCUUUUGCCCUUGUUUCGGACUCUAAUUUUCAUGAUUUGAAUGGAACUAACCCGGACUAACGUUGUUUUCAGCAGAAUUGCCAUGAUAUUGUUUUUGCGCAGAAAUAAAAGUUCUCAGAAUGACCUGGAAAUUUACGAGGAUUUUUUGUGGAAUAUAUACAAAAUACUGGCGCAAAAAUUACCUCGAGGGACGGAGCGAGGAGCCCACAAGCCCAGGAGGUGCCCCCUGGCCGCGUGUGGCAGGCUUGUGGGGCCCUCGGGGCUCCGCCGCCUCCAACUCCAGCUCUAUUUAGUCCCUUUCGCCCAGAAAUAAAUCACAGAGAAGAGUUCAUCGUGUUUUACGAUACGGAGCCGCCGUCACUGAUGUUUGUUGUGUAUCCCUUGCAAUGACGCCAGAAAUAGUUGUGUGGACGACACCAGGAAUCCUUCAGCUGCGGCUACACCUUAAGGGACUUCCUAGCCAAGUAUGCAAAGGAUUUCCCCCGUGGCCUUGGAGCCUUGCAUUGGUGUUCCCUCGAAGCGGAAAGGGUGAUGUAGCACAACGACGGUAAGUAUUUCCCUCAGUUUGAGAACCAAGGUAUCAAUCCGGCGGAAGAGUAUCUCAAGAUUCUGCACAAACACAAAAGCUUGCACCCAACGCUAUGAAGGGGUUGUCAAUCCCUUAUAGAUUGUUUGCCAAGUGAGAACUGAAAGCAAAAAAGUAACAAAGCAAAGUAAAAGCGGAGGUGUAAACGAUGGAUGUGAAUAGACCCGGGGGCCAUAGUGUUUACUAGUGGCUUCUCUCAUGAAAGCAAGUAGACGGUGGGUGAACAAAUUACUAUCGAGCAAUUGAUAGAACCGCGCAAAGUCGUGACGAUAUCUAUGCAAUGAUUAUAUCUAUAGGCAUCACGUCCAAAACAAGUAGACCGAUACUUUCUGCAUCUACUACUAUUACUCCACACGUCGACCGCUAUCCAGCAUGCAUCUAGUGUAUUAAGUCCAUAAAAACAGAGUAACGCCUUAAGCAAGAUGACAUGAUGUAGAGGGAUAAUCUCAAACCAAUGAUAAAAACCCCAUCUUUUUACCCUUGAUGGCAACUACUUGAUGUGUGCCUUUCUACCCCUACUGUCACUAGGAAAGGUCACCACAUGGUAGAACCCAAAACCAAGCACUUCUCCCAUUGCAAGAAUCAAAGAUCUAGUUGGCCAAACAAAACCCAAGACUCGGAGAGACUUACAAGGAUAUCAAAUCAUGCAUACAAGAAAUUAGCAAAGACUCAAAUAUAUAUCAUAGAUAAUCUGAUCACAAAUCCACAAUUCAUCCGAUCUCGACAAACACACCGCCAAAGAAGAUUACAUCGGAUAGAUCUCCAUGAAGAUCAUGGAGAACUUUGUAUUGAAGAUCCAACAGAGAGAAGAAGCCAUCUAGCUACUAACUACGGACCCGUAGGUCUGAAGUGAACUACUCACGAGUCAUUGGAGGGGCGAAGAUGAUGAUGAAGAAGCCCUCCAACUCCAAAGUCCCCUCCAGCCGGGCGCCGGGAAGGGUCUCCAGAUGAGAUCUCGCGGAAAUGGAAGCUUGCGGCGGCAGGAAAGUAUUUUCGAGGCUCCCCUAAUUUUUUGUGGCAUAUUUGGGAAUUUAUAGGCCAAAGACCUAGGUCAGGGGGCGGCCAGGAAGGCCACAAGCCUGCCCACCGCCGCCUCCCCCUGGUGGCGGAGUGGGGGCUUGUGGGCUCCCUGGAGCCCACCUGGCUUGGCCCAAAAGCCCCCUGGUCUUCUUCCAUUCGGGAAAAAAUCAUUUCAGGGUUUUUCUUCCGUUUGGACUCCGUUCCAAAAUCAGAUCUGAAAAGAGUCAAAAAGACGGAAAAAACAGGAAUUGGCACUUGGCACUGAAUUAAUAAGUUAGUCCCAAAAAAAGAUAUAAAAGGUACAUAAAACAACCAAAGAAGACAAGAUAACAGCGUGAAACCAUCAAAAAUUAUAGAUAUGUUUGAGACGUAUCAGCCACCACAUGUUCUUCCUCUGGAGUCCAUUCUGGGCUCCGGAGAGGGGGAAUCGACGCCUUCGUCAUCACCAACCAUCCUUCAUCGCCAAUUCCAUGAUGCUCUUCAUCGUUCGUGAGUAAUAUCAUCGUAGGCUUGCUGGACGGUGAUGGCUUGGAUGAGAUCUAUCAUGUAAUCGAGUUAGUUUUGAUGGGGAUUGAUUCCUAGUAUCCACUAUGUUCUGAGAUUGAUGUUGCUACUACUUUGCUAUGCUUAAUGCUUGUCACUAGGGCCCGAGUGCCAUGAUUUCAGAUCUGAACCUAUUAUGUUUUCAUCAAUAUAUAUGUGUUCUUGAUCCUAUCUUGCAAGUUGUAGUCACCUACUAUGUGUUAUGACCCGGCAACCCCGGAGUGACAAUAGCCGGAAACACUCCCGGAGAUGACCAUAGUAUGAGGAGUUCAUGUAUUCACUAAGUGCUAAUGCUUUGUUCUGGUUUUCUAUUAAAAGGAGAACCUUAAUAUCCCGUAGUUUCCGUUAGGACCCCGCUGCCACGGGAGGGAUGGACAAUAGAUGUCAUGCAAGUUCUUUUCCAUAAGCAUGUAUGACUAUAUACGAAAUGCAUGCCUACAUUACAUUGACGAACUAGAGCUAGUUACAUAUCUCCCCAUGUUAUAACUGUUGCAUGAUGAAUGUCAUCCGACAUAAUUAUCCAUCACCGAUCCAAUGCCUACGAGUUUUUCCGACUGGUCCUUGCUAAGUUACUUUGCCGCUACUGCUAUCACUGCUGCUACUGUUACCGCUACUGCUGUCACUAUUGCUACUGUUACCGUUGCUACUGUUGCUAUCACACUACUUUGCUACUGAAACUUUGUUGCAGAUACUAAGUCUUUCAGGUGUGAUUGAAUUGACAACUCAACUGCUAAUACUCGAGAAUAUUCUUUGGCUUCCCCUUGUGUCGAAUCAACAAAUUUGGGUUGAAUACUCUACCCUCGAAAACUGUUGCAACCCCCUAUACUUGUGGGUUAUCAUGCCCAACCAGUCUCGGCGAUGACCAGAGUCCUAUAGCCUCGCUGACCCCCCCCCCUCACAUCAUUGCACCCAUGGCCACGCCGAGCAUGUCAACGUGUACUCCUGCCAUGAGCGCCUCUGCGUCACGCGUCUGAUCUUGUCGUCGUACGGGAGUACGGUUGGAUAUUACGGGAGCUGGCCGUCCGGCUGGCAACGGGCCAGUCGGCCAGGCCGUAUCCCUUUAGUCGGCCUAACGCGCGUCUGCCAAGCGGCCGGCUGCCGCCAUCCAGACCGAGGGGCCAUUCGGCCCCAAAUGUCUUGGAGACGGAUUAUCUCCGAUUUAGUAUACCCAGGGGUAGUAUCCCCAUCAGUAACCCCUGAAACCAUUCGGGUCCGGAGGCAUCCGGACGAGGGGGCCAGCAGUUUCCCCCGUGCGCCCGAAGUCGUUGUUGAAUGAUACGCGUGCCAGAGCCGGCAAGCGACAACGUGUCCCCUGGCCGGCUAGGGCGGCAGCCAGCUGCGGCCCAGCCGGUCGUCGCGGCGCCUCAGGCCCUGCGGCAAUGCUUUGGUUUUGGCGCCGGUUGGUGUGCGCCUCGUGUGGGCUGGUGGAGAAUGGCUGGCCCGCCACUACGCGCGUGACGGGACUGUUGGGGAACGUCGCAUGGGAAACAAAAAAUUUCCUACGCGCACAAAGACCUAUCAUGGUGAUNNNNNNNNNNNNNNNNNNNNNNNNNNNNNNNNNNNNNNNNNNNNNNNNNNNNNNNNNNNNNNNNNNNNNNNNNNNNNNNNNNNNNNNNNNNNNNNNNNNNACUAGUGAACACUACGGCCCCCGGGUCUAUUCACAACUAUCGUUUCCACUUUCACUUUUACUUUGCUUGUUUACUUUGUUGCUUUCAGUUCUCACUUUGCAAACAAUCUAUAAGGGAUUGACAACCCCUUCAUAGCGUUGGGUGCAAGCUCUUUGUGUUUGUGCAGGUACUUGAGACUUGACGAGAUCUUCCACUGGUUCGAUACCUUGGUUCUCAAAACUGAGGGAAAUACUUAUCGCCGCUAUGCUACAUCACCCUUUCCUCUUCAAAGGAACACCAACACAAGGCUCCAAGGCCGCGGGGAAAUCCUUUGCAUAUUUGCCAAGGAAGUCCCUAAAGGCGUAGCCGUAGCAGCAUGAUUCCUGGCGGUGUACCAGGGAAGGUUUGUUGUCGCAGUAGCAGAAGGAUUUCUGGCGCCAUUGCCGGGGAGGAUCAAGUCAAGAAUAGUCUCUCGUCAACAUGCUGAUUUCUGGCGCGAGGAGGAGAAAUCAAGUCAUCUAUCCAAGUAGGUGUCACAAACUCAUCUCUUGCAUUUACCUUUUUUGCCAGUUGCCUCUCGUUUUCCUCUCCCUCACUUCACAUUUGCCAUUUUCAUUUGCCUUUCUCCUUUGCCGUUUUCAUUUGCCUUUUUGCCGUUUUCCUUUGCCGUUUUCUUUUGCCUGCUUCACUCGCUUACUUCCUGCUCGUUCGUGCGUGGUAUAGUCCAUCAAUGGCUAGACCCACUACUCCAAACGAUACCCCUGAGAACGAAGUUCUCAAUUUCAGGCAGAAUGAGGAAGAAAAUUUAAAGGACGCUUGGUACAGGAUUUGCAAUGCUCAAAGUAGAUCUACUCGUAAGCAAUCCACUACCGUUCUUCUUCGCAGUUUUUAUGUUGGAAUUUCUCCUUGGAAUAGGUAUAUCCUUGAUACCAUUGUAGGCGGGAAUUUUUUGGGGAGCCAUACUGUUGACUCCUAUGGAGCUAUCAUGAAUUUGGUAGGCUCACCCCCGCUCAUGGUUAAUGGAACUACCUUAACCUUGGAACACGUGAUGCAAAGGCUUGACGCUAUUGAAAACAAAAUUGCCACAGUUGAACUUAUCGAGGGUUUGGAUAGAAAGAUCCACAAUCAAAUUACUUAGUUUGGAUCCAAAGUGGGAAAUUUUUUGAAAAAUUUAAGGGAGAAGGAACCUAUAGUUAAUUAUUCCUCUAGAAUUGGCAAACUAGAAGAUGUCAUAACCAACUUGGUGUUGGAAAUAUGCCCUANNNNNNNNNNNNNNNNNNNNNNNNNNNNNNNNNNNNNNNNNNNNNNNNNNNNNNNNNNNNNNNNNNNNNNNNNNNNNNNNNNNNNNNNNNNNNNNNNNNNUACCGGUUCUGUUGCUCAUAUUUGCAACUCGAAACACGAACUACGGAAUAGACGAAGGCUGGCGAAAGAUGAAGUGACGAUGCGCGUGGGAAAUGGUUCCAAGGUUGAUGCAAUCGCCGUCGGCACAGUCUCACUUCAGUUACCGUCAGAAUUAGUUAUGAACUUAAAUCAUUGUUAUUUAGUGCAUGCGUUGAGCAUGAACAUUAUAUCUGGAUCUUGUUUAUUGCGAGACGGUUACUCGUUUAAGUCAGAGAAUAAUGGUUGUUCUAUUUCUAUGAGUAACAUCUUUUAUGGUCAUGCACCCAAUGUGAGAGGAUUGUUCAUAUUGAAUCUUGAUAGUGAUACACACGUACAUAACAUUGAGACCAAAAGAGUUAGAGUUAACAAUGAUAGCGCCAUAUUUUUGUGGCACUACCGCUUAUGUCAUAUUGGUGUAAAGCGCAUGAAGAAACUCCAUGCCGAUGGACUUUUGGAGUCACUUGACUUUGAUUCACUUGACACAUGCGAACCAUGCCUCAUGGGCAAGAUGACUAAAACUCCGUUCUCCGGAACAAUGGAGCGUGCAAGUGACUUGUUGGAAAUCAUACAUACCGAUGUGUGUGGUCCGAUGAGCGUAGAGGCACGCGGCGGAUAUCGUUAUUUUCUCACCUUCACUGACGAUUUCAGUAGAUAUGGUUAUAUCUACUUAAUGAAGCACAAGUCUGAAACAUUUGAAAAGUUCAAGCAAUUUCAGAGUGAAUUUGAAAAUCAUCGUAACAAGNNNNNNNNNNNNNNNNNNNNNNNNNNNNNNNNNNNNNNNNNNNNNNNNNNNNNNNNNNNNNNNNNNNNNNNNNNNNNNNNNNNNNNNNNNNNNNNNNNNNNNNNNNNNNNNNNNNNNNNNNNNNNNNNNNNNNNNNNNNNNNNNNNNNNNNNNNNNNNNNNNNNNNNNNNNNNNNNNNNNNNNNNNNNNNNNNNNNNNNNNNNNNNNNNNNNNNNNNNNNNNNNNNNNNNNNNNNNNNNNNNNNNNNNNNNNNNNNNNNNNNNNNNNNNNNNNNNNNNNNNNNNNNNNNNNNNNNNNNNNNNNNNNNNNNNNNNNNNNNNNNNNNNNNNNNNNNNNNNNNNNNNNACGUCGUAAUCGUACUUUAUUAGAGAUGGUGCGAUCUAUGAUGUCUCUUACCGAUUUGCCAUUAUCAUUUUGGGGUUAUGCAUUAGAAACAACUGCAUUCAGUUUAAAUAGGGCACCAUCAAAAUCCGUUGAGACGACACCAUACGAACUGUGGUAUGGCAAAAGGCCAAAGUUGUCGUUUCUUAAAGUUUGGGGAUGUGAUGCUUAUGUCAAAAAGCUUCAGCCUGAAAAGCUGGAACCCAAAGCGGAAAAGUGCAUCUUCAUAGGUUACCCAAAAGAGACAGUUGGGUACACCUUCUAUCUCAAAUCCGAGGGCAAAGUGUUUGUUGCUAAAAAUGGAGCUUUUCUCAAGAAGGAGUUUCUCUCGAGAGAUUUGAGUGGGAGGAAGAUAGAACUUGACGAGGUUGUCGAACCUCUCAUCCCUCUGGAUGAUGGCGCACGGCAAGGGGAAACCUCUGUCGUUGCGACGCCGGUUGAGGAAGAAGUUAAUGAUGAUGAUCAUGAAACUCCAGUUCAAGUCUCUGUCAAACCACGCAGGUCGACGAGACCACGUACUACUCCAGAAUGGUACGGUAAUCCCGUCUUAUCAAUCAUGUUGUUAGACAACAAUGAACCGGCAAAUUAUGAAGAAGCAAUGGUGGGCCCAGAUUCCAACAAAUGGCUAGAAGCCAUGAAGUCCGAGAUAGGAUCCAUGUAUGAGAACAAAGUGUGGACUUUGGAGGUACUACCUGAGGGCCGCAAGGCUAUUCAGAACAAAUGGAUCUUUAAGAGGAAGACGGACGCUGACGGCAAUGUGACCGUUUAUAAAGCUCGACUUGUGGCAAAGGGUUUUUCACAAGUUCAACGAGUUGACUACGAUGAGACAUUCUCACCCGUAGCGAUGCUUAAGUCCGUCAGAAUCAUGUUAGCAAUAGCUGCAUUUUUCUAUUAUGAAAUCUGGCAGAUGGAUGUCAAAACGGCGUUCCUUAACGGUUUCCUCAAGGAAGAGUUGUAUAUGAUGCAACCCGAAGGUUUUGUCGAUCCUAAGAAUGCUAACAAGGUGUGCAAGCUCCAACGAUCCAUUUAUGGACUGGUGCAAGCAUCUCGGAGUUGGAACAAACGCUUUGAUGAGGUGAUCAAAGCAUUUGGGUUUAUACAAGUGGUUGGAGAAUCUUGUAUUUACAAGAAAGUGAGUGGGAGCUCUGUGGCGUUUCUAAUAUUAUAUGUGGAUGACAUAUUGCUGAUUGGAAACAACGUAGAGUUUUUGGAGAGCAUAAAGGAUUACUUAAAUAAAAGUUUCUCUAUGAAGGACCUAGGAGAAGCUGCUUACAUUCUAGGCAUUAAGAUCUACAGGGAUAGAUUAAAACGCCUGAUAGGACUUUCACAAAGCACAUACCUGGAUAAAGUUUUGAAGAGGUUCAAAAUGGAACAGUCCAAGAAAGGGUUCUUGCCAGUUUUACAAGGUAUGAGAUUGAGUAAGACUCAGUGCCCAGCAACUAAUGAAGAUAGAGAGCAUAUGCGCUCCGUCCCCUAUGCUUCAGCCAUAGGUUCUAUCAUGUAUGCAAUGCUGUGCACUAGACCGGAUGUUAGUCUGGCCAUAAGUAUGGCAGGUAGGUUCCAGAGUAAUCCANNNNNNNNNNNNNNNNNNNNNNNNNNNNNNNNNNNNNNNNNNNNNNNNNNNNNNNNNNNNNNNNNNNNNNNNNNNNNNNNNNNNNNNNNNNNNNNNNNNNNNNNNNNNNNNNNNNNNNNNNNNNNNNNNNNNNNNNNNNNNNNNNNNNNNNNNNNNNNNNNNNNNNNNNNNNNNNNNNNNNNNNNNNNNNNNNNNNNNNNNNNNNNNNNNNNNNNNNNNNNNNNNNNNNNNNNNNNNNNNNNNNNNNNNNNNNNNNNNNNNNNNNNNNNNNNNNNNNNNNNNNNNNNNNNNNNNNNNNNNNNNNNNNNNNNNNNNNNNNNNNNNNNNNNNNNNNNNNNNNNNNNNNNNNNNNNNNNNNNNUAUUCUUAAUGGGGGUGCGGUAAGCUGGUGCAAUUCCAAACAGAGCGUCGUAGCAGAUUCUACACGUGAAUCGGAGUACAUGGUUGCCUCGGAGGCAGCUAAGGAGGGUGUCUGGAUGAAGCAAUUCAUGACAGAUCUUGGAGUGGUGCCAAGCGCACUGAAUCCAAUAACCUUGUUCUGUGACAACACGGGUGUCAUUGCCCUAGCAAAGGAACCACGGUUUCACAAGAAGUCCAGACACAUCAAACGAUGCUUCAACCUCAUCCGCGACUACGUCGAAGGGGAGGAUGUAAAUCUAUGGAAAGUGCACACGGAUCUGAAUGUAGCAGACCCGCUGACUAAACCUCUUCCACGGGCAAAGCAUGAUCAACACCAGAACUGUAUGGGUGUUAGAUUUAUUACAAUGAAAAUCGCAUGAUGAUGUGAGGGCUAGAUUAUUGACUCUAGAGCAAGUGGGAGACUGUUGGAAUUAUGCCCUAGAGGCAAUAAUAAAUAUAGUUAUUAUUAUAAUUCCUGUAUCAAGAUAAUCGUUUAUUAUCCAUGCUAUAAUUGUAUUGAAUGAAGACUCAUUUACAUGUGUGGAUACAUAGACAAAACACUUUCCCUAGCAAGCCUCUAGNNNNNNNNNNNNNNNNNNNNNNNNNNNNNNNNNNNNNNNNNNNNNNNNNNNNNNNNNNNNNNNNNNNNNNNNNNNNNNNNNNNNNNNNNNNNNNNNNNNNNNNNNNNNNNNNNNNNNNNNNNNNNNNNNNNNNNNNNNNNNNNNNNNNNNNNNNNNNNNNNNNNNNNNNNNNNNNNNNNNNNNNNNNNNNNNNNNNNNNNNNNNNNNNNNNNNNNNNNNNNNNNNNNNNNNNNNNNNNNNNNNNNNNNNNNNNNNNNNNNNNNNNNNNNNNNNNNNNNNNNNNNNNNNNNNNNNNNNNNNNNNNNNNNNNNNNNNNNNNNNNNNNNNNNNNNNNNNNNNNNNNNNNNNNNNNNNNNNNNNNNNNNNNNNNNNNNNNNNNNNNNNNNNNNNNNNNNNNNNNNNNNNNNNNNNNNNNNNNNNNNNNNNNNNNNNNNNNNNNNNNNNNNNNNNNNNNNNNNNNNNNNNNNNNNNNNNNNNNNNNNNNNNNNNNNNNNNNNNNNNNNNNNNNNNNNNNNNNNNNNNNNNNNNNNNNNNNNNNNNNNNNNNNNNNNNNNNNNNNNNNNNNNNNNNNNNNNNNNNNNNNNNNNNNNNNNNNNNNNNNNNNNNNNNNNNNNNNNNNNNNNNNNNNNNNNNNNNNNNNNNNNNNNNNNNNNNNNNNNNNNNNNNNNNNNNNNNNNNNNNNNNNNNNNNNNNNNNNNNNNNNNNNNNNNNNNNNNNNNNNNNNNNNNNNNNNNNNNNNNNNNNNNNNNNNNNNNNNNNNNNNNNNNNNNNNNNNNNNNNNNNNNNNNNNNNNNNNNNNNNNNNNNNNNNNNNNNNNNNNNNNNNNNNNNNNNNNNNNNNNNNNNNNNNNNNNNNNNNNNNNNNNNNNNNNNNNNNNNNNNNNNNNNNNNNNNNNNNNNNNNNNNNNNNNNNNNNNNNNNNNNNNNNNNNNNNNNNNNNNNNNNNNNNNNNNNNNNNNNNNNNNNNNNNNNNNNNNNNNNNNNNNNNNNNNNNNNNNNNNNNNNNNNNNNNNNNNNNNNNNNNNNNNNNNNNNNNNNNNNNNNNNNNNNNNNNNNNNNNNNNNNNNNNNNNNNNNNNNNNNNNNNNNNNNNNNNUCUUCGUGCGCGUAGGAAUUUUUUUGUUUCCCAUGCGACGUUCCCCAACAGCUCCAGCCGGCACCAGCGCACCAACGACGACAAACAACUAUGGCAGGCCAAGUACACCUUCGAGGCCAUGCUCAAUGGACCUUGCAAAUUCCAAAGCGGUGCCAAGCCACUAUCGCAAACGGCUCGCCAAUGCAGCUGAUUCACCAAGAUCGCGCGUGGCGGCGCUCUACCGCUCGCGCCGCCGCCGCCUCCCAUGCCGGGAGCCGGCGGUGCUCGCGACGAUUAGCCCCAGCAGGACGCGACCUACGUCAUCUUCACCACUGAGGAUGGCGAUAAGCAUAGCCAGCACAAGCUUGCGUUGGAGGUCAACGCCAUCGUCCCGCCGGUCCCCUAGUACAUGCACUGGUCGAACAAGCCGAUCACGUGGGCCCGCGAGGAUCAUCCGGCUAUGAUGUCGACGCCACGCGGCUACGCGGUGGUCCUUGACCCCACCUUCGUCUCCCGAUGGUGCACAUGCUGCUUCACGCGGGUGCUCGUCGAUGGCGGUAGCAGCAUUAACAAGUUAACCUAAAAUUGCAACGCAUAAUUGAAAGAUAGCGGCGCAAGGCCGAGAGUGCAUUACAAUAAAACUUACACCCCAGUGGGUGGACCUGUCCAUAACAAACUGUGAAUAAGAAAAGCAGGAAGAUACAAGUAACAUGUGGCUCCAGUAGUGCCUCCUCUCGGUCCCAGCCGGCGGGGUCGUUGGGCUCGUCUAAGUAUUGGGGGCCGACGGCGCCUCCCGGCUGGCCUCCGUGUCGCCAGUCGGCGGCACCUCGAUGUCGGCGGUCGAUGGCACUUCGCCAUCUCUAGUCGGAGGCGUCGCCGUCCGGGCCACCUCGACAUCACGAGCAGGCGUCUCCGCCCCUUGCACAGAAGACUCGGCCGCACCCCCAGCGUUCGCCUCGCCGGCUCGACCAUCCUCUUCAGUUUCCUCCGAGCUAGACGCUACUUCCUCCUCGCUGGCGACAAUGGGGAUGUCGUACUCAUCCUCUGGGAGGGGCGUGCCGUCCUCACCCAUCUCGGGGUAGUAGGUGUCCAGUGUCGCGUAGCUGGUGAGCUCGUGGACUCGGAAGCUAAUGGCCUCCUCACGCCGCAUCAGGUCCACCUGCGACGCCGCUUGCAUGGUGGCCAUCUGGUCCAGGUUAAUACCUGAGUACCAAGAGAGGGCGAAGGUCAGUGCGAUUAUGGCCCCGCCCCUCGCAGCCGACGGCCUCCACGUGUCGAAGUGACCCACAUCAUGCUCCAGCCACGCUGCGACCCGGCUGACGGGAACCCCUGCUGCCCGGUCGGGCCAAAGGGCCCUCAUGACGUAAGAGGUCUUUGCGGGUCUUGAAGUAAGAGGUCUUGCUAUAGCGGCAGAACGCGACCGCCUCCUGGAAGAGCCCUUCGCGCUUCGCCUGGUCGGUCUAAGGAAAGAAUGAAGAAGAUCGGAAGCGAGGAAGAUUUGGCUCGGCUUCGACGAAGCCACGCAGCCGGCCCGAAUCUCGGGGACUACACCUAGUGGGUGCACUGACGUGCACCCACCACAAAACAAACGGAAAGAAAGGUUCCAUCGAAAACUUACCUGAACCGCUUUCUCCACCAGCUUGAGGUUGCUCACCGCCGACUGGGCGAAGGCAGCUAUCCCGUAAUGGUAUCGGGCCAUCACAUCAGCGACCAUCGGCAGCACCACGUCCUGCCCGCUGGUCGAGGAACUCGCCCCAGUCACAGCCAGGUGCGGCUCAGCUGCCCCCACUCCUCCGUGACAUGGGACAAUGACUGAGUCACCUAGUCGGCUCUAGCAGUGUGAGGCACCGCCAGCGCUGCCGAAACAACCAUGGCUCGUUCGUCGCCACCCCUAGCCUCAGACUUGGCUCGGCGCCCCGGGUUGGACGCCGAAUGCAACACCUCUUGGGCCGCCGGCUCCCCAGCCGGCGACGCCGCCACCUCCGGGGGCGGCUCCUGAUGCACCUCCACGCGUGCCGCCGAGGCCCCCGCGGCAGGAGUCUCGGGGGCCAUCGACGCCGUGGCGUCACUCGUCGCCCCAGCCAAGGGGCCGCCAGGGAGGUCGCCGCAGCCGGCGCAAUCUUCGCCUUGGCCGCACGAAGCUAGAAGGCGCGCUCCCCUUCUAGCCGCGUCGUCGCCGCAUGCUCCGCGACAAGCGGUGCGACGUGUUCGGCCCCAAGGGCCAACGCCUCCGGCGCCGACACUUGAAUGGCCUCGCUGCCAAAAGAAACAAGAGAGCACGAUCUCAAACGCCACGCGGUAAAAAAAGUAAGAAAAGAAAGGGGCACGAGCCUCCAAGAAACCCUACCCUACACUAAGGGGAAUCUCGCGGUUCCCCCGCCUAAGCCUCCUCUGCACCGGCGGAGGGGUGCCCGCCGGCAGCGCCGCCGAUCAAACCCUCUUGGCGGCCGGGGCGCCGACCAAACCCUCGACUGGACGCUUGUCCCUACUGCGUUCCUGUCUGGCGAUGGGCCGGCUGGCUCGCAGUCGGCCGGCCCCCAGCCGGCAGCUCCGUGCUCCUCCCUCGAUGGUGGCCCCAAGGCGGCCCCAUCACAGCCAACGGUGUCUCCAGCACCUGCACGUCAUUGUCAUCAUCAUCAUCGGUACAAUCCCUCACGGACCCGUCGGGAGGUUUGCGCGACGUCCCCGCCCCUCCGGCCACGGCGCCGGCCGAUUCCUCCUCGUCCUUCUCAUAAUCUUGUCCUCCUGCAUCGCCUCCGGCACGUCCAGAUAUUCGAGGCCUUCAGGGACGUCCCCGUCCGACUCGUAAUCCUCGACGUUGGAAUCCUCUCGGUCCCGGGCAAAGUUCUUCUGAUUCGGGUAGUCUGGUGUGUUCCGCCGAACAAAAUCCGAAGAAAAGCACGAUCACACGCGAGAUACUGCGAGAAAGAAAAAGGAAAAGAGGGGAUGACUCCAGUCGGAUGAAAACUCAUCGUCGGUGCAUGGUUGCCACGAUGGAACGGCGCCAAGCCGAAUCCCCACUCCUCCACGUCGAGCCGGAAGCUGGUGAUUUUGUUCACCCUGGCGGCAACCUAGCUCAACGGCAGGUCCACCAUCGACAGCCGGCAUGGGUACUGUGGCCGCUCAUGUCGCACAUCCAGUGUAGCUGCGCCUGCAGCGGCAGCACUCGGUGAGAAAUAAAGGCCGCCACCAGGUCCAAGGCCACCAGCCCAAGGGAACCCUUAAGCUCCUGCAGCCCGCCGCCGAGCGUCACCAGCUCGUCAAUGCGCAACUCGAGACUCCAGUUCUCCCUAGUCGGCGGAUCAUCGACAAACGGCGGGAGGUUAACCCAGUCCCGCUCCAGGACGAUGCCACAGACAUAGAGGAAGGUGCGCUUGUUGGGGAACGUCGCAUGGGAAACAAAAAUUUUCCUACGCGCACGAAGACCUAUCAUGGUGANNNNNNNNNNNNNNNNNNNNNNNNNNNNNNNNNNNNNNNNNNNNNNNNNNNNNNNNNNNNNNNNNNNNNNNNNNNNNNNNNNNNNNNNNNNNNNNNNNNNAGUUGACUACGAUGAGACCUUCUCACCCGUAGCGAUGCUUAAGUCCGUCAGAAUCAUGUUAGCAAUAGCUGCAUUUUUCGAUUAUGAAAUCUGGCAGAUGGAUGUCAAAACGGCGUUCCUUAACGGUUUCCUUAAGGAAGAGUUGUAUAUGAUGCAACCCGAAGGUUUUGUCGAUCCUAAAAAUGCUGACAAGGUGUGCAAGCUCCAGCGAUCCAUUUAUGGACUGGUGUAAGCAUCUCGGAGUUGGAACAAACGCUUUGAUGAGGUGAUCAAAGCAUUUGGGUUUAUACAAGUGGUUGGAGAAUCUUGUAUUUACAAGAAAGUGAGUGGGAGCUCUGUGGCGUUUCUAAUAUUAUAUGUGGAUGACAUAUUACUGAUUGGAAACAACGUAGAGCUUUUGGAGAGCAUAAAAGGUUACUUGAAUAAAAGUUUCUCUAUGAAGGACCUAGGAGAAGCUGCUUACAUUCUAGGCAUUAAGAUCUAUAGGGAUAGAUCAAAACGCCUGAUAGGACUUUCACAAAGCACAUACCUUGAUAAAGUUUUGAAGAGGUUCAAAAUGGAACAGUCCAAGAAAGGGUUCUUGCCAGUGUUACAAGGUACGAGAUUGAGUAAGACUCAGUGCCCAGCAACUGAUGAAGAUAGAGUGCAUAUGCGCUCCGUCCCCUAUGCUUCAGCCAUAGGCUCUAUCAUGUAUGCAAUGCUGUGCACUAGACCGGACGUUAGCCUGGCCAUAAGUAUGGCAUGCAGGUUCCAGAGUAAUCCANNNNNNNNNNNNNNNNNNNNNNNNNNNNNNNNNNNNNNNNNNNNNNNNNNNNNNNNNNNNNNNNNNNNNNNNNNNNNNNNNNNNNNNNNNNNNNNNNNNNNNNNNNNNNNNNNNNNNNNNNNNNNNNNNNNNNNNNNNNNNNNNNNNNNNNNNNNNNNNNNNNNNNNNNNNNNNNNNNNNNNNNNNNNNNNNNNNNNNNNNNNNNNNNNNNNNNNNNNNNNNNNNNNNNNNNNNNNNNNNNNNNNNNNNNNNNNNNNNNNNNNNNNNNNNNNNNNNNNNNNNNNNNNNNNNNNNNNNNNNNNNNNNNNNNNNNNNNNNNNNNNNNNNNNNNNNNNNNNNNNNNNNNNNNNNNNNNNNNNNNNNNNNNNNNNNNNNNNNNNNNNNNNNNNNNNNNNNNNNNNNNNNNNNNNNNAUGGCUGCCUCGGAGGCGGCUAAGGAGGGUGUCUGGAUGAAGCAGUUCAUGACGGAUCUUGGAGUGGUGCCAAGUGCACUGGAUCCAAUAACCUUGUUCUGUGACAACACUGGUGCCAUUGCCUUAGCAAAGGAACCAAGGUUUCACAAGAAGACCAGACACAUCAAACGACGCUUCAACCUCAUCCGCGACUACGUCGAGGAGGAGGACGUAAAUAUAUGCAAAGUGCACACGGAUCUGAAUGUAGCAGACCCGCUGACUAAGCCUCUUCCACGGCCAAAACAUGAUCGACACCAGAACUGUAUGGGUGUUAGAUUUAUUACAAUGUAAUUCACAUGGUGAUGUGAGGGCUAGAUUAUGGACUCUAGUGCAAGUGGGAGACUGUUGGAAUUAUGCCCUAGAGGCAAUAAUAAAUGUAUAGUUAUUAUUAUAAUUCNNNNNNNNNNNNNNNNNNNNNNNNNNNNNNNNNNNNNNNNNNNNNNNNNNNNNNNNNNNNNNNNNNNNNNNNNNNNNNNNNNNNNNNNNNNNNNNNNNNNAAAGUCGUCUCAAAUCAGCCCUAAAACCUCCGUAUAUAUAGGUGGGAGGGAGGGGAGGAGGCAGCCUCAAAACCUAAAGGUUUGGCCGAAAUUGGAGGUGGAGGAGUCCUACUCCAAUCCUACUUGGAGUAGGAUUCCACCUUCCCACUUGGAAACUCUUUCCACCUUGUGUUUUUUCCUUCUCAAACCUUAUGGGCCUUAGUGGGAACUUAUUCCAGCCCACUAGGGGCUGGUUUAUCUCUUCCCAUAGCCCAUGAGACCCCUUGGGGCGUGACACCCCUCCCGAUGGUCCCCGGCACCCCUCCCGGCACUCCCGGUACACUACCGAUGAGCCCGAAACUUUUCCGGUAAUGCACGAAAACCUUCCGGUAACCAAAUGAGGUCAUCCUAUAUAUCAAUCUUCGUUUCCGGACCAUUACGGAAACCCUCGUGAUGUCCGUGAUCUCAUCCGGGACUCCGAACAACAUUCGGUAACCAACCAUAUAACUCAAAUACGCAUAAAACAACGUCGAACCUUAAGUGUGCAGACCCUGCGGGUUCGAGAACUAUGUAGACAUGACCCGAGAGGCUCCUCGGUCAAUAUCCAACAGCGGGACCUGGAUGCCCAUAUUGGAUCCUACAUAUUCUACGAAGAUCUUAUCGUUUGAACCUCAGUGCCAAGGAUUCGUAUAAUCCCGUAUGUCAUUCCCUUUGUCCUUCGGUAUGUUACUUGCCCGAGAUUCGAUCGUCAGUAUCCGUAUACCUAUUUCAACCUCGUUUACCGGCAAGUCUCUUUACUCGUUCCGUAAUACAAGAUCCCGCAACUUACACUAAGUUACAUUGCUUGCAAGGCUUGUGUGUGAUGUUGUAUUACNNNNNNNNNNNNNNNNNNNNNNNNNNNNNNNNNNNNNNNNNNNNNNNNNNNNNNNNNNNNNNNNNNNNNNNNNNNNNNNNNNNNNNNNNNNNNNNNNNNNUAGGGCGAAUUCAUUCAUGAUGCUACUGAAAAUUACUAUGAGAGAGGAUCAUAUGCUUCUACUUAUUGCAAUAGUAUCAAGCUUCCUCUCCAUGUGUUUAAAUUUUUGAAGCUAUGCUUGUUUUGCCUUCCUAUGCUAGUUGAUUCUUACUCCAACAAGUUGUUUGUUCACAAAAUCCCUAUGCAUAGUAAGUGGGUUAGACUUAAAUGUGCUAGCCAUAUGCUCUAUGAUGCUCUCGUUGUGCUUCAAUCCUUAUCUUUUAUGUGAGCAUCAUUGAAAUCAUCAUGCCUAGCUAAGGGCGUUAAACAAUAGCGCUUGUUGGGAGGCAACCCAAUGAAUUUAUUUUUGCUUUUUGCUUUCUGUUUUUUUUGUCCAUACCAUCAUAAUUCUGUUAUGAUUGUGUCUUUUGUGUUUCUUUUUGUGUUUUAGCCAAGCAAAACCUUUAUGACUAAUCUUGGUAAUGGUUGUUUGAUCAUGCUGGAAAAAGACACAAACUUUUCGCUCACGACAUUAUUUUUCAUUUUUAUUAAGAAAGAUCUUUUGAGUUGAUUCUUUUUGCUGCUAUUUGAUAUGCCUUUUGCCCAGACAUUCAUAAUUUCUAAGAAUUUUUUAGGUACCACAAGUAUACGAAGUAUACAAAUUGCUACAGACUGGUCUGUUUUUGACAGAUUCUGUUUUUGUUGAGUUGGUUGCUUGUUUUGAUGAAACUAUGGAUAGUAUCGGGGGGUACUAGCCAUGGAAAAGUGAGAAUACAGUAAUCUAACACCAAUAUAAAUAGAAAUCAAGAUUGCUACAAUACCAAAAAUAGGUGGUAGUUUGUUUUCUUAUGCUAAUGAUAUCACGAGUUUCUGUUUAAAUUUUGUGUUGUGAAGUUUUCAAGUUUUGGGUGAUGUUCUCAUGGACAAAGGGAUAAAGAGUGGAGAGAUCUCAAGCUUGGGGAUGCCCAAGGCAUCCCAAGCCAAAUCCAAGGACACCAAAAAGCCUAAGCUUGGGGAUGCCUCGGGAAGGCAUCCCCUCUUUCGUCUUCAAUCCAUCGUUAACAUUACUUGGAGCUACAUUUUUAUUCACCACAUGAUAUGUGUUUUGCUUGGAGCGUCUUGUAUCAUAGGAGUAUUUUCUUUUUGUUGCGUCACAAUCAUCCUUGCUGCACACCUUUUGAUAGAGACAUGCACUCAUCGUGAAUUUUCUAGAAUGCUCAUCGUGCUUCACUUAUAUCUUUUGAGCUAGAUAAUUUUGCUCUAUUUGCUUCACUUAGAUCUUUUAGAGCACGGCGGUGCGUAACUUGGUAGUUGGCUUGUGCUAUGAAAGUAGUCCCAAAGGAGAUAGGUACCCAAAGAGGNNNNNNNNNNNNNNNNNNNNNNNNNNNNNNNNNNNNNNNNNNNNNNNNNNNNNNNNNNNNNNNNNNNNNNNNNNNNNNNNNNNNNNNNNNNNNNNNNNNNNNNNNNNNNNNNNNNNNNNNNNNNNNNNNNNNNNNNNNNNNNNNNNNNNNNNNNNNNNNNNNNNNNNNNNNNNNNNNNNNNNNNNNNNNNNNNNNNNNNNNNNNNNNNNNNNNNNNNNNNNNNNNNNNNNNNNNNNNNNNNNNNNNNNNNNNNNNNNNNNNNNNNNNNNNNNNNNNNNNNNNNNNNNNNNNNNNNNNNNNNNNNNNNNNNNNNNNNNNNNNNNNNNNNNNNNNNNNNNNNNNNNNNNNNNNNNNNNNNNNNNNNNNNNNNNNNNNNNNNNNNNNNNNNNNNNNAACCGCUAUGUUAGGAAGCCGGAGCAAAAUUGAUCUAUUGAUUGUCAUCCUUUGUGUUGAGGUCGGGAUCGCGCGAUGCUUAACACCUACCAACCCUUCCCCUAGGAGUAUGCGUUUAGCACUUUGUUUCGAUUACUAAUAAAAACUUUCGCAACAAGUAUGUGAGUUCUUCAUGACUAAUGUGAGUCCAUGGUAUAGAUGCACUUUCACCUUCCACCAUUGCUAGCCUCUCUAGUGUCGCGCAACUUUCGCUGGUACACAAACCCUGUUGGAAUUAUGCCCUAGAGGCAAUGAUAAAUAAGUUAUUAUUAUAAUUCCCAUAUCAAGAUAAUCGUUUAUUAUCCAUGCUAUAAUUGUAUUGAAUGAAGACUUAGAUACAUGUGUGGAUACAUAGACAAAACACUGUCCCUAGCAAGCCUCUAGUUGGCUAGCCAGUUGAUCAAGGAUAGUCAGGGUCUUCUGACUAUGUACAAGGUGUUGUUGCUUGAUAACAGGAUCACAUCAUUGGGAGAAUCAUGUGAUGGACCAGACCCAAACUAAUAGACAUAGCAUGUUGAUCGUGUCAUUUUGUUGCUACAUUUUUCUACGUGUCAAGUAUUUAUUCCUAUGACCAUGAGAUCAUAUAACUCACUGACACCGGAGGAAUGCUUUGUGUGUAUCAAACGUCACAACGUAAUUGGGUGGCUAUAAAGAUGCUCUACAGGUAUCUCCGAAGGUGUCCGUUGAGUUAGUAUGGAUCAAGACUGGGAUUUGUCACUCCGUGUGACGGAGAGGUAUCUCGGAGCCCACUCGGUAAUACAACAUCACACACAAGCCUUGCAAGCAAUGUAACUUAGUGUAAGUUGCGGGAUCUUGUAUUACGUAACGAGUAAAGAGACUUGCCAGUAAACGAGAUUGAAAUAGGUGUGCGGAUACUGACGAUCGAAUCUCGGGAAAGUAACAUACCGAAGGACAAAGGGAAUGACAUACGGGAUUAUAUGAAUCCUUGGCACUGAGGUUCAAACGAUAAGAUCUUCGUAGAAUAUGUAGGAUCCAAUAUGGGCAUCCAGGUCCCGCUAUUGGAUAUUGACCGAGGAGUCCCUCCGGUCAUGUCUACAUAGUUCUCGAACCCCCAGGGUUUGCACACUUAAGGUUCGACGUUGUUUUAUGCGUAUUUGAGUUAUAUGGUUGGUUACCGAAUGUUGUUCGGAGUCCCGGAUGAGAUCACGGAUGUCACGAGGGUUUCCGGAAUGAUCCGGAGACGAAGAUUGAUAUAUAGGAUGACCUCAUUUGAUUACCGGAAGGUUUUCAGAAUUACCGAGAAUGUACCGGGAAUGACGAAUGGGUUCCGGAUGUUCACUGGGGUGGGGGGGCAGCCCACCCCGGGGAAGCCCAUAGGCCUUAGGGGUGCCGCACCAGCCCUUAGUGGGCUGGUGGGCAAGCCAAGAGAGGCCCCUGCGCAUGAGAUAAGAAAAUCAAAGAGAAAAAAAAGGGGAAGUGGGAAGGAAGGGAAGGACUCCACCUUCCAAUCCUAGUUGGACUAGGAUUGGAGGAGGAAUCCUCCUCCCCCCCUUCGGCCGACCCCCUUGGGGCCUCUUGUGCCCCAAGGCAAGGCCCCUCCCCUCCCACCUAUAUAUAGAGAGGUUUUAGGGCUGAUUUGAGGCAACUUUUCCACGGCAGCCCGACCACAUACCUCCACUGUUUUUCCUCUAGAUCGCGUUUCUGCGAAGCUCGGGCGGAGCCCUGCUGAGAUUAGAUCACCACCAACCUCCGGAGCACCAUCAUGCUGCCGGAGAACUCAUCUACCUCUCCAUCUCUCUUGCUGGAUCAAGAAGGCCGAGAUCAUCGUCGAGUUGUACGUGUGCUGAACGUGGAGGUGCCGUCCGUUCGGCACUAGAUCGAAGCGGGUCGUGGGACGGAUCGCGGGACGGUUCGCGGGGCAGAUCGAGGGACAUGAGGACGUUCCACUACAUCAACCGCGUUUAUUAACGCUUCUGCUGUGCGAUCUACAAGGGUACGUAGAUCUGAAAUCCCCCUCGUAGAUGAACAUCACCAUGAUAGGUUUGCGUCCGCGUAGGAUUUUUUUUUUGUUUCUCAUGCGGCGUUCCCCAAUAAAACCACCAUAUGCCUUCCUCAAAACAGCCACCAUACCUACCUACUAUGGCAUUUCCAUAGUCAUUCCGAGAUAUAUUGCUAUGCAAUUCCCACUGUUCCGUCUCAUGACUUGUGUCAUCACUCUCAUAUUGCCAUUGCAUGAUCGUAACAUAGCUAGCGAGAUGUUUCAACGUCAUACGCCAAGCUAGAUCGUUGCACAUCCCGGUACACUGCCGAAGGCAUUUCCUAUAGAGUCAUCAUCGUUCUGAGCUUUGAGCUGUGAGUAAAUAAAAGUGUGAUGAUCGUCAUUAUUAGAGCAUUGUCCCAUGUGAGGAAAAAAAGGAGAGGCCAAAGAGCCCAAAAAAAGAGAAGAGAGAAAAAAGAGAGGCCAAAGAGCCCAAAUAAAAAAAGAGAAAAAGAGAGAAGGGACAAUGCUACUAUGUUUUUCCACACUUGUGCUUCUAAUAGCACCAUGUUCUUCAUGAUUGAGAGCCUCUCGUUUUGUCACCACCAUAUACUAGUGGGAAUCUUUAUUAUAUAACUUGGCUUGUAUAUUCCAAUGAUGGGCUUCCUCAAAUUGCCCUAGGUCUUCGUGAGCAAGCAAGUUGGAUGCACAUCCACUAGUUCUCCUUUUGAGCUUACACAUACUUAUAGCUCUAGUGCAUCCUUUGUAUGGCAAUCCCUACUCAUUCACAUUGAUAUCUAUUAAUGGGCAUCUCCAUAGCCCUUUACUACGUCGGGUCAAUGUGACCAUCUCCUCCUUUUUUGUCUCACAACCACCACCACACUCUAUUCCACCUAUAGUGUUAUAUCCAUGGCUCACGCUCAUGUAUUGCAUGAUAGUUGUAAAAGGUUUGAGAAAGUAAGAGUGCGAAAACAAUUACUUGGCCAAUACCGGGUUUGUGCAUGAUUUAAAUUAGUUGUGUGAGGAUGAUGGAGCAUAGCCAGACUAUAUGAUUUUGUAGGGAUAACUUUCUUUGGCCUUGUUAUUUCGAAAGUUCAUGAUUACUUUGCUAGUUUGCUUGAAGUAUUAUUGUUUCCAUGUCAAUAGUAAACUAUUGUUUUGAAUCUUACGGAUAUGAACAUUCAUGCCACAAGAAAUAAGUUACGAAGGACAAAUAUGUUAGGUAGCAUUCCACAUCAAAAAUUCAGUCUUUAUCACUUCCCUACUCGAGGACGAGCAGGAGUUAAGCUUGGGGAUGCUUGAUACGUCUCCAACGUAUCUAUAAUUUUUGAUGGUUCCAUGCUAUUAUCUUGUCAACUUUGGAUGUUUUAUAUGCAUGAAUAUGCUAUUUUAUAUCUUUUUUGGGACUAACCUAUUAACUCAGUGCCAAGUGCCAGUUUCUGUUUUUUCCGUGUUUUUUACCCUUUUUCAGACGGAGUCCAAAUGGAAUAAAACUUUACGAUGAUUUUUUUUUGGACCAAAAGAGACCCCCGAAGGUUUGGAAGAAGGCCAGAAGAGCCACGAGGGAGUCACAAGCCCGAGAGGCGCGACUACCCCCCUAGGCCGCACCUACCAGGCUUGUGACCUCCUCGUGGGCCCAACCGACGUAAUUCCACCGCCAUAAAUUCCUAUAAAUUCAGAAACCCCCAGAAAGAAACCUAGAUCGGGAGUUCCGCCGCCGCAAGCCUCUGUAGCCACCAAAAACCAAUCUGGAGCCCGUUCCGGCACCGUGCCGGAGGGGGAAUCCAUCUCCGGUGGCCAUCUUCAUCAUCCCGGCAAUCUCCAUGACAAGGAGGGAGUAGUUCACCCUCAGGGCUGAGGGUAUGUACCAGUAGCUAUGUGUUUGAUCUCUCUCUCUCUCAUGUUCUUGAGAUGUCUUGAUCUCGAUGUACCGCGGGCUUUGCUACUAUAGUUGGAUCUUAUGAUGUUCUUCCCCCUCUCCCUUCUUGUAAUGAAUUGAGUUUCCCCUUUGAAGUUAUCUUGUCGGAUUGAGUCUUUGAGAACACUUGAUGUAUGUCUUGCACGUGUCUAUCUGCGGUGAUCAACUUGCGGGUUUGUGACAUUGGGAACCUAUGCAUAUGGGUUGGCACACGUUUGAUUCAUGUGAGUACUCGAUGUAUGUUUUGGUGAUCAACUUGCGGGUUCGUGACAUUGGGAACCUAUGCAUAGGGGUUGGCAGACGUUUUGACUCUCCGGUAGAAACUUUGGGGCACUCUUUGAAGUUCUAUGUGUUGGUUGAAUAGAUGAUUCUGAGAUUAUGUGAUGCAUAUCGUAUGAUCAUGCCCACGGAUACUUGAGGUGACAAUGGAGUAUCUAGGUGACAUUAGGGUCUUGGUUGAUAUGUAUCUUAAGGUGUUAUUCUAGUACGAACUCUAUGAUGGAUCGAACGGAAAGAAUAGCUUCAUGUUAUUUUACUACGGACUCUUGAAUAGAUCGAUCAGAAAGAAUAACUUUGUGGUGGUUUCGUACCCGACAAUAAUCUCUUCGUUUGUUCUCCGCUAUUAGUGACUUUGGAGUGACUCUUUGUUGCAUGCUGAGGGCUAGUUAUAUGAUCCAAUUAUGUGAUCUUUGUUGAGAGAACUUCACUAGUGAAAGUAUGAACCCUAGGCCUUGUUUCCACGCAUUGCAAUACCGUUCGUGCUCACUUUUGUUACUAGUUACCUUGCUGUUUUUGUAAUUUCAGAUUACAAAAACCCAUAUCUACCAUCCAUAUUGCACUUGUUUCACCAUCUCUUCGCUGAACUAGUGCACCUAUAUAACUUACCAUUGUAUUGGGUGUGUUGGGGACACAAGAGACUCUGUUAUUUGGUUGCAGGGUUGCUUGAGAGAGACCAUCUUCAUCCUACGCCUCCCGCGGAUUGAUAAACCUUAGGUCACCCACUUGAGGGAAAAUUGCUACUGUCCUACAAACCUCUGCACUUGGAGCCCCAACAACGUCUACAAGAAGAAGGUUGCGUAGUAGACAUCACAAAACCGGCUGAUGCAUGCGACGUCAAAGUCGACGAGCUUGUUGCUGUAGUUGCAACGUGUGCCGAAGGUGACGGGAAGGCGGAUCUGCCCCGAGGGACUGGUAGAGCCGUCAGUCACCAUCGACUAUGGCGUGGUGGGCGUCAACUGGUCAUAAGUCACCUUGAGUGCCUUGAAGGCCCUGAUAGAGAACACAUUGAGGUUGGCGUUCUCGUCGAUGAGGGUCUUGGCGACCGUAAAAUUGUCGAUGAUGGAGGCGCAGAGCAUGGGGAGUGCGCCCGCGGAGAAGGCAUGCUCGGAGCCGUCCUUGAGGUCGAGGGUGAUGGGGCACCGUGAGCUCUUGAUGGGCCACACGACCUCCAGCUUGGCGCCGGAUGGGUGAAGACGACCGCUGCGGUCUCUGGGCACGACCCAGGGGGGGCGUGAACCGGCUGAUGUUCGGUGCGGGCGCAGCAGGCGUCAGCCAUGUGGCUCGCGAAGGUGAAGCCGAGACGGUGCUCGAGAGCGACGACACACCCCUAUCUUGUUAGAGCAUAUAUCUNNNNNNNNNNNNNNNNNNNNNNNNNNNNNNNNNNNNNNNNNNNNNNNNNNNNNNNNNNNNNNNNNNNNNNNNNNNNNNNNNNNNNNNNNNNNNNNNNNNNNNNNNNNNNNNNNNNNNNNNNNNNNNNNNNNNNNNNNNNNNNNNNNNNNNNNNNNNNNNNNNNNNNNNNNNNNNNNNNNNNNNNNNNNNNNNNNNNNNNNNNNNNNNNNNNNNNNNNNNNNNNNNNNNNNNNNNNNNNNNNNNNNNNNNNNNNNNNNNNNNNNNNNNNNNNNNNNNNNNNNNNNNNNNNNNNNNNNNNNNNNNGCACUUCUUGAAGUCCAUAGCUACUAUAUACAACUUCUUUUGCUUGCUUUCCUUCUUUGACCCAAUAUAUAGGGGAAACUCCACCUUGUCAUAAAUUGGCUAGAGUGUGCAUGAAAUUCAAAUUCAUAUCUAUAUGCACAUAUGUAUGUGGAGUUUGUCCUAUGUAUUGCUGGUUUUCUAACUCUUUGGUCCCAAUGAGUUUGGGCACCAUUUUGUUUGUUUUGUUGUUCCAGGAACAACUGGAGAUGCAUUGGAUGCUCGGCUCACCUAUAAGGAAGAUGUUGAGACCAUGUGAUUAUUGGAGCCAAGUUAGGAUGAUCAAAGAACAACUAUCUACUACAUCAAUCCAAUGUUGUCUCGGUAACAAGUAUCCACUUCAUGCAUUCUUUUCUUGCAAAGGACCCAACCUGUCUUUUCUUUUCCAGGUUGCAUCAUGGCAUGAAUCUCUUGAUUUGUUCUCGUAGUACUUGUUUGCUUUCUCAAAGCAUCCGAACGAUGAUGUCUUACUACUAGUUGGGAUGUCUUUGAUGUUCGUAUGUUGGAAGUUCAUAUUGUACAAUAAGAAAAUAUUAGGCCAUGUGCUAUGCUUCCAAGCAACGGAUCUCACUGAUAUAUUUAUGACUUCCUUUUGGAUAUCUAGUUUGUUCCUUCUUGUAACCAUUUCGUGUGUACAUCCUUCUUUGUGGAUAUAUAUCAUCAUGAUUGUCUUCUACUUAGAAUCUUUUUACACAUGAGAGAAGUUACAUCUCUAAUUAAUAUCCUAUUUUCUUUCACGAUCAUCAUUGCAUUUCCUUUUCAGAUUUUGGGGGCUUUGUGAAAAGUUUUAUUUUGAGUGCGUAUCUUAUUUUCCUACAUCUUGAUGCACUCUUUGGCCGUGAAGAUUAUUUUUCCUCAUGCUUGUCUUGAUGAGGGUUUUGCCAUUUCAAUUAGUAUCUCUCCUCUUGACAAGGUUCUUACUUUCUAUCUUCACAAUGGGUUGUCACAAGCGUUGGUUCUUAUUUUGUUUAUUAGUAAGCUUGUGAACCCAUUUUCUAGUAUGUGUGUGUGGGAAUGAUAUGUCUUGCACUUUGUAUCUCAUUUCAUCAAGACUAUGUUGAUGAGUAAUGCUCAUCCUUAUCUUAGUCUUCUCAAGUGCUUUGCCAUGACUCACACACAUUACUUUGGUUGAGCCUAUUCUUAAGUUGUUUCUUUUACAUGUUGCUCAACCAUUUGUUUUGUGCAAUUGAUAUGCUUAUUGUCUCAUCUAUCUUCUUGCACUCGUUGUGUGUUUUUAUAAAUUCUGGGGGAGCAACGAUCCUUUUUUGUGCACCUGUGUCAGAUACAAAAAUCUCAUAUUUGUGCACAAAUCAUGGGGAGCUUCUCUAGUUUUUGAUAAAGCACUAUGUUGCCUUUAUCAUAAUAUCAUUUAUUCAUGUGGCUCGAAGAACCAUAUGAUUGUUUGUUCCAUCUGGAAUCUUUUGAUUGCUUACCUCUAUCUUUGUAUGUUUUUGUGGCAUACGAUCCUUUUAUUUGCAAUCUUUGGGUCCUCAAUAUAGUUUGUUUUCCUCCAACUACUUAUCAUUGUAUUUGUGUAUUUUUCUGCACUCAUUUGCUGAGAAGUACACACUUUUUGGAGGACCACCUACUAUAUUGGCUUUCUAAACUUUUCGUCCAUUUUGGCAAUCGAUGCCAAUGGGGGAGACGUUUAGAGAGUUUACUUUGGAUAUGCUUAGAAGGUUUUGCUUUUAUUGCGUAAGCAUUUACAUCUUGCACACAUGCAUUAUUACCUUGUAUGUGUGCGCUUGGUUAUGCUUAUUUCCUUAUAUAACUCUCUUGAAGUGGUUGUCUUCAAUUACCAAAAUGGGGGAGAUUGUUAGAGCAUAUAUCUCCAUAUGUGGUUUUGGUAAUUGAUGACAAUUCCUAUGGACUAAUGGUUGCCUUAAGUUAUAUUUAUAGGAUUUGUCCAUAGGCACUUCUUGAAGUCCAUCUGUUGGGUUCAAGGAGUUUAUAUGAUGACCAAGAUGUUAUUCAAGGUAUUAUCCAAAGAAUGGUCAUAGAUACACUAGGUUGAUCAAGAUCUUAGACAAAGAGUAAAUCAAGAUGAUCAACACACAAAGCGUAUAAGAUGUACCGAGAGGAAUCAAGUGAUCCCAUGGUAUGGUAAGCAUUGUCCAUUACGUGUUUGUGUACUAACCCAUGGUCUUUGUGAGAGUCCUAUGUGGGGGUUAGGUGUGCUUCCAUGGGCUUGCGUCAAAAGGAAGAUCUCAUACAACCCAUGAAGGAUGACGUCAUGUGGCGAUCGUCAUCAAGAUUGUGGUGUGCAAGUUCAAGUGGAUCAACACAAAUAUAUCAUUGAAACUAUUGUUAAUGAUCAUGUGUUGAUAAGGACAAGCUCAUGUGCUAACAAGGACAAGAUCAAGAUAAGCAUUCCUGAGCACUACAUGCUUGAUUCUUGAGGAUGUUCACAUGGUGGACAAAUGAAGAUGAAUACAUAAGCUAGGCUUUCCACAUUGUGUAUGGGAGAGCUACUUGAAGACUUCAUCAUGUCUUGCUUUCAACUUGAGCCAAGAAGGAACAACAACAUCAAGCUCAAGUGAAAGGGCUAACUCAAAGGUAUCAGUUCCUUUGACGUUAGUUGUGCGGAGUGAUGAUCAGCGAAUAAAAGUAUACACUCAAGUAUGGAUCAUCAGUACCCCUUUUAUUAUUCUUGAGUCUUUAGGGAUGCCGCACUAUUAAGAGGGGAUCACAGGUUUUGCGAUGAACUUGCUCAAACUACAUCUCCACUGUUCUGCUCAUACCACAUCUCCACUGCUCUGCUGUUAUCUGAAAACAGAACCAGUGCCUCGGACAUCCGGCUUCCUCCGGACGUCCGAGGGCCGGACGACCGACUGCUUCGGAAAUCCAGAAUCCUAUACCAGAGAAAUUAGAGCCAUAUAACUCGGACUUCUGGCUCCCUCCGGACGUCCGAGGCCCGGAUAUCCGACCAGCUUCGGAAUUCCGGAACUAUGCACCAGAGAAACUUGAGCCAUAUAACUCGGACUUCCGGCUCCCUCCGGACGUCUGAGGGCCGGUCAAGGGUCGGACGACCGACCAGCUUCGGAAAUCCGGAGCCCUGCACCAGAAGAACAUGAGCUCUAUAACUCGGAUUUCCGGCUCCCUCCGGACGUCCGAGGCCGGACGUCCGUCCCCUUUCGGAAAUCCGGAACCUCCCACCAGAAGAAGUUGAGUCAAAUAACUCGGAUUUCCGGCCUUCUCCGGACGUCCGGUCGCUGUUCACUUCACAGUAUUUUCAGUGAUAUCUACAGGCCUCGGACGACCGACCCCUGUCGGACGUCCGACCCCUCGUGGACGCCCGGACUUCCGGAAACUGUCGGACGUCCGGACCCUGUGUGACUUAAAGUGUCCCCAACGGCUGUUUUUCUCUCCCCACUAUAAAUACCCCCCUCCCACUUCGUGAGAGGGUUGCCCAACACAGCCUUAUCCUCAUAAGAACACACUUCUACCUCACACACAUUUGCUCACACCAAAUCUUAGAUCCCAAGAGCAUUUGUGAGCCCCUUUGAGAGUUGUUCCAAUCAAAAGAUAGAUCGUCUCCCUCUCCUCCUCUCAACCCAAGCUAUUUGAGAUUUGAGCAAGUUUUGAGCAUUCCCCGUGAUCUUGUUACUCUUGGAGGUUGGAGACUCCUAAGCGGUAGGAGUUCUUUGGAGAGGAAUCAAUCCGUGUGAUUACCCCCCGGAAAAGUUUGUGAGGGUUUGGAAGCCACCUCAAAGGCUUACCACUAGUAGUUGAGAAACGCCUUCGUGGUGUUAUCUCAAAGGGAGAAUAGGGUGAGCCUUCGUGGAGUUGGUGUGCCUUCGUGGUAACAUCCACCUCUCUAACGGUGACUAGCUUCCCUCCAAGGAAGUGAACAUCGGGAUACAUCUUCGUCUCAGUGACCUUGGUUAUCCUUAACCCUAACUCUUUACUUGUGGUUUACUUGUGUUACUUGAGCAUACAUACAUUGCAUAUUGUUUGUGCUCAUUAUAUUGUGUUGGCUAUUUCUUGUACAAGAUUAAUCAUUCAAGCAUACCCUCUAUAUCCACACGUUCAUACUUGCAGCCUUUGAUAUAUCGUGUGAUAUAGUGUGAUCUAGUAUCUUGUGUUGUUUCACCUACUUGUCGUGUGAUAUAGCUCAAGUAAGUUUGUGUAACUUACUUGUGCUUGUUAGUAACUGUAUUGUGUCCAUCUUGGUAGAUCGUGUUGUUGAUACACGUUGCAGUGCCUAGUGCAUUUAGGAUUUGUGCUUGACAAGUACCCUCUUAGUUUAUUUCCGCAUUAGUUUCAAGCCAAAUCCGAAGAAGUUUUUAAAUAGCCUAUUCACCCCCCCUCUAGGCGUCAUCGAGGUCUUUUCAUAUCUACCGCGCUAAAUGUCAGAAUCGAGGCUCCGGGGACCCACGAGGUUCGAAGUCUGGGUGCGCAUGCUCUCCUGCUAUACUUUAUAGUGCAACACCACAGCGACACUCCGCAUGUUCGAGCUAAGGAAGAAGAACCGGGGACACGACAAUUACCCAGGUUUGGGCCACCUUGUAGUGUAAAACCCUACUCCUGUUUGUCUGGAUUGAUCGAGAGUGAGAGAGAGUACAAAUGUGUGUUCUUGCUAGCUUUGGGGCCGCCCCCUACUACGGUGGCCGCAUGCCCUCUCUUAUACUGGCCCCGACCCUCUUCCCCUGAAAACACAUGACGAGAAGGGUCACCACAACGACCAAAUUUGAAAGGGGACACGACUGCGACCUAUCCUGUCUAAAGUGGUCUUCGCCUGCAUCUUCACCCGCCAAAGCUUCCUGUCAUGAAAACGUCGAUAGGCUCAGGGAUGACCUUCAUCCUGAUGUGCCAUAUAUUCGGUCUUCUUGCACCAAACUAGAAACCUUUGGAGAUUACAUUGGGAGCCAACGGGAUGGCCCUGCUCCCUAGCACAAAAGAGGAAAGCCUUACUGUCCGCGCCUGCUGGCACGACUCCCCAUGCUGCUCGGCGUGGCGAGCAUCACCAAUGUGAAGACGUGGGGUCGCGCAACCCUGCUGGGCCUUCCGUGACCAGUCCGCCCCGUGAAGGCUUCGGGGGCAACCUCGGGGGGCGACCUCGUGAGGGGGGUUUCACGCGGCUCCUCACGAGGCUUGCUGACUGGCGCCUCGCGCGAUGGGGGCCCUCGAGAGGACCUUGUCCAUGAGGCCCAACGGUGGGCCGUGUUGGCCGUGCGGCGUGCACCGUGUCUAGGGUCGCAGGAAGACGUGCCUAAAUACCCCAGUCUCACGGGCCCAACAAAGUAUACGUCAAGCCUUCGGUAGAUGCAAUCUCGAUCACGUUCUAUCGUGCAACCUCCGGAGUUUAUCUUGAGAGGACGGAGGGCCCCUCGGCCCGAUACGAGGAGCUUGGGCCGACUAGGUUAGGACUCCUUAGUCCAGGACACUGUCACAAACCGAUAGAUCACACAGAAAUACGAAGCUAUAACAAUCAUGCAUAUUUCUUUUAGGGAAGACUCAAUAUAUAUUCAUGAAUAAUCUGAUCAUAAACCCACAAUUCAUCGGAUCUCAACAAACACAACACAAAGAAGAUUACAUCAAAUAGAUCACCAUGAGAAUCGCGACAAACUUUGUAUUGAAUAUCAAAGAGGGAGAAGAAACCAUCUAGGUACUAGUUAUGGACCCGUAGGUCUGUGGUUAACUACUCACACAUCAUCAUGAAGGCAGCAAGGCUGAUGUAGAUGCCGUCUGUGGUCGAUUUCCCCUCCGUCAAGGCACCGAAAAAGGUCUCGAGAUGGCCUCCCAUUGAAACAGAAACUUGCGGCGAUGGAAAAAGUGUUUCGGGUGGUUCUCUAUUGGUUUCAGGAUUUUAGAGAGUUUAUGAAGGCGAAAUUAGGUCAGAUGGAGCCACGUGAGGCCCACAAGGCAUCAAGGCGCGCCUUAUUACCUUGCCAUCUCCUCGUGUAUCGUCUGGUCUCCCUUCGAAGCUUCCAGGUCCUCGCUUGAUCUAUAAAAAAAUAUCAAAAAGUUUCGUAGCGUUUGGACUCCGUUUGAUACUGAUUUUCUGAAAACCCAAAACACGAGGAAAAUAGCAACCGACACUUGCGCUGGGUUAAUAAGUUAGUUUUCAAAAAAGAUAUAAAAUAGCAUAUAAUUGCAUAAAAAGCAUACAAAAUUAUUAAUAUAAUAACAUAGAACAAUAAAAAUCUAUCGAUACGUUGGAGACGUAUCAACCUCUCCCGAAGCUUCUAGGGUUCUUUAUUGUCUAGAAAAAAUUGUUAAAAAUUGGCAUCGUAUUUGAACCUUCCUAAAUAUGGAUUUUAUGUGAAACCAAAAAUAAACAAAAGAACAUGAACUGACAUUGGAUACUAUAUUAAUAAGUUAGCCAAGAAAAAUAAUAUAAAAUGAUAUAGAAGCCAUAAAAAGUGAUAAUAUAAUAGCAGUUAUUAAUAUAAAAUUUAUAGAUACGUUGGAGAUAUCAUUUACCUAAUGGAAGGCUCUUUGCUUGGAGCUUGCCGCUGCAAGCAAUGCACCGCCAAGGAGUGUUGCACAAUCGGAUCCUUCUAGCACAUAAAAGCUCGUCUGUUGCGAGGACAAUGCUACCUGCGAGCUAUAAUGGACACCCACGACGAGUCUUAGGACGAGCUCUAGGAGGAUCUCGCCGACGAGGAGGCGAUAUAUGAGGAGCUAGAUGCAAAGGAAGACAUCAUUGACAUUUUGUCCGACGAGGAGUAUGCCUACACUUGGACUACAUGAUUAAGUUUAUGUUCUAAUUAUGUUCAUUGUUUAGUCAUGCUUGUAUAUUGUAGGAGGGCUUGACUUUUAUAAUGUUUCAUUAUGUGAGUAGGAUUAACUUUUUGUUUGAGUUGUGUUUAAUUAGUUUGAAUUAUGGAAAUGGAAGUGAAGAAUGCAAGGAGCAUGAGAUUUAAAAAACAUUUUUUGGAAUGUUAAAAAUCCGAUUGACGAACUGCGAGCUGACGAUAGUAAAUGUUUCUCUCGUGAUGGCAAUUAACACAUUUGGGACCAUAAUUUAUAUUUUUAAAGUAUAACAAUUUUCAUCUUUUCAUGUUGAUGCAUCAUGACAAUUCUCUCAAGCCAGCAUUUCAAAUCGUGAGCAUGACAAUUUUCAUCAUUUUUUAGGCUAACAAUUCUUCAUGCUCUAAUCAUGGCAAUUACUUGUUACAUCAUGACAAUAUUCUAACAAUGUUUAGUACAACAUGGCAAAAAUUACUUUAGAACAUGACAAAUCCUCAACAACAUAAAUUUAUCUCUUUUAGUAAUUUUUGAAUGUUCAGUUUACCCGAGAAAACGUCAUAUGUGUAUUGUCAUCCAAUAUUUUUGUGUUUAUUUUUUUUCAUCAAUUAGAAACCACCCCAAUACCUAAGAAUUUUGAAUCUCAAUUUUGAGCUUUUCUGGAUUGAAGUUUCUAGUUGUUCUUUUUUACGGGUGUUUUUAGAUGUUCUUCGCUAGGGUUAUCAUACCAUAGGACUACCCCCACCCCCUCUCUCGCCCCGACUCCCAUCUGUCACCCUAAUCUCUCGCCCCUCUCUCGCCGCCCCGCGAGUCCCCACGCCGCUGCCGCCCCGUCGGUUGUCGAACGCCGCCCCGUCGCCGUCGCCGUCGCCGUCGCNNNNNNNNNNNNNNNNNNNNNNNNNNNNNNNNNNNNNNNNNNNNNNNNNNNNNNNNNNNNNNNNNNNNNNNNNNNNNNNNNNNNNNNNNNNNNNNNNNNNNNNNNNNNNNNNNNNNNNNNNNNNNNNNNNNNNNNNNNNNNNNNNNNNNNNNNNNNNNNNNNNNNNNNNNNNNNNNNNNNNNNNNNNNNNNNNNNNNNNNNNNNNNNNNNNNNNNNNNNNNNNNNNNNNNNNNNNNNNNNNNNNNNNNNNNNNNNNNNNNNNNNNNNNNNNNNNNNNNNNNNNNNNNNNNNNNNNNNNNNNNNNNNNNNNNNNNNNNNNNNNNNNNNNNNNNNNNNNNNNNNNNNNNNNNNNNNNNNNNNNNNNNNNNNNNNNNNNNNNNNNNNNNNNNNCGUCGCCGUCGCCGUCGCGAACCUCCGCUCCGGUUCCGUCUCCGCCUCCACGCCUGCUCCGUCCCCGACGUCACACCGUAUCCUGCCUCUCCCUCUUCUACCUCAACCGCGGGGAGCGCCUCCCUCGCCGACCUCCACUGCCCCUCUGCUACAUCGCCCGCCUNGCCCCCCCCCAAAAAAACCCCGGCUCGCUGCUAUUUUUUUUUCGUGUAUGUUUUUCUAUGUCUGCAGGAAGUAGAUCACACUUUGUUUAUAUUGCGGAAAUCGAUAGACAUCUGUUAUUGUCUGUAUGUGCAGCAUUGUGUACGUUUGGGGAAUCUGAUUGUGCAAAUGGUGGAAUUUCGUUUCAUUCUCUAUCAAGUUUGCCAUUAUUAUCUUCAAAGAUGAAACAUCGAUAUGUUUUUAUUUGUUUAGAUGAAUGAUUUGGCAAGAAAAUGACAACAACCAAUUGCGAGAGGAGCCGGUUUAGUUGUUGUAAUGUGUGCUUGCAUGAUUACAGCUAGGGAAUACACCUUGAGGAUAACAAUUGGCUGUAAGCUGUAUGGUUGAUAAUGAUAUAGCUAGGAGUCAAUCUUGAGAUAUACUACCUAUCAUUCUACUGGCAAAAAUUGCUCAUAUCAGCUUAUAAUGACAAGUGCUUCUUUUUUCUGUUUGUGUAUACUAUCUUAAGAGAGAGACAAUUGUUGAAUGAUAGCAUCCGUACUUCUAUCAAGGAACAAACAAACAGCAAUGUUUUUCCUAGUAGUUGGUCACAAACAUAGAUUGAUGGCUCAGCAACCAAUGUUUAGAUGCUCUAUAGAAUGUUUCUGUCUUAGACUAUCAGAGAUUGAAGACGCAAAUACCAUGGAAUGUGGAUAGCCAUGCCCAUAUGCUGUACCUGCUUUUCUGCUAAUCUCUUCAAAAGUUUGUUCUCUGUAAGCAAGUGCAUCUAGAACCUUUUCGUUUUGAUAUGCACGAAGUACCAAAGCAGUUACUUUGGUCUACCAUACCUCAUCUUCAUUGCAAUUGGAAGGCAAGGCUCAAUUCUUCUUAGAAGUGAAAGCCAAGCAAAUGCUUAUGUUACUUAUCAGUUCUCACUCGCUUGAUUUGAUUUGGAAUACAAGACUUGUUGUUAUCCUGUACUUAUCUUUUUUCUCCUAAUUUAGGACCUGUUCGUUGGGUACUGCCAUCGAUGGAGAGCAGUGAACCACUCCAGGUAAAGCUAAGCGUCACUUUUUGUUGUUUCUACAAAUACUGCUGAUAUGGAUUGGGGUAUUGUUCUUCAAAAAUUGGUAGGAUAACUAGUCUAUUCUAUCCGAGAACAAGCACCACAUGAUAUCGUGUUUGGGAGACAAACUCAAAUAUACCAAACUCUUAGUUGACAUUCUGUCACAUUGCAUAAUUAACAAUUUGCUCUACAUAUCAAAAACUAUUUUCGUGACACUUAGAUUUGUAAAGUAUGAAUAUAUGCGUAACCCUUGCGGAUACAUGUGUCAUUAGUCAGAAUAUGGAUGCUCUCUUUUUUCUCAAGAAAAAUGUGCUAAUGUUUCUCUUUAGUCUUUAUAUUCGUACAAUAAGACGUGUUUCUAUUAUUCAUUGAUGUACCUUUGAUGCAUUCUCAGGAUAUAAUGUGUGAGUUCCGUGCUGGUAAGAUGUCUCUUGAGGGAACACGGGUGGUCCCAGACACACGCAAGGGGCUUGUUCGUAUUGGAAAGGUAUGCAUGCUCUCAUUUCUAUGUCUCUCUAGUACAAUUUAUAUAUUGUCAGCACAGUUUACAAGGCAUAUACAUAUUCUUAUAUUUAUUGGUUAUUACAGUGUAAUUAUACAUCCACUUCUUUUGUAGGGUGAAGAAGGCUUGGUUCAUUUUCAGUGGCUUGACCGUGGACAAAACAUAGUUGAAGAUGUAUCCUCUUGUGAGCAUGCAGUUUUAGACAUCUCUUACUAAUUUUAAUUUAUAAAUGCUAAACUUGGUCGUUUGAUAGAUAACCGAUUGAAAGUUUAAUUUGCAGAAAUUAUUUAUUUAUAUGUUUGUAGUCCCAAGGUCCUUGACGGACUCAUGUUUAAACUUGGAAGUGUCUCUAUUUUGUCCCGCUUCACAUUCUAUUAUAUUUCUGAAGAUACUGUAGCUCUGUCUUCUGUCUAUCCUUGAUUCCAUUUCUCUCAGGAUCAAAUUGUCUUCCCUGAUGAGGCUGUCUUUGAGAAGGUAUAUAUACGAAGUAUAUAUAUUCAAGUUUGAUAUGCUCUCAAAGAUUACUUUAGCGAACUAUGGAACUUCAGUGAUCAACAUUGGCUCAUGUCAUUAGGUAGCAGAAUCUUCUGGAAGGGUGUACAUCUUGAAGUUCAGGCAUGAUAGCAGGAAAUUCUUCCUAUGGAUGCAGGUCAGUUAGAUGUAAAGAACUCUGUUGUGAAAACCAUUACCCUUCCCACUCUCUAACAGCUGACUUCCAUUGUGCUCUUUAUUAUGCAGGAGACAAAUGCUGAUGGGGACUCGCAGAUAUGCCGCCAAGUUAAUGCCUACAUAAAUCGGCCCUUGGGUAUGCUUUGAUCGUUUGGUUCCUAACUCUCAACUGUGAUCAUGUCUUAAGUUAUACGGUUGCGCAGAUGGCGAUGCAAUUUCUAUUGAAGCAGAAAUGUCACACGAAGAUACAGCUGAUGAUGACAUCUCUUCCAGGUAUGUGAAAUGAAAUGCUAGAUCUGAUGCUGUCUGAGCACAUUAUUUUCUUCAGCCUUUGCAAUGCACUGGGCAGCCAAGUCAACUUUUAGAUGGUUGUGUAUUUAGUUCGUUUUGUGGUGGUUGUUUUUGCUCUGAAAAAGUUUUGUCUUCUACGAUAUUCACUAAAUCAGAUUGAACUUAGAUAGAUUCUGUUAUUCAGUUAUCAUCUCCUUGCAUUUCAUUUCAUUUAAUAGAUUCCCUAAGACAGUACUAUUAUUUGUCUGCAACUUGAUUAAGGAAAAGAAACUAGCCUAAAAGCGUUUCAACCAAAUGAGAUUAUCAUAAUCCCCACUGCAAUGCCAAAUGGAGUAUUAAUCUUGAUUUUCAGAUGGAAAUCAUAUCACCAGAUGGAUGUAUGGCUAAACUGAACUAAGUAUAUUUGUUGCUAUGUCACAUACAAGAUAUUGCCGCCAUUGCCGUGCUGAUUUUUUUAAUCUAUAUUUCGCUGUUCUCAUUAAUACUGUGAUAUUUUUGUAAUUAUAUCUAUCAGAAUAUUGCCUUAUUGUUUCUUGUGUGGCAUAUAUGAAGUUUCGUAAUCUCGAUUUUACAAGCUUCAUUUCCAUGCUAGGUUGUUAAUACAUCUGAUUUGCACACCUGUAUGCUUUACAGUUGCAUGGUGUACUAAGCACACACAAGUAUCGACUUUUGGGCGCUGCUGCCAAAUUGCUAACACUAUGCCCUUGCUGUUUUUUUCUUUCUUCCUUGUAUAUUCAGAGCUGGGAAUUUAGUUGAUCAGAGCAUGACCGCUGAUAUGGCUGGUGAAGUGACUUCUGCCGCUGGACCUGUACGACUGGCUGACCUUCAGAGAAUAUUGAGCUCUAUACAGCCAUCUGGUAUGAGCUAAAAACCAUGUCCUUUUCUGUAUGUUGACUUGUUUGACUUGCUUCUGAAAUGCUUACGUCCAUUCUCCUGGCAAUUUCAGAUGCUACGGCAGAUCCUGAUGCUGGUAAGUGACAUUCUGAAUGAAUGUGCUUUUGUCUAUGGCCUGCUUUCUGUUUCAUUAUGUUGGCUUGCUUGUGACAGGAUUGAGACUAGGAGACAUCUUGAAGCCUGAUUUGAUAUUGCCACUAAUUGAAACUUUGCCCAUUGAACAGUUGGCAUCACAUCUUCCGGAGGUUUGUAUUGGUUGUCCUUGCUUUCAGUUCACUGAACCCUGUACUCAUUCUGUAACUGCUCGAUUGCAGGGUUCUUGGACUGCUGGUGAUAUUCUUGAGCUGCUGCAAAGUCCUCCUUUGCGACAGCAACUGGAUGCUUUUACUCAUGUUAGUUAUAAGUUACCCCUCUUUCCUCUUUCUGCUGCACAUCUAUGUGUCUGAUGGUGUUUCAAGAGUGACUCUGAUAAUGAUGUUUGCUUGUUUUGCAGGUGCUGCAGACUGGCCAAAUAGAUCUUGCUCAAUUUGGAGUGGACCCUAGUAAAUGUAACCUUUUAUGUUCCCUGUCUGCAACUGAACUUCUCAUUUAUAUGCCCUAUAAAUGGUUUUGUUAUAGAUAGGAUGUACUCCCUCCGUUCCUAAAUAUAAGUCUUUUUAGAGGUUCCACUAAAAGACUACAUACGGAUGUAUAUAGACAUACUUUAAAAUAUAGAUUCAUUUAUUUUGCUCUGUAUGUGGUCUCCUAGUGAAAUCUCUUAAAAGACUUAUAUUUACGGAGGGAGUAGCAUUCUUCUAUAGUCUUAGUUUAGAAAUGAAUAAGCAACAAAAGUUAUGCGUGCAUGUAUUAUGAACUUUGCAAAUGCUUGUGCCACCAUCCUAUAUAAUUUACAGUGGGGAGUGGGGAAAAUGUAUUCAGGGUGAGGAAGUUCUUAUAUCUGUUUUUACCAUGGCGUCCCCAUAAAAAAUAUAUAAAAGAUAGUUUGGGCACGAGAUGACUAUAGUACAUACUUUUAGUUUGAAAAGACUUUAUUUUGUUUAGAGUAAAAUACACCGGAGGUCCUAAAAGUAUUUCAAGUGUGUCAAGUAGGUCCUAAAAGUUUGGAGUCGUUCACCGCAGGUCCUAUAUGUGUAUUUUACCCGUGACUUUUAGGACCUACUUGUCACACUUGGUAUACUUUUAGGACCUGUAGUGAACGAUUUAUACACAUUUAGGACCCGCGGUGAACGGUUUCAAACUUUUAGGACCUACUUGACACACUUGGAAUACUUUUAGGAUCUCCAGUGUAUUUUACUCUUUUGUUUACUUCUUUUUUUCUACUCCUGUGCUCCCACUUGUUGGAUGACAAGUAGAUGAUGGUUGAAAUGUACUAGAGAGGUGAUAGGGGUUCGGUUUUGAUGGGCCUGUGUUUUUCAAGGGCAUGUUUGCUUUUCCGCCAACUGUUACUCAGACAAAAUUGUUAUGUUUAGUCGUAGCCACAGUUAUAGCUACACACUUUCUUAACAUCUUACCCAUUUGUCAUAAGACUCGUAUUCUGGCCAACUUUUGCCUCAAGUGUGACUACUAAUUUGGCGACCUAAAAAACUAUGACCUACCUCUUGUGGCACAAAAGUAUGGUAGAUUGUGGAAGGCAACCAAACCUUUGUCUCCAUGCUUUUAGGCCAUUUUUCUUUUUACCAUAUGAUCCAACGGUUAAAAGUAGCCCAUUGAUGUAGCGCUUUGGUUGGAGACUUCUUCACAUGGCUCUAACAUUUAGCAAUGCAAAGUGCAUGAUGAGUUAAUUACAAACCCGUGUAGCAUAGCUACUCUUUUGGGUACGUUUCAGUAGCUUUAUUCUUUGGGUUUUCUGGAAAAGCAUUAGAACAGUUUUACCUUGUUCCGUGUGGAUGUCUGUCAUCUAGGAGUUGUUGUCUAUGGUUUACUUUAGCUUUACUGUGGAAAUGACCAUUGCAAAGAAUAAGAGUUUUAUUUCACUGGCAGAUGCCAACCAUGAACCGUCCAUGAUGCUAGUAUCUGAACCUUUAAAGUGGUUCUGUGCAAGUUUUGAAAUUGGAGUUAGAUCCCAUGUCUGAGACGCUUAAUCUAGUUACUGUUGGGGGAUCAUUAUUGGUACCCCCUCUAUAAACUUUUAUAAGACGUCUUAUAAGAGUUUACAGAGGGAGUACUGCUUAGGAUAUCAAAGUUGCUUCUUUGAAAACUAAAAUUCUUUUUUGUUGUUGUGUUUCUGACAGAUAAAUUCACAGUUGCUUCGUUCCUGGAGGCAUUGGAAGACUCCGUGGCAAACGCUUGUACAGAUGGAGGCAAUGAUUCAAAGACCAAGAAAGAUGGUGGAAAUGAUCCCAUGGACGAGAGUUGAUUGCGGGGCGCACCUAGGGCUGUAGCCUUGAUGUGAGUUGCUCAUGCCGUCAUCUGCGGUGGAAAGUAUCAAUUUUUAAAUCUGAUGGCACGCAAAGCACAGGACGUUUUAUUUGGCACCCCCUCCGAAUCUAGAUACUAUUUUGGCUGUGAAUUUUAGAUGCUUUCAGUCGCUUCCAUAUUUACCAGUUGAUUCCGUGUCGUGACUUGAGUAUUCUAAAAAAUGCUUCCAUAGGUUUCGGUUGGUACAAUUGCGUGACAUGGAUAUAUUUUCAAAAAUGCUUCUGAGGUUCUAGCUGGUACCGUUGUGCGACAUGAAUACAUGUUGUGCGACAUGAAUACAUAUGCUCUGUCUGUCCCAAAAUAACUGUUUCAACUCUGUACUAGCUCUAUGGUAUCGUUGUGCGACAUGAAUAUAUAUUCAUAUGCUCCGUCUGUCCCAAAAUAACUGUUUUAACUUUGUACUAUCUCUAUUACAAAAUUAUACUAAGUUUAAGACAUUUAUUUUGGGACGGAGGGAGUAAUUUAUAUUCUGAGCUAUGCCUGUGCUCCCUUUAGUUGGCCUUGGUCUCCGUUGAAUGAAUAUCAGAUAACACAGGAGUGUGGUCCGCGAAGAUGUUCCUUUUGGCCUUAAUAAUUGUAGUUUCUUGUUGGCUCAUGGUCAUGUAUGUUGAUCCUUAUAAUGUACUGUAGUACAUUGUCUGCACGUCAAGUCAAAGUCCGCAUAAGAACUUGGCUGAAAAUGUAUGUGUAAAACAUUUGGAUUUAUUUUACAGAUACAAAGUGUAGUGUUUGAUUUUGAAGUGACUGGAUAUGAUGUGGCCCCAUGCACCUCUUAUAUUGUGCCUGCACUACGUCAACAAAUAGUGACGACUGUGUGGCGAGAAGUUGUUCAAGAGGAAGAAGCCACUGUACGUGAGAAGCUUGCAGCGGGAGGAGGGUGUAGAGGUUGGAUAGCUCUAGGAGCUCGAUCCAUGAUGAAUCAACUCCAGUUGUUCACAGAGGAAGAAGCUACUGUACGUGAGAAGCUUGCAGCGGGAGGAGGGUGUAGAGGUUGGAUAGCUCUAGGAGCUCGAUCCAUGAUGAAUCAACUCCAGUCCAGGAGUGGUUUUGGUCUACUAGGUCAUCCAUGCGACACACAUCUCGGCUACGUCGUCGAGGCGGCAUAUGGCAACAAUGACAGGGGCCGGGUUUACUAGCGUGUUUGGUUGCCUGCAUUGAUUUUGGAUAUGUCGCAUGUACUUUUCAUAUGAGCUUGACUGAGCAAAAACAGCCUUUAAACCAUCAUCUACAUAUUAUUUGGUCGAUGCAUAUGGGUUAGCUGCAUGAGGAAACUAAUUUUAAUCCGUUGUUUGGUAGGACGCAUUGCAUUAGACGUACAUAAAACACGUUGUUUGGUUGCAACCUGUAUAAGGUGUCCUCAUCAUUUCUCACUAGUGGUGACCUUACCAUACACGAUCUUAAAAGUUUUAUUCUUAGCUAUGAAACAAGUUACGGUUCAUCCUAACUACUAUUAAAUGACACUACACAAUAUUAAGAGUCAAAUAACUGAAUGAAGAAAGUUCAUCAUCCAUCCUCUUCCUCUCCUUCUGUGGCUGCCAUUCCUCUUUCUCUUCCUCUUCUCUUGCUGUUGCUUCCUCUUCUUCUGCUGCUAUUGCUUUCUUCUUCAGAUCCAUGUCUGAUUUAUGUUAUCCCACAUUGUGUGUGUCUACUCUUGCCUUUUGGUCUUCCAGGCUUCGUUGUCAGAUGCCUUCACACCAUGGUCACCGAGGUCAACUUUAUCAGGUGUCACAUCUUCCUCUUCGGGCACCAGUUCAUCACAACCCAUUGCAGGAUCUAAUUAUGCAGAAUGCAACAUGCAAGAACAAGCUUAACCUGGGUAAGGUGAGGGUAAAAUGGCUUCUGAUCCAGGAUCUUGAAUCUGUUCUUCAGAGCUCCAAAUGCCCUCUCAAUAGUUACUCUAAGGCUGGAGAGUCUGAGAUUGAACAACUCCUGUGGAGUCCUAGGAUAGUUCCUAUCAAAGAACUAGUUCAGAUGGUACCUGGUUUUCCUGAAGGGUGAAAGAACACCUAGCCGACAUGCAUAGCCAACAUCUCCUAGGUAGAACUUGUCAUCACAUAUGUUGAUACCAUCAGGACGACUCAUGCUAUCAGUGAGUAUGUUAGUUAUGUGCUGACCCUUUCGAGCCAGCCAACACAUAUGUGAACUUCAGAUCAAAGUCAACAACAACAAGCACAUUCUGACUUGUGUAGUGCUCCCCCUGCAUGUUGUAGAUUGUGACCUCAACACUCUGGCAAUGACAUGAGUACCAUCAAUUGCCCCAAUGCAAUCCUAAAAUGGCAAUACAAGAUUGUGUUAGUGCUCACAUUGAACAAUCCAAGCAUAUCCAGCAAUGAACUACAUACUUGUAGUGCUCACCUUGAAGUAUGGAUACCAUCUUGGGCUAGUGUAAAUCUUGGUAGGAGUCCAGCGAGUUGGUGACUUGAUCACCUCUCCUUUGAGCUCCCCAACAGCAUAACACUUGCUUGAAGUACCUUGAGAUGGUCUCCAUCGAUCUCCUGAACGUGUUGCGGAUAACCCCAAACCUUUGGUUAUGGCCAACAACAUGAAGGAACAUGACCACUUGCUCUUACACACUGGUGUGUAUGCUAUCUUCUAGCACCUCCUGCUCCUGAAGGUCUGGACAAGUCUGGCAAAUGGUGCUCUUUUCAUUCUAAGCAUCCCCAGAGCCUCUGUAUUGUUACAGUUGUAUUGUAACAUCCCAAAUUUUGGAAUGUUAAAAUAAUUAUUAGAUUGUUUGUUUGUUUGCUUGAGUGAUUGAAACUUGUGUGAAAUUUGAAACUUUUCAAAAACUUUUGAAUGAGAGGGAAUAAAAUGACUUUCCCCAUCUCCGAUGAAUUCAAAUUCAAUCUUUUAAAAGCAAUGAGAGAAGAUGACAUGACUUCUUCAACUAUAAAGAAUUUGAAUGGAGCUGGCAUUUGAAUUUCCUUCGAUUUUAAUUUGCAAAUUCUAUUUUCCCUCCACUCAAGAAAUGCCGGGGAAUAAUAUUCUGUCAAACAUAAAAGAGAGGAGGAACAUGACCCUCCAAAGCGAGGGUCAUUUGUUGAAGUAUUUUGAGCCAAGGAAACAAAAAUUAAUUUGCGAUAAUAAUUGCAAAAAGAAAUAAUGCUUUUAGGAAUUUUUUGGAAAAAACAUUUUUAAAAAGUUUUUAUUUUUGCCGUGGAAAAAUGUUAAUCGUGUAGAGAUUUUUUUUUUUGAAAAUUUUGGUAUAUAAUACCCUAUAUUAAUUAUUUUAUUUUAUUUCCCUUUUUGUAUUUUACUUACUGUUUUUAAAAAAAAUACAAAAUCGGGAAACAUUUUUUUAAAAGGAAAGCGUCGCCGGCGCUUUAUAGCCCUCUUGGGCCGAAUCCUGCCUGACCCGGGACCGAAACCCCUCCAGAUCGGGUGGCCGAUCCCUUUCCUUUCCUCUCUCCCUCAUCGACGCCUGGGCCCCACCGCCCGAAGUCCCUCCCGCUCGGUCACCUUCCUCCCUCCUCCCUCCUCUUUCCCAACCAGAGCCCGAGUUCCUUCCAUGGCCGAUUCCCUCCCCGGAUCUCCCUCCUCCUUUCCCUCCCGAGGCCCCCUCUCCCCUAUAAAGCCCCCCCUCGCCACCGCACCCGUUCCCCUGCCCCAGCCCGAGCCUCCGCCACCCCUGCCCCUGCCCUACUGCUCGCCGGAGCCGAAGGUCCAGAGGAGCCCGUCCUCGCCCUGCCUCGCCACCCUCGCCUCCCCGCCCCGUCCGACACCACCACCAACCUCGCCGCCGCCACCGCGCCCCAUUUCUCCCCUGCACCCGAGCCCCUCCACUGCAUCUCGACCCCGCACCUCACCGGACUUCCGAGCCUCGGCCGAAGCUUCCCCGAGUCCCCCUGCUCGCCUCCGGCCACGCCACACCUCGCCGCCGCUGGACGCGGGAGCUCCGCCGCCGUCUUCCCCAGCCCUCGGACGCCACCGAGACUCACCGGAGCCACCUCCCCAUGUCCACCCCGAGCCGCCGCCGCCGUCAAGCACUGCCGGAGUUCAUCUCCACCACGGUGAGCACCCCACCCCUCCUCCACCGUUAGAUUUAGAUCUUACGCGCACGAUUCAAGACCCCGGACGCAAUGCAACUCUGGGUGAAGGACGGUUGAUCGGCUCCCUAGAGAACCCAGUGGAUGACCCGGGAUGCUGGAGAACCCAGCGGAAAGCUUCACCCAGGCUAAAAGAGACGGACGGAUAUUUUCAAGACCCAAGGCUUACCUGCACAGCCACAAGUCAUUAUGGGCUCUGGCUUGGUUGGACAACGCGGCGACUCUGGACAGGCGGUGCUAGCAGAUGUAGAAGAACGGUAGGUAUGGAUGGGCACUAACAGGGAUUCAGAGGGACCCGUUGAAAGACCAUGUUUUGAUCAUCCGGUCUUCAAACACCCUGAAGUGCGAGGACAUACACGGAGGCGAUCAAAUCUUGUGGGGAACGUGUGCAAAACUCUGCAGAGUACUCAAACCUAAUCGAUUAGCCGUGUCCACGGUCAUGGACAACUUGAGCCAAAGGAACUGAAGUUAUCUGGAAUUCUCAACACCAUUAUAUAUAUUUGAUGUGGGUAAUAUUGAUAACUUGGGUAUGAGAACUGGUUGGCGGAACCAUCUCAUUAACAACCAACUACGUAGUAAUAUUUUGCUUUUAGCCCCCUCUUGAUGUAGGAGAAAACUUGCUUUUCGCUAAAAACUUAUAGCCCCACCUGCCAUAUAUGCAUAUAGUAUAGAUGAUUACUUUUCACCCCUCUCUUAUGUGACUUGCCAGCAUAUUCAAUAUGCUGACCUACACGGCUGCAACGUCUUAUGUUGCAGAUAUUUUUCUUCGACGAGUAAGAGUACGAUUCAAGGUUACGGUCUACACUCAACUUGCCGUUGGUGUUUAUUGGGACUCCACUCCCUUGACAGCUUCCGCUGAGAUAUUUAAGGUAUAUAUCAGUUUUACGCUAUUUACAUGUGAUUGCACUUUGAUAUAUACAUUGAUGUACUGUGUGUGCCAGCAUAAUGAUCCAGGGAUGGCACAGAAACACAGAAGGGGAGCAACAACUCCUGCUGCCGGAUCUGCCGCCGUCAUCGCCUCUGCCAUUGUUGCUUGCACAGAUCUGAGUUGCCCCUGCCGCUAGUGGUGAGGCUAGAGAAAGUGGAUGUCUUAGAGGUAGUGGUGAUGAAGUAAAUGGUGGGGUGUGAAGCUAGAUUUGGCGUCAUGCCACCAUGUCAGAUUUCCAUCUCCCGCCAUGCUCACUCGUUUUUGCCCUACUCCCCCACGUGCGAGCUUGUGCCGCACUCAACCUGGCUCACUAGAUAUUACUGAUUCAAUAGUUUCUAGUGAGCCAGACCGUGGGCUGAUUUAAGCUUCAUGCAAAUGCGAGCUAGCCCACUGCGUUCGCAACCGAACACAUAUUUUGUGGCCCAGUUGGGCAUGGUUGCAAUUUUGUGCGCAAUCAAACAUGCCCCUAAGAUCCAUGCGUACAUGUGCUUCGGCCAGAAGUGCGUGUGCUGGUUUCAAUCAACAAAAGCCUGGCGCAUACGGAUAACCCACAAGUAUAUGGGACUGCGAUAGUUUUCGAGGAUAGAGUAUUCAACCCAAAUUUAUAGAUUCGAUACAAUGGGAGCCAAAGAAUAUUUGCAGGUAUUAGCAGCUGAGUUGUCAAUCAACCACACUUGCAGAUUUAGUAUCUGCAGCACAGUCAUAAGUAGCACAGUAAUAUUAUAGUUUUGAUAGAAGUGGUAACAGUAGCAUCAGUAAGGUAAUAAUGAUAGCGGCUUUAACGGUAAUAGUAGCAGUAGUAGUAACUUAGCAAGCACAAUAUGUGAAAAACUCGUAGGCACUGGAUCAGUGAUAUUGCUAGAUAAUAUUCAUCAUAUAACAAUAACAACAUAGGGCGACAGAGAACUAGCUCCCGUUCAUCGAUAUAAUGUAGGCAUGUAUUCCGUAAAUAGUCAUACAUGCUUAUGGAAAAGAACUUGCAUGAGAUCUUUUGUCCUACCUACCCGUGGCAGCGGUGUGGUAUUGAUAGAAGAGGUGUAUAGAGGGGGGGGGUGAAUAGACUACUUGCAUAAAUCAAAAUCCUAGCAUUUUCCAAAUUUUAGUGGUUGGCAGAUUUUAGCAUUCUAACAAGUCUAGUGAACCCUACACAUGCUAGUCAACAAAUAUGGCAGCGAAAAGUAAAGACUUUGCACAUGUAGUAAGGAGUAGAGUUUAGGAAGAUCAAACGCAAAGAGGUUGACAUAGUGAUUUUUGGCAUGGUUCCGAUAGGUGGCGCUAUCGUACGUCCAUGUUAGUGGAGACUUCAAACCAAAGAGGUAACGACUGCGAGAGUCCACGAAGGGCUCCACCCACAAGGGGUCCACAAAGAAGUGGCCUUGUUUAUUCCAUCAUGGCUUCCGUCCACACAGGAAUAGCCUCACUCACGGUAGAUCUUCACGAAGUAGGCAAUCUCCUUUCCCUUACAAACAUCUUGAUUCAACUUCACAACAUGAAGUAGGAGGCUCCCAAGCGACACCUAACCAAUCUAGGAGGCACCAACUCCAAAAGGUUAUAGAUGUGGUAGAGCGAUGAACUCCUUGCUCUUGUACUUCUAAAGAUAGUCUCCUCAACACUCAAUCACUCUCUCUCAGAUUUGGCAGGGGUAGGAGAGAUCGAUCUUGUGGAAAGCAACUUGGGGGAGGCUAGAAAUCAAGAUUCAAAUGGUUGGAAUGGAAUCUCUUGAUCUCAACACAUGAGUAGGUGGCUCUCUCUUAGAAAAAUGGAUCUCGCCAGUGUAAGUGUGUUCUGAGUGCUUCCUCUACGAAUGAGAGGUAGGUGGAGGGGUAUAUAUAGGCAUCCCCCAAAAUCCAACCGUUACAACAUUAUUUCCCAACUCGGUGACACCAAGAUGAAUCUCGGUGGUACCGAGUUGCACUAAAUGUAGCAACUUCUGAAUUCUUGGUGAGACCGAUAUAGGAAUCUCGGUGGUACCGAUACGAUGACCUAGACCGGUUUCCAAAUCUCAGUGAGACCAAUUUCAAACUCAGAAAUUUUGAUUCUUGAAAUAUUCUCAACAUAAAGUUGGUCACUGAAUCUCGGUGGCACCGAUGUGAAUGGUGGUGGUACCUGAGGGAGUUCCAGAUUAAGGGGUCCUUGGGUAGUCGGGUUGUCCCUUAUGGGCCGAUCAUAUGGGAUGCGUCAUUGAAGACCGUAUUAUCUCACGACUGCAUAAUCAAGAUGGAAAGCUCCAAAGACUAGGCGUGCACUCCAAGGCAGGAGGACCAGUUCGCCCCAUCUACCCCUGAUCUAUGUCGGUAACAUGUAACCCCAGGGACCCUGGUUAAACCAGAUGCCCUUAUGCGUAGAGGCAGGUUAUCUCAUCUAGGGUUUAUCUCAUAUGAUCUCGAGGUAGAUCAACUCUGUAACCAUCAUUACCCAUCAAUAUAAUAAAGCAAGACGUAGGGUUUUACCUCCUCAAGAGGGUUUGAACCUGGGUAAACAUUGUCUCCCCCUCUCACCUGCAACCCAUCGAUCUAAGCUCCAUAGUUCGAGACCCCCUACCCGAGAUCUACCGGUUUUGAUGCCGACAUUGGUGCUUUCAUGGAGAGUUUCACCAUUGGAUCACCGAAAGGAUCGAUGGUUCGCUUGAUCAUCAAUGAUUUAGUCCACGAUGAGGGCAUCUUCGCCCCCGAACACAUCUCCGCGCUCGGCAGCUUCACGCCGAGCACGGACCUAACUGACCAUCCUGGCCAGAUCGGCGGUUUUGUCCCCGGUCACCUCAUAAGGUUCGGAGAAUUCGAAGUCUCCACCGACUCGCGAGGCAAUCUGUUCCCCGCUAACCUCACGACCUCAGUCGAUGAAGGGAAAAAUCCCGAAGCCUUGUCUCUGGGUCCCUUGUCCGAUCAUGGUCUUGGUCUCCUCCCCUCUGGAGGAUUCGAGCUAGGAGCCGACCACGGUACCCGGACAGCAGGAAAUGGCCAUUGCCGAAUUGGCUCCUUUCCGGAAGCCGCAAAAGUUAACUCAAAAAACUCACAAAGGAUUGGUGAGGUCAGCCUCUCGAUGUUAAACGAGACGCUCGACCAGAUCCAGUCGCUUCAAAUCUUUCUUACCCGAAGUCCGACUUGUUCAAAGAUCGGCUCCGAGGUGGAUUAUGGGGACUUUUACGACCCACCCACCACCCACUUGAUCACAACAGUCGAAGAUCUAACCGACACACUAGACUAUACCUCCGAAAAUCUUGAGGAUCUAGACGAUGAGGCCUACUACCCCACCCCCAUAAACACCGGGAAGUGGACCGCAACAUCUACUUAUGAUGUUUCCAUGGUAGACACGCCUCGCGAUACAGAUAAUGUCACACCAAAGUAGAACGGCGAUAAGCCCACAGAAGAUCCCUCAAAACACAAAAUGUCGCGUAAGUGCUCCAAGGAAAACAAGGGAAGGGGCUCCGCACAAGCCACAGGGGAAAACAAGACCCUUGAGGGCCACAUCAACCCCGAGGCUCCCGAGCACCAACCAGAGGAACCGACCAAUGAUGAUCCCGACGGUCGCAACAACUCGAACGACGACGAUGAUUACCUCCCUCCUGUCGACGACCUUAAUGGCCUUGAAGCCGAAGAGUUCGUAAUUCCCGAAGACCCUGAAGGCCAGGAGCAAUUUUGGCAGCGUCUUAUAGCCACUGCCCAAAGCUUGAAAGCAAAGCAACAAUAGCUCCAGGAUGAACAGGAUACCAUCAAUAAUAGGUGGACCAAAAUCCUAGCGGUUGAAGAAGGAUAUGGCACAGAAUGGUCGGGCCAGAAGGGCCCGAUCCAUGGGGACAGACCCGACCCAUGAUACGAAAAAUUGGGUCACAACAGGUCCAUCUACGGAUCUAGGAGGUAUUCUCCCACUCGAUGGGAUGACGAACCACCUCGGGUCGCUUACAAGAGCAGAGGCCGGGAAAUGUACCAGGCUCAACCCGGAGCCGAUCUACGACACAACAUAGCCCGGAUCAGAGGCGCCGCUCACCCACUGUGUUUCAUAGAUGAGGUCAUGUAGCACUAGUUUUCUGAAGGGGUUAAACCCGUAAAAAUCGAACAAUACUACGGGACAACAGAUCCUGCCAUGUGGAUAGAGGACUUCCUCCUCCACAUUCAUAUGGCAAGAGGAUAUGAUCUCCACGCCAUAAAAUAUUUACCACUAAAACUCAAAGGACCGGCACGACAUUGGGUAAACAGCCUACCGGAAGAUUCCAUUGGAUGCUGGGAAGACCUUGAGGAGGCUUUCCUAUCUAACUUUCAAGGAACAUAUGGUCGGCCACCAGAUUCAUCCGAUUUGAGCAACGUCGUCUAAAAGAUGGGGGAAUCAGCCACAGAAUUUUGGAACCGGUUCCUCACCAAGAAGAACCAAAUCGUAGACUGUCCGGACACUGAAGCAAUAGCUUCUUUUCGGCACAACAUCCGGGACGAAUGGCUUGCUAGACAGCUCGGCCAGGACAGGCCGAGAACAAUGUCCACCGUUACCUCCGUCAUGGCCCGCUUUUGCACGGGUGAGGAUAAUUGGCUUGCUCGGCACAUACAUAAUGCGGACGACCCUGGAACCUCUAAGGUUGGGGACGGAAACGGCAAGCCAAGGAAAAACAAGAACAAACGCCGCCACCAUAAUGGUGAUGCCGAUGAUACAACAGUCAAUGCUGGAUUCCGCAGUACAAAACCUGGACAGCGGAAGAAACCCUUUAAAUGGAAUGUGUAUGGACCAACCCCAUGGGAUAAAGUCAUGGUACGGCCGUGCCAGAUUCAUGGCCCCCAAGACAAGCCCGCCACCCACACCAACCGUAAUUGUUGGGUGUUCAAACAGGCAGGCAAGCUUGCCACCGAUGAGAAAAACAGGGGCCCAUGAAGUGAAGACGACGAGGAGCCCUGUGGCCCAAAUAAUGGAGGCCAAAAGCAGUCCCCUCUUGAGGUUAAGACCAUGAACAUGAUCUAUGUCACUCAUAUACCAAUAAGGAGAGGAAAUGGGCACUGCAAGAGGUACACGUCGUAGAGCCCAUAGCACCUAAAUACAACCCGUGGUCGGCUUGCCCGAUAACUUUGGAGCACAAGGAUCAUCCGACCAGUAUCCAACAUGGAGGAUCGACUGCCCUAGCCCUCGACCCCAUCGCCGAUGGUUUCCACCUCACUCGAGUCCUCAUGGACGGGGGAAGUAGCCUUAAUCUGAUUUAUUCGGAUACGGUGAAAAAGAUGGGCAUAGACCCAUCACGAAUCAAGCCUAGCCGCACUACCUUUAAAGGAGUAAUGCCAGGCGUUGAAGCCCGUUGCUCGGGCACAAUAACACUGGAAGUUGUGUUCAGUUCUCCUGACAACUUCCGCAACGAGGACUUGAUCUUCUAUAUCGCCCCCUUUCGCAGUGGAUACCAUGCCCUACUUGGCCGCACAACUUUCACCCGCUUCAAUGACGUACCACACUACGCCUACAUGAAGCUCAAAAUUCCCGGACCCGAGGGAGUCGUCACGGUAAACGGAAAUACAGAGCGCUCUCUCCGGACCGAGGAGCAUACAACCGCACUCACAGGCGAGUGUCAACAUGAUAGCAACACUUCAAGCCACAGGCCGGCAACAAAGGCGCGGAGGGGAGGCAAAGGAGCCCUAGCUCAAUCCGACCAGCCGGAUAAUUCUUCGGCUCAGAGAGCAUAGGGAUACGUCUCCCAUGGCGCGGCCCGAACACCAUCAACCUACUCAGGACCCUCUACUCAAGGUCCGCUUGCUGACAGGAACUUCUUGUAAAAGAAUAGUACCCCCAACCUAGCA